GAGCUGGUAAGGGCAGAAUGGCACCUGAAGCUGCUGGUGCAUGGCCCAUAAUAGGUCACCUACACCUCCUAGGUGGGUCUAAGAAUUUGCCCCACUUACUUUUGGGAACCAUGGCCGACAAGUAUGGAGCAGUAUUCAGCGUUCGGCUGGGAUUGAAAAGAGCUGUGGUGGUGAGUAGUUGGCAGAUGGCCAAGGAAUGCUUCACCACCCAUGACCUGGCUCUGGCCUCCCGUCCUCAACUUGUAAUCUCCAAACAAUUGGGAUAUAACGAUGCCAUGUUUGCUUUCUCUCCUCACGGUGCAUACUGGCGGGAAGUGCGGAAGAUAGCCACUCUAGAGCUCCUCUCGAACCGCCGGCUAGAGUUGCUGAAGAACGUCCGAAUCUCAGAGGUGGAGACAUGCAUGAAGGAACUAUACAAGCUUUGGGCCGAGAAGAAAAACGAGGCAGGCGUUGUUUUGGUGGACAUGAAGCAAUGGUUUGGGGACUUGACUCUGAACGUGAUUCUUAUGAUGGUUGUUGGAAAACGAUAUUUCGGUUAUACAGCCGAAAGUCAAGAGAAAGAGACCCAGCGGUGCCAGAAAUCGAUUAGGGAAUUCUUUCGUUUGUUGGGUCUCUUUGUGGUGUCGGAUGCCCUUCCUUUUCUUGGCUGGCUUGACGUGGGUGGACAUCUGAAAGCCACGAAGAAGACUGCAAAAGAAAUGGAUGGUAUUGCUCAGGAAUGGUUAGAGGAACACCGACGGCGAAAAGAUUCGGGUGAAGCUAGUGGUAACCAGGACUUAAUGGACGUGAUGCUGUCCAUUCUGGCUGGCACGGACCCUACCGGCUAUGAUGCCGACACAAUCAACAAAGCCACAUCCCUGGUAUGCACAUUAUUCCUCGAGCACCUUUAUAUGCUACUAAAAAAAAUGACAUUCUUCUUAAGUCAUAAUUCAUGCUUUAUCCUCUUUAGUCGGGACUCUCAGACUCUCGAGAGUACUCACACCUUCGAUGGAAUAACUUUCUGUUGCUGGUUGAAGCUAGUCAAAGUCAAUACUUUUUAAAAGAUAAUAUUAGAUUUAUAAAAGUUUUAUCAAUUAUGAAAGAAUUUUUUGCAUCAGCGAAAAUAGAAUUUUUUUACUUAAAAAUAAAACGUUUUUGAUUUCAUAAUGUGUUUUAUUAUACGUUGUUAUUUGUCAAAAGAGUAACAUGAGCAGCUUCGACAAGCAAUUAUAACGAAAUACAACCCACCUGAGAAUCUGAGCGUAACUAGAAUUAUGUCGAACCUCUGGCUUGGGUGUUUGGGCUGGGCAGGUAAUAAUCCAACUCUCCUCUGGGUGGCUGGGCCAUUCUCGUCAGAAGAUCAUGAAAGUGUGUUCUUUAUUCCUCAUGGUUUGAGGCCUCAUUGACUGGGCUUCUUGAUCUUGAGUUGGUUACACAAUUACGCCUUUCAAAGACUCUUCGUCAUAAUAAAUACAGUGGCUUUCCCUUGUAAAUUUAAGGAUUUUUAUAUUUUAUUUUUUAUUUUAAUUUUGAAGCCUAACAUGAAGUUUUAUAAAAUGCUAAAUUUGUGAGCGAGUUUCAAAUUCAAGCUACUUUUGAUCGACGGACACUAAACUCUAUGUCUAGAAUCAGACUCCUAUCUGUUCGUGCCCCUUAGACAUAAGGACACUCACUCUUGAAAAAAUAAAAAAAUAAAUUGGAGCCUUUUUCCCCUUUAAUCCUGUUAGUAGUUUUAAUUUUAUUAACAUUAGUUAAUGUUUUGUACUUGGCAGAUUUUGAUUGCAGGAGGCAGUGACACUACAUCUGUUACUCUAACAUGGGUGAUCUCACUUUUAUUGAAUAAUCCAUGUAUGUUAAGAAAAGCCCAAGAAGAAUUGGACACUCAUGUUGGUAAAGGGAGACUGGUAAAUGAAGUGGAUUUAAGCAAGUUGGUCUACCUCCAAGCAAUUGUUAAAGAGACAUUGAGGUUAUAUCCCGCACUUCCACUUUCAGGACCACGCCAAUUUAACCAAGAUUCCAUUUUAGGUGGUUAUCGUAUCCCAAAUGGCACUCGUCUUGUAUUGAACCUCACUAAGAUCCAAAGAGACCCAAGUGUAUGGUUGAAUCCAACAGAGUUUCAACCAGAGAGAUUCCUCACUACUCACAAAGACGUUGAUAUGAGGGGCAAAAAUUUUGAGUUUACACCAUUUGGUGGUGGAAGAAGAAUUUGCCCUGGUGCAACUUUUGCCCUUCAAGUGCUACACUUAACAUUAGCCAAUUUCCUACACAAAUUUCAACUUUCGACUCCAUCAAAUGCAACAGUUGAUAUGAGCGAGAGCCUUGGGAUAACAAACAUCAAAUCCACUCCACUUGAAGUUCUCAUCUCGCCACGUCUGUCUUCUUGUGAUCUUUAUGAGUAAAACCAAUGAAUGUUGAGAGAGACUAUUUCAAGAAACCUAGUAUUAUAUUAUAGGAAAUAAAAAUACAAAUAAAAUUUGUACAUGUGGUACAAGUUUAAAAUAAUAACUAAUGAGUACGGUACUUUUUUAAUUUUGUCUUAGCUUGAAUUUUGGUGUUUUUUUUUUUGUUUUCUCCUUGUAGAAGAAAAAGUGGCAUAUAACAUUUUUCUUCCUCUAUAGAUAGUGAAAAAUAAGUAUGCAAUUGACCAUAUGCAUACGUGUGCAAUAGACUUAAUGAGUUGCAAGUUGAUAAUUGGUUUGUCUUUUGGUAGAUUUUAGUUGCCUUCUUGUACAUCAUUAAAGUAGAAGAUAAAGACGAAAAUUAUAACUUCACCCAUUCCCAUUGUAGAACGUUGGGCUAUCAGUUUGAUUUUCAACGUCAAAAUCAAAUUGAAUCAAUCCAAUUAAUUUUUAUGCAUUAAAAAUCAAUUUAAUUGAAUUUAAAGAAGAAAAUGGUUGGUUCGGUUUGACUCACAAUAAUUGAUUCGUCGGUUUAUUUUGUUUUAAUUUGUUUUGGUUUGUUGUAACAAUAAAAAUCAUUUUUUUUUGGUUAAUUUGGACUAAAAAAAAAAAAACCAUGAUUAGAUAAAAGCUAUAAAUGUGCAUAUGAAGUUGUAUCGAAUGUGAAAGCUUUUCAUCAAAUUAAUAAUAUAACCAAUACUCAUAUUAUUGAUGUAAAUAUAGAACUUUUAGAUAAGUUCAAUUUGUUUUACUAUUGAUUUUUUAAAUAGGUAACCAAAUUGGUCUAAUUCAAUUUUAUAUUUUAAAACCCAAUAUUAUUAAAAGAAAAAUUGCUAAAAAUUAGUGGAUUAGGGUUAGUUCAUUGAUUCUGUCUACACCCCAAAAAGAAGAGUGUCCACUUCGUAUUGUCAACUUUGUGUGCUUAUAAGUUACAAUUUUGCACCAUGAGAUUCACAUUUGUACUUAUUAUUGCCAAUUUUGUGUGGUCAUAAGUUAUAAUUUUACCCCACUAGAUUCACAUUUGUUGGCAUCAUAAUUGACUUUCUACAUCCAUGCAUUCAUGAAUCAUUACAAUUCAAUACUGUAUUACCAUUUUGGCGCUAAACAAGAAGACUCGUCUUUAAAGUACUCAAGCAAAUCCUCACAAAUUUUAAUCAUUUUUCAAUUUAGAUGAAUGGGAGCAACAACACUAGAACAAUGAAGUAGAUGAUGAAAUAAAAUAAAAAACAAAGAUAGUAUACAAACUCUAAUUUUAUUGGUUUGUCAUAGUCUUGACUUAUAUGCACUCUCCUCAAACUUUAAAAUUCUGCUAACUUGUUAGAGGUUGUUCGUGCUUCCUUGAUAGCAGCAAAAACACCGAUAUCUUAUUGGGGAGGAGCAAUCACAUCUGCCGUAUACUUGAUCAAUCGGGUACCUUCCAGCUCAAUUAACUUCCAAACACCUCUCCAAGCUCUUAUUAAUGUCGUAGUUGGCCCAACUAUCCCAAAUCUACCUUCUCGUGUUUUUGGUUGUGUGGCAUUUGUGCAUCUACACAAACACCAACGCACCAAGUUAACUUCUCAUGCAUUACAAUGUGUGUUUGUUGGAUAUGCAUUGCACAAAAAGGGAUAUCGAUGUUACUAUCCUCCAACUCGACAAAUGUAUAUUACAAUGGAUGUGGUGUUUCAUGAAGAUUCGAUGUAUUUUUCAUCUGAGUUUGAACUUCAGGGGGAGUACCAUAAGGAAAUUCAGACUCUCGAUUAUGAUUAUCAUAUCUCUGAGGAGAAUGAAUCUGGACAAUCUGAACUAGUGAACCAAGAAGCGGGUGAGUUGGAUAUGAGUGGUCAACAAUUUAGGUCUGAAGAUGUCUUCACUGAAAUACCAAACCAAUCGUCGUCUGUUGAAGGUGUUCUUAAUUUGGAACCCGAUCCAUUCAUGAAACGGUUACCACACCGUCAUAAUAGAGGUAUCUUAAACCCACAUAUGAACCUGAAUUGUCUACCAAACUCAAAUAUCCCAUGAGCAACUAUGUGUCUAACCAUCGUUUGUCUGAAUCAAAUAAGUCAUUUGUAAAUCAAUUAUCUACUGUAGCUAUUCCUAACAGUGUGCAGGAAGCCUUAGCUGAUCCAAGGUGGAAAGCAGUUAUGAAUGAAGAGAUGAAAUCAUUGCAGAAGAAUGAAACAUGGGAACUCGUAGAAUGUCCACCAGGAAAGAAGCAAGUUGGGUGUCGUUGGAUCUAUACUGUAAAGUACAAGGCAGAUGGUAGUAUUGAACGAUUUAAAGCAAGACUGGUAGCAAAAGGGUACACUCAAACUUAUGGAAUUGACUACACAGAGACAUUUGCACCUGUAGCUAAGAUCAACACAGUUCGAGUAUUACUGUCUUUAGCUGCAAACCUAGAUUGGCCGUUACAACAGUUCGAUGUGAAAAAUGCUUUUUUGCAUGGUGAGUUAUCUGAAGAAGUAUAUAUGGAUCUUCCACCAGGAUGCAUGGUGUCAGAAAAACAAUGUUAGAAGGUGUGCAAAUUGAAGAAGUCAUUGUAUGGGUUGAAGCAAUCCCCGAGAGCAUGGUUUGGAAGGUUCACAAAGUCAAUGAGAGCUUUUAGCUAUCAUCAAAGUAAUUCAGAUCACACUUUGUUCCUGAAAAAGCAACAUGGUAAGAUUACCGCACUCAUCGUAUAUGUGGAUGACAUGGUAGUUACAGGAAAUGAUCCUGAAGAAAGAAAAGCUCUGCAAAAUUAUCUAUCUAGAGAAUUCGAAAUGAAAGAUCUAGGUUAUCUGAAAUACUUUCUUGGGAUUGAAGUUUCUCGAUCAAGUGAAGAAAUUUUUCUUUCUCAAAGAAAGUAUGCCUUAGAUCUUUUACAGGAGACUGGAAUGUCGGGAUGUCAACCUGUUAAUACACCAAUAGAAGAAGGUCUGAAAUUGUGUGUUGAGUCUAAUCAAGUAUCAACUGAUAAGAGAAGAUAUCAGAGACUUGUGGGGAGAUUAAUGUACUUAGCUCAUACAAGACCAGAUCUUGCUUAUGCAUUGAGUGUAGUGAGUCAAUACAUGCAUAAUCUUGGAGAGCAACAUAUGAAUGCAGUUAUGCGUAUUUUGAGGUAUUUGAAAAAUGCUCAUGGGAAGGGAAUUUUGUUCGCUAAAAAUGUUAAUCAUCAGAGUAUAGAAGUAUAUACUGAUGCUGAUUGGGCCGGUGCAAUGGAUGAUAGGCGAUCUACAUCUGGUUACUUUACCUUUGUAGGUGGUAAUCUUGUGACAUGGAAAAGUAAGAAGCAGAAUGUCAUCGCUCGUUCAAGUGCAGAAGCAGAAUUUAGAUGUAUGACUCUAGGACUUUGUGAGACAUUAUGGCUAAGACUUCUCUUACAGGAUUUAGGUUACCUAUCUAGGCAACCAAUCCGAUUGUUUUGUGACAAUAAAGCCGCAUGUGAUAUUGCUCAUAAUCCAGUACAACAUGAUCGUACAAAGCAUGUCGAGGUGGAUAGAUUCUUCAUUAAGGAAAAGUUGGAUGAUAAGAUUGUGGAAUUGACUAAGAUUCGAUCAGAAGAUCAAUUGGCCGAUAUCCUCACCAAAGCUGUCUCAUGUCAAGUGUUCUCAAAAUUUUUAGACAAGUUGGGCAUGUGUGACAUAUAUACACCAACUUGAGGGGGAGUGUUGAGAUAUUAGGAAUGCUUUCCGUAUAUCAUUCUUUCCUUAUAUUAUUUAGUGUUGAGAUAUUAGGAAUGUUUAAAUAUUAGGAAAGUUGAGAUAUUAAGAAUAUUGAGAUAUUAGGAAUAUUGAGAUAUUAGGAAAGUUGAGAAAUUAGGAUAUUAGUUGUUAUUUCCUUAUAUCAUUCCUUCCCAUUCUUAGAAUGGUGAUUACCCUCUAUAUAUACUUUAUAUAUGAACGAAUGAAAGUAUGAAUGGAAAAAACUACCAUUUAUCAAUUUGAAGAGGUACAAGUUUAAAAUAAUAACUAAUGAGUACGGUACUUUUUUAAUUUUGUCUUAGCUUGAAUUUUGGUGUUUUUUUUUUGUUUUCUCCUUGUAGAAGAAAAAGUGGCAUAUAACAUUUUUCUUCCGGUAUAGAUAGUGAAAAAUAAGUAUGCACUUGACCAUAUGCAUACAUGUGCAAUAGACUUAAUGAGUUGCAAGUUGAUAAUUGGUCUGUCUUUUUGGUAGACUUUAGUUGCCUUCUUGUACAUCAUUAAAGUAGAAGAUAAAGACGAAAAUUAUAACUUCACCCAUUCCAUUGUAGAACGUUGGGCUCUUAGUUUGAUUUUCAACGUCAAAAUCAAAUUGAAUCAAUCCAAUUAAUUUUUAUGCAUUAAAAAUCAAUUUAAUUGAAUUUAAAGAAGAAAAUGGUUGGUUCGGUUUGACUCACAAUAAUUGAUUAGUCGGUUUAUUUUGUUUCAAUUUGUUUUGGUUUGAUGUAACAAUAAAAAUCAUUUUUUUUUUUUGUUAAUUUGGACUAAAAAAAAAAAAACCAUGAUUAGAUAAAAGCUAUAAAUGUGCAUAUGAAGUUGUAUCGAAUAUGAAAGCUUUUCAUCAAAUUAAUAAUAUAACCAAUACUCAUAUUAUUGAUGUAAAUAUAUAACUUUUAGAUAAGUUCAAUUUGUUUUACUAUUGAUUUUUUAAAUAGGUAACCGAAUUGGUCUAAUUCAAUUUUAUAUUUUAAAACCCAAUAUUAUUAAAAGAAAAAUUGCUAAAAAUUAGUGGAUUAGGGUUAGUUCAUUGAUUCUGUCUACACCCCAAAAAGAAGAGUGUCCACUUCGUAUUGUCAACUUUGUGUGCUUAUAAGUUACAAUUUUGCACCAUGAGAUUCACAUUUGUACUUAUUAUUGCCAAUUUUGUGUGGUCAUAAGUUAUAAUUUUACCCCACUAGAUUCACAUUUGCUGGCAUCAUAAUUGACUUUCUACAUCCAUGCAUUCAUGAAUCAUUACAUUUCAAUACUGUAUUACCAUUUUGGCGCUAAACAAGAAGACUCGUCUUUAAAGUACUCAAGCAAAUCCUCACCAAUUUUAAUCAUUUUUCAAUUUAGAUGAAUGGGAGCAACAACACUAGAACAAUGAAGUAGAUGAUGAAAUAAAAUAAAAAACAAAGAUAGUAUACAAACUCUAAUUUUAUUGGUUUGUCAUAGUCUUGACUUAUAUGCACUCUCCUCAAACUUUAAAAUUCUGCUAACUUCUAAUCCUUCAAGCCAAUCUUAAACUCUUACAUUUUGAUUCUUGAUUCCAAAAGACCUUCUUACACUUGCCUCAAUAGAUUCUUUACUUUUGAAUACACUACUCACAAGUUAACAAUUGAACAAAAUUGAUCUCUCUAAAUCUUAAUUAGUACAAGUUUAAACUUGAGAAAAUACAAGAGGAAAUUAGGAUGUUUUGUCUUAGAUAAGAGUUUAUAAGUUAAUCAAGAAUUUUACAUUGAAAACAAAGAGUUAAGAUCAAUUCAGUUAAGUGAGAUUGUAGGAUCUAAUUAGUUUGAGAUCUUAAGCGGUCCUGUUAUAAUCUUAUUAUUUUAUUCCAAAAUUGCCUAAGAGGGAAUUAGUAAUUUAGGACAACAAUUAAUUCCCUCCCAAAGUUUAUUGGUUUGAAACUAAUACUUUAUUAUACCAGCAUGUUUGAGUUGAAAACACAAAAAUUGAAGCUAAGGCAAGUACUUUACAAUUCGGAUUGGGUUGCAUCGAGCUUUGGUGGUAACUACUUGGCAGAUGGCUAAAGAAUGCUUGACCGUCAAUGACCAGGUUUCAUCCUCGCGUCCCGAACUUUUAGCCGCAAAACAUUUGGGCUACAACUACGCCAUGUUUGGUUUCUCUCCAUACGGUUCUUACUGGCGUGAAGUGCGCAAGAUAAUCAGCCUAGAGCUACUCUCUAACCGCCGCCUAGAGCUGCUGAAGGACGUCUGUGCUUCAGAAGUGGUGACAUCCAUAAAAGAGCUAUACAAGCUCUGGCAGAGAAAAAAAAUGAAUCGGGCCUUGUCUCGGUGGAGAUGAAGCAGUGGUUUGGAGAUUUGACUCUGAAUGUAAUUCUUAGGAUGGUGGCAGGGAAGCGUUAUUUCAGUGCUUCAGAUGCAAGUGAAAAUAAACAGGCGCAGAGGUGCCGGAGAGUGUUCAGGGAAUUUUUUCAUUUGGUAGGGCUCUUUGCGGUGGCAGACGCUAUUCUUUUUCUUGGAUGGCUCGACUGGGGGAGACAUGAGAAUACCCUAAAGAAGACAGCAAUAGAAAUGGACAGUAUUGCUCAAGAAUGGUUAGAGGAGCACCGUCGGAAAGACUCCGGUCACGAUAAUAGUACGCAAGACUUCAUGGAUGUGAUGCUGUCAGUUCUUGAUGGCAAAAAUCUUGGUGAUUGCGAAAGCCACAUGCUUGUGUGGACCCGCAUUUUUCACGUGCGCCUCCACUCGAUCGGUGAGACUCGCUUUUAUUUGGUAAAGAUGUUGUUUUUGGAAAAGUCAGAGUCGCCACUUAUUUUAUUUUAUUUUAAAGGGAAAAUAAAACAAGAAAUAAAACCCUAAAAAAUGACUCCAUAGUUUUUUGGAAAAGCAUGUCUUUGAAAAACCCGAGUCUAGGUCAAAGGAUCAGAUUACUUAUUGGGAAGGUACCUCCAGGAGAUAGCACCUCUCUAAACCUUACAAAGGUCUCUACUGACUACGUUGAAGGAAAUGUGGCAAUCAACUGAUUAAUUGAGGGUACCUAGGUAGGCGAAGGUGAUCUCAAAACUAGCAUGCUAAACAAGAAAAACCAAUCAUGCCCAUAGAGGAAAGUUAGGAUGCGUACCUGGACCACUUCUUAAGCACUAUCAUAAAACAUCAAUGGUUAGUUUAGAUAAUAUAUCACUCAGUAUGUGUUUUAUCAUGAAUGAUCAAACAAUGUAGCAAAUAUCAAGACAUCCCAAGCAUUCUCAAACAUAGGUAUAAAUCAUAAUGACGAUCAUAUUUACAAAAUUUGGAAGGUAGGUGACAGGAGACGUACCUGGAUAGCAUAGAUAACUCGUAACGUGCUUUCACAAGACAUGAGAGGUUAGAUACCUGGAAAGCAUAGAUAACUCGUAACGUGCUUUCACAAGACAUGAGAGGUUAGAUAACAAACAAUAAAAUAAGAAGUCCUAGCAUGUUUGUUAUCUAAUUAGCAUAGAAAAAAAAAAUUAUCAUAGUAUAUGAAACCAUCAAUUAUUGCUUAUAUCUUCUAUAUAAUUUCUAAAAAAUAAAUAGACAUGAUUUUCUUAAAUAGCAAAGGGGGCAACAAAGAUGAGUUUUGAAAAUUUUCCUUAUGUAGAGGCUUCACCAAUUCCCCGAUUGAUAUAUACAAAUCUAGUUUAGAAUUAUCCCAUUUGUUUGGGACCACAAGCUUGGAUUCAUGUCUUACUCAAAACUGUAAUUUUAUUUGAAAUUUAAGAAAGAUGCAAACAGAUCAAAACAUGGUUGCACAUUAUUUGAGAAAAUGAGAUUUCGAUUCUAAGAACUCUAAAUGAAUUUUUGAAAUGGAUUCCUAAAGGGAAUGAGAUUUUGAUUCUAAGAACUCUAAAUAAAUUUUUGAAAUGGAUUUUUAAAGGGAUUUUUUUGAGAAUAGUGUUAUGUUUUAAAAAUAAAAGAAAUUAAUUUGAAAACAAUAAAACGUAUGAAUCAAAUACCAAGCAAAACAAAAGAGAACAAAAUCACAAAGUAGAAUUUUUGACAACCGGGAAAAUUGAAGUGGUGAGAAUGGAAGCCAAUCUUCACUAUUUUUCGAUGGUCUCCGAAAAGUAAAUUUUACUAGAGACUACCAAAGCAAUAAACUAUUCAAACUUGGAUCAAAUAAGCUAACGAAAUACCCACCAAGAAUUAAUGACGAAUAUUCAAGAAACACAUCUACUAAGAAUAACAAUCAAGAAUUAGCAUGAGAUCAAUUAAACACACAAACACAUCUAGAUUAACUAAAAUGAACCAAAUUAAAUCAAAGCAAACAAUAAUUUUCAAACAUAGAAUUAACUUUAUUAAUGAACUAAUAUUAUAUAAAAUACCUAAAUCGAAUAGAUGUGCAAAACUAAAUCAAAGUAAACUAAAGGCAUGAAUUUUCAAAAAUAGAAUUGAUUUUAUUAAUGACCUAAAAUUAUACAAACUCCUAAAAUAAUUAAAAUGAAUCAAUUUAAACGAAAGGAAACUAAAACAAAAUAUGAAUUCAGGGAAUCUAAUUUCGAAAUAAACUUACAUUAUUAAAAUGAAAUCUAGGCUUAAAAACUAUUAAACACUAAUUAAAGUCAAUCUAUACUUAAAUUCUUAACACACAUGAUCAAUUAUUUUAACAAACUAACAUUUUACCUUAACCACAAAUUAAAUUAAAAAACUACCUAAGACUAAAUUUUUAACCUAUAAAAUUAAACUCAUAAUCAAAUGGAUAAGUUGAUGACACAGAUAAAUAAAUAUGAAUAAAAUAAAAUAUGAAUGAAAUGAAAUACGAACACAAGGAAUUAAAUAAUUUUUUCUUUUUUUUAAUAAACUUAUGUUAGUAAAAUAAAUUUGAGCUUAACAAACAUUUUUAUAACUAAUUAAGGCAAGUUUAAAAUAUAAUACUUAACACAUAAAAAAUCAAUCAUUUCAACAAACUAUAAUUUUAACUAAACUUAAAGUCAAUUCAAACCACCUUCAAUAGAUUUUUUUAUUUUUAUUUUAAACUGCAUUUUUAACCCAUAGAUUCAAUCUCAUUGAUAAAUAAAUAAAUAAAUAAGUUACAAAGCAUUAGCUUAGUAGCAAAUAAAUAAAUAAACAACUAAUAAUUAAAUGAAUCACAACUAAACUAAAUAAAGAUCAAACUAUAUUAUUUUUUUUAUUUUUCAAAAGUAGAAUUACAUGAAUUUGUAUUUUUUGAAUUUAAUAUAAUAUACCAAACUAAACUUAAACACAAUUCUCAUUCUGCCAUAUUAAAACAAAAAAUGCAUGGAGUUAGUAAAUAAAGUCAAAUGACACAAUAUAAUAAUAAUUCCACUAAAAAACCAAUCAAACUAAUUAAAAUUCUAAAAAAUAUCAACUAAAACAAGAUCAAUCAAAAUUAGCGUGUAUAUAUAUAUAUAUAUCUUUAUUUUUAGUUAUUUAUUUAUUAAAACACGAAUACAUCAACACGAAACGAAAUAAACUAACCAACUUACAUUCUAAAACUAAAAGGAUAAAUCAUGAAUUAAAAUUAACAACCUUUAGAUAUGAAAAGAGUGGCAUGGAAUCAAUUGAAAUAAUAAACUAAAAUUUAAUAACAUCUAAACUAAAAGAUAAAUUAAAACUAAAUUAAAUGAAAUUAUGAACUUCCUAAUUGAGAAAAAAAAUAAUAAUAGUAAUAAUGCUAAUCAAAAUUCUAAAUUUUAAACCAUCAUCAUGAAUUGCCCAAACUCUUAAAAAAUCCUAACCUUUCCAUUAUCAACAAAAAUUGCCUAAACCAAUAUUUAAAAAAUCUAAUUUGUCAAACUAAGAAUAAUAAAUUGUAACUACAUUAAACAAAAAUCAUAAUCUUCAAGCUAGAAUAAUGAAUCAAUAAUAAUUAAUUUAUUUAGAUAAGAAAAAUUAAAAAAAUAAAUUAAAGAUUAACAUCUAAGCUAAACAUGAAUUUACAAUAAAAAUUUAAAAUACAAAGAUUGAAUGGGAAUAAUUUUAAAACUAAUAAAUUGUCAUCAGGAAAUAUAUUGAUAUUAGAAAUAAUUAAACUAUAUAGAUAAAACUCUAAAACGAUUAUGCAUUGAAUUGAAUAUUUCUUGAAUCAAAAUUGAAAUAGGAAGGAUAAAUUCACAUUUUCCGAAACGUGUAGGUCACUUUCCACUAGUAGGAUUUCUAUUUUUUAUUUUAUUUUAAAAGAAUCAUUGCCAAGGAUGCAUGGUGUGGUGGCUGCCCAUGCACUGUAGCUGAAGACUUCUUCUUGGUGGUCUUUGAAACCUAGGAGCAUGGCUGAAUGUUUCCUUUCUUCCAAUAGUGCAACUGCUCCGGAAGUCCUCUCAACGGUGCGGUUGAUUCAGAAAUCGUCAUCUCAAUGGUGCGGCUGUACCCUCUCACAUUCCAAAAAAUAAUCUCGCUCCUCCCACUUGGAUCCCCUUUAGUGCGACUGUUGAUCUCCUUCCCGUUUGGUGUCACCCUCUCUUCUGAUGCAUGCUGAAAGCGUCCCAAGAAUGGUGCAGCUGGUCGUUCUUGCUUCUCCAAAGGCGUCAGACCCUCUUAUGCGUGCUGAAAGUGUCCUAAGUAUGGUGCGGCUGAUCGUUCACCCCUCUCCAAAAAAAACUCUCCCCCCUCUCACUUUCUAACCUUCCUCUUCAGUACUCUGCCAACAUGGGAAGACAACUCACCAGCCCGGAGAGCCUCAAUCAUCCACGUCAGUCUAGCAUCAUCAGGACUCUCCUUCCUGAACAUAGUCUUCAUUCCGUCCAAAUACCCAUUGAACCUUUCCUUUUUUCCAUGCCAAAACAACUUUGGUAAUUUUCUUUCUUCAUUCAUUUCCUUUCAUUAGAAGCACAAUCAACACAUGCAUGGGUGCAUACUUGCUUUCCUUCUUAGUUCAUUUCCUUCCAUACAUCCUGUCCUCUUCCAACCACCUUGAAUCCAUCCUUCAACCCGCUGAAUAUUUCCUUUCCAUAAUCACACAUGAAAAUUCCUCUUUUUAAUUUUUUUUUUGACUGAAUAUCCUCUAUUUCCUGAAAGACUCACACAUGAAUAUCCUUGCCAAUACACGUUUUCAACCUUCCUUUUUCUCUCUAAUGAUGAUUCCUUUGGUGAGUUUCUCUACAAAAAUAUAAAGAAAAUUAGACUUAAUGAAUGAAUCCCAAGGUGUUUUAGAAAAUUAUAAAAUAAAUUAACAAAAUAAUUAAGUAAAUAAUGAUAAUAAUAAUAAUAAUAAUAGUAAAGUGUCAUACAAUCUAUGGCACCAUGCAAUCAUGUGAGCAACUCAAGUCAUGCAAAGAAUGUCUAAUGGGCCUCGGGUGUAUCUAAUAGACCUAAAGGGUCUAAGUGGACCAAUGACGGUGCCUAAUGGGUCUAAGUGGGCCUAGGGUGGUGCCUAAUGGACCUAAAGGGUCUAAGUGGGCUUAGGGUGGUGCCCAAGUGUAUCUAAGUGAACCUAAAGUGCUUAAGUGGAUCUAAGUGAACCUAAAAUGUUUAAGUGGAUCUAAGUGAACCUAAAGUGCCUAAAUGGGCCUAAGUCUAAAUUAGGGCUACUAAGAGUCACAAUAGGGUUAAAUGAAUCUCUCUACCAAAGUCUCCGAGGUGGCUCAAAAAAGGUAAGUAGUAUGAGUAGCUAUGGGCCACUAAGGAACUACUGUGGAGCACUGGAAGUGAACUUAAAGACAUAUGCUAAAGGAACAAAAUUGAGGGUCUACAACCUGGUAUGAGUAUUAAUGGAACACCCACGUAACACUGAUAAAGGCAAAUUGCAAGGAUAAGGCAAUGAUCGAACAAAUAACCUAUGAUUAAGCAAGAUCAUUCAAAAUCAAUUUUGUAUAUUUUUGUAACCGUUAUUUGCUGUGUUGACUUGAACAAUUCUGUAACUGUUGUAUAGUUGUAGACAAAUUGAUGUACAUUGCCGCAAAUAGUUUUUCUUAGCUAUGCAUAUAAGUAAACUCUUAUUACAUCAAUAAAAGUGUGAAAAUUUUCAUUGAAAACAACAAUGUUAUUUCUUCUAUACUAUUUAUAUUUGCAUAGGGCUAGCUUCUUUUCCAUAGUUUUUCUUUUGUUUAUAUGUUUUAAUUGAUGCAUAUUCACUUUCUUAUUCUCUUAAUUAAAUUGCAAUAAUUAAACCUACAAUUUAAAUAAAUUUUAAAAUUUAUUUUUAACUAAAAACAACAAUAUACAUAUACAAAUAUAUACUGCUUAAGUAAUUAAUUUUUAAAAAAUUAUCCUUUGAGAACAUCUCAGACAAACUAAGACAUGCUUCUAGGGAAAUCUAAAUAUAAUGUUUUUAAAAGCUACUUUGUAAUUUUAUUUUCGAGCAUGUUGCAUUAUAUAUACUUUCCUUGAAUUGAUUUUCCAAAUUUUAUUUUUGUCAACAAUAAGGGUUAUCUACGUUUUGGAAGAUAUCUUUAAUUUCCCCUCCAAAGAAUAAGUGAUCUUGAAACUUAUAAGUUAAUUAUGUUCACUUGAUUGAAUAAGAGAUUUGAACAAUCUUGUAAAAAGAUGUUAAGUAGAUGGUUGAUUUCGAAAUUAUCCUUUAAACUAUAAAGGGAAAUAGAAAAAAAUACUAUUAUUUUGGUACAAGACCAUAUUGUUUAGUAGUGUCUCUAGGGAGUUCCAUUAGAUGCUAUCAAACAAUUAAUUUGGUGUCUCACUAACGUAAUUUGAGUUGUUGGAUUUUGGGUUUUGCAAACUCUAAUUGCUGGAGGUAGCGACACAACUGUUGUCUCUCUAACCUGGGUAUUCUCUCUUUUACUAAACAACCGCGACACCUUAAAAAAAGCUAAAAAAAAAUAUUCAAGUUGGCAAGGAAAGAUUAGUGAAUGAACAAGAUAUAAGUAAGUUGGUCUAUCUUCAAGCCAUUCUUAAAGAAAUUGAGAAAAUAAAGGCUAAUCUUAAAAGAUAAAAACACCCAAGAGGGGGGUGAAUUGAAUUUUUAAAAAUUAUUUUUAAACACAACAAAUUUAAGCAUAAGAUAAUCAAAUAUAAAAAGAUAAGGUUAGAGAAAUCAAACUCAGAUUUUAUAAUGGUUUGACACUUCCUUACCUACAUCCACUCUCCUCAAGCUCUUAACCGAGUGAGGGUUCCACUAACAUGAAGUUUCAACCAAACUUCUAAUUACAUUUACACUUAGAUUCCGGCUCCAAUGGGCUCUUACACAAUCUCUUCAAGUUUCAACUCACUUAAAGACUUUAGCACUAAGUUAACAAGUAUGGAUCUCUCAACUUAGCUCAACAAUGACUCAAAUACAACCCAAAGCUAGGAUGAAUCACAAAGGUGCACUAAAGGAUAUGUAUAUGGAGAUUUAAUGAACUAAGAAAAGAAAUGAGAGCUUUUAAGGCAAGAACAAAUAGGUAAGCAAAUAAAUGCAUGUGUUCUCUUACUCAUAAAUGAAGUGGAGCUCUUUAUUUAUAGGUUUUUAACAUUAUAAGCCAAAAAAACCAAAAAAACAGUCUCAAUCGGUCGAGCUGAGGGUCAAUCAGUUUACUAGCCGUUGGAGCAUUUAAUGCUUGGCAGGUGACAGUUACCCUCGACCGGGAAGACAAAUCCCUCGACUGGGAAGGAAAGGCUACUGAAAAAGAGAGAGUCUUUUUUGCACCUCUCGGUCGGACCACAAUAGGGAAGGGGGAACCGGUCGACCGGUACCCUAGUCAGUUGAGCCUGUUUGGACAUAGCCUUGACCGGUUCACAAUUUUUUACCCGAAAACCUAUCUUUUUCUGGUAUUUUUGCUUCAAACACUUAGGCAAGGUCUUCAGAUAAAAUUAUAUGCCAAUUUUGAAACGUUUUGCCCAAGGUUCAUUUGAUAGAUCUCAGAUUUUGGUGAAAAUGUAACUUUAAAGCAUAAAUCGAGUUUUUCAAAGAUGCAUGAAAUAAUAUGUAAAUCCUAAGUGUAUCAAUGCAUUCAUCUUACAUAUGUUUCCUCUCAUUAAAGGUCUUUCCAAAAGUCUUGAUCUUGCAUCCAUUAGGUCAUUUGAUGAAUUUCCAAAUUAACACCUGAAAUUCUUUAUAAUUUAAACCAAUUAGUAACUUAACUAUGAUUUGUUAUCAUCAAAACAUGAUUAGGAGAACCCUUGGGCCAACAGAGACAUUACGGUUAUAUCCACCAAGACCACUUGGAGGACUAUGCCAAUUUAUUGAGGAUUGCACCUUGGGUGGAUACCAUGUCUUUAAAGGCACCUGUUUAAUAAUGAACCUUUCGAAGAUCCAAAAUAUCCAAGAAUCUAGUUAGAUUCGAUAGAAUUCUAACCAGAGAGGUUUCUCAUCAACCAUAAGAAUGUUGAUCCUUAGGGAAAACAUUUUGAAUUUAUACCAUUUGGAGCUUGUCAAAGAGCAUGUCUAGGAAUAGCUUUUGGUCUUCAAAUAUUAUAUUUAACAUUAGCUAGUUUCUUACAUGCAUUUGACUUUUCAACUCCAUCAAAUGAACAUGUUGAUAUGCGAGAGAGCUUUGGACUUACAAAUAUGAAAUCUAUCCCACUCGAAGUUUUCAUUUCUCAAAUCUACCCCACUUGAAAUCCUCAUUUCUCUACACUUAUCUUCUUGUAGUCUUUACAACUAAAACAUUGAAAUGAAGAGGUCAAAGUUGACCUAGCUAGUCUUGGUUUAAAGACAUAUAGAGUUAGGUUCAAUCAAUCUAUGAUAAGAUUUGAGAUUUGUAUUAAAAGUAGGUUGGACUAAGAAUGAUGUACAAUAAACUAAAGUACUAUCCAUGCAAAUAAAGUAUAACAUUAUAUAUUAUUUGGUUAGCAUUCUGAAAUGUAACAUCAUAAUUAUUUCUUUGUUUUGUCUAAUUUAUCGCCAUUUCCCCCCCUCAUCUUCAUCAAAACAAAUAAUAUAUAGUCUUUCUAUUUUUAAAAAUCAAAUUCGAUUCCCAAUUAUAUAAGAAUUUUACUGUUACUUUAUAAUAAACUUGACUUUAGUCUUAAUAACUUUGACUUGUAAAUAUGUUCUCCAUCCUUAAUUAAAUAUACAGAUAAUUUCAUUCAUUUUUUCUAAGAUUGGAGUCAAAUUUACCCAUCCAUACUUAACUUGAAAUUUUCUUAAAUAUCUAUUUUUUUUCAUUUUUUUUACACGUAUAUCUUUUAAUUUAAAAUAAAAAAUAUUUAAUAAAAUUUCAAAAUAAUAGUUGUCAGACAUAUUUAUGUGACAUUUUUGAAGAGGUGAAUGAAACUAAACUUUUCUUUAACUAUAAAAUCAUAAAAAUUUAAUAUAUGCAAGCAUGAUCCGGUCUAAAUAUGAUAUAUAAUUUGUGUCAUUUCAAAAAAUCAUAGAAGAUCCUUUUGGCAAAGUGACCCCCCAUUUGAGUUGUAUUUUGUAAUUGGUCACCACAUGUUAUAUCAUUUCAAAGAUUAUGGAGGAUCAUGUUGCCAAUCAUUAUCAGAAGAAGUACAACUUCCUCUAUAAAACUAAUCAAUACGAUAUUUAGCACAUGCAAACAAAUUUGGAAGGAUCUGAAAGUCAAGUCUACGGGCCACCCCUUUACGACUUGUUCGAAAAAGCACAAAUCAAUGGUGGUGCCACUUGCCAGCAGUCUGUUUCAAUAUCUAAAUGUUACCUCGGUGAGACUGCUUGACAUACUUUUUGUCUCCUACUAUCUCAUGGAGAUCCAGAGUUGGUAAGAUAAGAAUAGCAUCCGAAGCUGCUGGUGCAUGGCCAAUAAUCGGUCACCUCCUCUUAGGUGGGUCACAACUUCCUGGGAUUUUUUAUAAAAUUAUGGUAGAUUUAAAAUUAAUUUUUUAAAAAUGCAGCAUAUUAAUGCUUGACAGGUGACAGUUACCCUCAACCGGAAAGACAAAUCCCUCGAUUGGGAAGGAAAGGCUACUUAAAAAGAGAGAGUGUUUUUUGCACCUCUCGGUCGGACAUCAAUAGGGAAGGAGGAACCGGUCGAUCGGUACCCUAGUCAGUUGAGCCUGUUUGGACAUAGCCUUGACCGGUUCACAAUUUUUUACCCGAAAACCUAUCUUUUUCUGGUAUUUUUGCUUCAAACACUUAGGCAAGGUCUUCAGAUAAAAUUAUAUGCUAAUUUUGAAACGUUUUGCCUAAGGUUCAUUUCAUAGAUCUCGGAUUUUGAUGAAAAUGUAACUUUAAAGCAUAAAUCGAGUUUUUCAAAGAUGCAUGAAAUAAUAUGUAAAUCCUAAAUGCAUCAAUGCAUUCAUCUUACAUAUGUUUCCUAUGAUUAAAGGUCUUUUCAAAAGUCUUGAUUUUGCAUCUAUUAGGUCAUUUGAUGAAUUUCCAAAUUAACACCUGAAAUUUUUUAUAAUUUAAACCAAUUAGUAACUUAACUAAGGUUUGUUAUCAUCAAAACAUGAUUAGGAGAACCCUUGGGCUAACAGAGACAUUACGGUUAUAUCCACCAGGACCACUUGGAGGACUAUGCCAAUUUAUUAAGGAUUGCACCUUGGGUGGAUACCAUGUCUCUAAAGGCACCCGUUUAAUAAUGAACCUUUCGAAGAUCCAAAAGGAUCCAAGAAUCUAGUUAGAUUCGAUAGAAUUCUAACCAGAGAGGUUCCUCAUCAACCAUAAGAAUGUUGAUCCUUAGGGAAAACAUUUUGAAUUUAUACCAUUUGGAGCUGGUCAAAGAGCAUGUCCAGGAAUAACUUUUGCUCUUCAAAUAUUAUAUUUAACAUUAGCUAGUUUCUUACAUGCAUUUGACUUUUCAACUCCAUCAAAUGAACAGGUUGAUAUGCGAGAGAGCCUUGAACUUACAAAUAUGAAAUCUAUCCCACUUGAAGUUUUCAUUUCUCAAAUCUACCCCACUUGAAAUCCUCAUUUCUCUACACUUAUCUUCUUGUAGUCUUUACAACUAAAGCAUUGAAAUGAAGAGGUCAAAGUUGACCUAGCUAAUUAUUUCUUUGUUUUGUGUAAUUUAUCGCCAUUUUUUCCCUUUCUCUUAUUCCCUCAUCUUCAUCAAAACAAAUAAUAUGUAGUUUUUCUAUUUUUAAAAAUCAAAUUCGAUUGCCAAUUAUAUAAGAAUUUUACUAUUACUUUAUAAUAAACUUUACUUUAGUCUUAAUAACUUUGACCUGUAAAUAUGUUCUCCAUCCUUAAUUAAAUAUACGGAUAAUUUCAUUCAUUUUUUCUAAGAUUGGAGUUAAAUUUACCCAUCCAUACUUAACUUGAAAUUUUCUUAAAUAUCUAUUUUUUUUCCUUUUUUUUUACACAUAUAUCUUUUAAUUUUAAAUAAAAAAUAUUUAAUAAAAUUUCAAAAUAAUAGUUGUCAGAUAUAUUUAUGUGAAAUUUUCGAAGAGGUGGAUGAAACUAAACUUUUCUUUAAAUAUAAAAUCAUAAAAAUUUAAUAUAUGCAAGCAUGAUCCGGUCUAAAUAUGAUAUAUAAUUUGUGUCAUUUCAAAAAAUCAUAGAAGAUCCUUUUGGCAAAGUGGCCCCACCUUUGAGUUGUAUUCUGUAAUUGGUGACCACAUAUUAUAUAAUUUCAACGAUUAUGGAGGAUCAUGUUGCCAAUCAUUAUCAGAAGAAGUGCAGCUUCCUCUAUAAAAAUAAUCAUAUUUAGCACACGCAAACAAAUUUGGAAGGAUCUGAAAGUCAAGUCUACGGGCCACCCCUUUACGGCUUUUUCGAAAAAGCACAAAUCGAUGGUGGUGCCACUUGCCAGCAGUCUGUUUCAAUAUCUAAAUGUUACCUCGGUGAGACUGCUUGACAUACUUUUUGUCUCCUACUAUCUCAUGGAGAUCCAGAGCUGGUAAGAUAAGAAUAGCAUCCGAAGCUGCUGGUGCAUGGCCAAUAAUCGGUCACCUCCUCUUAGGUGGGUCACAACUUCCUGGGAUUUUUUAUAAAAUUACGGUAGAUUUAAAAUUAAUUUUUUAAAAAUGCAGCAUAUUAAAAAAUAUCUUUGAAUAAUAAUAAUAAAAUGACAAAUAAUAAAAAGGAAAGAAAGUUGUCUUGUGGCUAUAAGAAAGAAUAAUAUAAAAGAGAGAGAAGAGGAGAGGCGGAUAGAGAGAAGAGUAGCAGAAAAAAAAAAAGAACGGGAAGGUGCAUGCUGCAAAUCUUUGGGUGUUCGUAUGACGAGCAAAACGAGUUAUGUUUUGCGUGAAAGUUAAGGUGAAAAUUUUCUUUGACAUGAGGAACAUUCUUUCAAAGUUUGAUUUUAAUUUCAAUGAUUGGAUUUUUUUAUUUGUGGUAAGGUAACAUUCCCUCAAAGUUUGAUUUUAAUUUCGAUGAUUGGAUUUUUUGAUUUGUGGUAAGGUAGUUUAAUCCUACAACUUUUGUUUAAUAUUUUUUCUUGAAAAAAUAUUAUGGAUUUUAUUAUUGGGAGAUAAAUAUGUGUUAUUUGUGUUUUCUUUAUGUUAUUUGAAAUAUGAUUAUUGUUAGGGUGGAUUAUUAUGAUUUUUUUUUUUAUGUUUGCAAUGAUUUAAUUGAAGAAAAAUUAUUGUGUUAAUUGUUGGAAAUUAUUCAAUAUAUUAAGAAUAAAUAAAAUUUAUAUGAUUAUGGUUUAGACUAUGUUUUGAUGAUAUAUAAAUUAUUGUGAUUUUUUUUUGUGGUUAUUUAAUUGAAGAAAAAUUGUUGUGAUGUAACAGGAAUUAUUGAUUAUGUUUGGAGUAAAUAAAAAUUAUGUCCUAUAAAAUUAUGGAUGAUAACAUGUAAGUUUAUUAUAUUUCAUAUAUGGUUAUAUGAAAAACAAAAAUUGAUGAAAGAUUUUAUGAAAUGGAAAAAGGAAAAAAAAAGAAAAAAAAUGAUGAUGAAAAGUAAAAACCCGUAAAAGACGAAUUAAGAAGGAAAUGAGAUUUCUAGUAUGAAAACUACAAAAAUUUAUCUUGUGAAAACUCUAAAUGGGGAGUGUAUUUAAUAUAGAUGUAUAUCAUUCAGUAAAAACCCAAAAACAAUAGUUUGUUACUUUAUUGAAUGUAAACAUUUGCAUCAUGUUUUCAUUUGGAAGAAUGACAUGUAUUAAUUACUUGAAUGACAUUAAUGGUAUGUUUGGAUAUUUUAUUAGAGACUGAAAUGAUUUAUUUAUUUUGUAAAUUUAGAAUUGUUUGAUUUGUUAUUUAUAUAAUUGAAUAAGAAAUGUGAUAAUUUUGAUUAGUUUAAUUUUAUAUGGUUGAGGUUUUAUUUAAUGAAAUGCAUUGUUUUGAAAAUUGGAUCGGACCAACCGGUUCAAUUGCCAACUGGUGAUCUUUCCGGUUCUGUCCUCUCCUUUAAACCGCUAGAUGGUUGAACCAACCACAAACCACUAUUGGCAGUUGGACCGAUGAACCGCUUGGACCGGGUGGUUUUUCAUGAACUGCAUGGCUCAAUUCCAGCCCAGUCUUCCCCCCAUUUUUUCUUUCAUCCAAAUAGUCCAACCUUCCCCUCCUCUUUUUCAAAGGGUCCAAGUGAAAGCCCAAUAAGCCCAGCCUUACAUCUUAAUGGUCUUUAGGCAAAACCUAAACCCAUUUAAACCCCUCAAUGGGUUGUACCUUUGAACCCCUUAGUUACACAAAUGGCUUGAAUGAACUGUGUUUUACGCGCAUAUUCACAUCCACAUCCAUGUGGGAUUGCUGCUAUUUUAAGUCUAAAGAAAAAGCAACACCACUUAGCUACAACACAAUUUGAUGCAAGUCUAGAAAAUAAAAAAAACAUGUGUUUCAAAAAAAAAAAAAAAAUAUUAAAUAAAAUAAUAUAAUAUUUUCUGAAAUUAUAAAAUUAGUUAAAGUUAAAUAAUUAAAUUUUUACAUAUUCCAUUUAAUAAAGUUCAAAAUAUUAAUAUAUUUAUAUUUAUAUUUUGAUAAUAUCAAAGAUAAAAAUUAAAUAUUUUUAAAUUUUUAAUUUAUAUAUCUAUAUAUAUAUAUAUAUAUAUAUAUAUAUAUAGUUUUUUAUUUUUUAUUUUAAUAAUAUAUAAGUUAUAUAUUUAUGACAUUAUUUGUUCGACUAUUCGAUCAUCGGUCCAACCAUUGAAUCAUGAAUAGAUAACUUUUCUGAUUCAAUAACCGGUCUGAUUUUGAAAAUAUUGAUUUAAUGUAAAUAUAAUAUUAUAUUUUGACAUAUAAUUGUUUUCUAUUGACCUAAAUUUUUUAAUUCAUUUGGGUGUAAAACACCUUACAAAACAAUAUGAAAAUGUUCACCCCUUUAUUUUUAUAAAAUUUUUAGAUACAAAUAUAGUUUAUAAGGAACCAUAAGAAAAUCAAGAAGUGUUCCAAAAAGCCUUAAAAAAUAAAAGAACAACAAUAAUAAUAAUUUUUAAUUUAUAUUACCUUUUUGACAUGUGCUAAUUUGAGUUAUAUGAAUUUUUGUAACUUAAAUUAUAUUUUUUUAUUUUGUAAAAUAUUUUUGGAAAUAUUUUUUACUUAGAUUUAUGUAGAUAUUUGGGUUUAAAUAUUGAUCUAUUCACUGUCAAAUUGGAUAGGAAUAAACUUUAAGGUCAACCCUUUGACCUGAUAUCACUAGUCGGAUUCUGAGUUGCCUUGGGUGUGACUAUAAUGGAUUUUCUUCUCCAUUGCCUAAACCCUGUCAUGGUUGGAGCGUUUGCAAUACUCGUCCUCUCAUACCACCUGUUAUUAUGGAGGUCUGGAGCUGGUAAGAGCAGAAUGGCACCUGAAGCUUCUGGUGCAUGGCCCAUAAUAGGUCACCUGCACCUGUUAGGUGGAUCUAAGAAUUUGCCUCACUUACUUUUUGGAACCAUGGCCGACAAGUAUGGACCAGUAUUCAGCAUCCGGCUGGGAUUAAAAAGAGCUGUGGUUGUGAGUAGUUGGGAAAUGGCCAAAGAAUGCUUCACCACCCAUGACCUGGCUCUGGCCUCCCGUCCUCAGCUUGUGGCCGCCAAAUAUUUGGGAUAUAACUAUUCCAUGUUUGCUUUCUCUCCUCAUGGUGCAUACUGGCGUGAAGUGCGUAAGAUAGCCACUCUAGAGCUACUCUCGAACCGCCGGCUAGAGUUGCUGAAGAAUGUCCGAAUCUCAGAGGUGGAGACAUGCAUGAAGGAACUAUACAAGCUUUGGGCAGAGACGAAAAGCGAAGCAGGCGUUGUUUUGGUGGACAUGAAGCAAUGGUUUGGGCACUUGUCUCUGAACGUGAUUCUUAAGAUGGUUGUUGGAAAACGAUAUUUCGGUUAUGCAGCCGAAAGUAAAGAGAAAGGGGCCCAGCAGUGCCAGAAGGCGAUUAGGGAAUUCUUUCGUUUGAUGGGACUCUUUGUGGUGUCGGAUGCCCUUCCUUUUCUUGGAUGGCUUGACGUGGGUGGACAUGUGAAAGCCAUGAAGAAGACUGCAAAAGAAUUGGACGGUAUUGCUCAGGAAUGGUUAGAGGAACACCGACGGCGAAAAGAUUCGGGUGAAGCUGAUGGUGACCAGGACUUCAUGGACGUGAUGCUGUCCAUUCUGGGUGGUAGAGACACUACUGAUUAUGAUGCUGAUACCAUCAACAAAGCUACAGCCCUGGUAUGCACAUUAUUCCUUUAGCAUCUUUAUAUGGUAGUAAAAAAUGAGACAUAAUUUCACGCUUUAUCAUCUUUAGUCCAGACUCAAGAGUACUUGGGCCUGGGUUGGAAGAACUUCUUGUUUUUGCUUAGUUUCAAGUUGAAACUAAUCAAAAGCAGCGAUUUUUAAAAGGUAAUUAUAAUAGUGGUGUUAUAAAAGUUCAAACAUAAAAUAACUUUUUGCAUAAAUCAAAAUAGAGUUUAUAUAUAUAUAAUAUUUUUCUGAUCUUCAUAUUAAUUUUUUUAAGUCAUAACUUUUUUGAACAAAAUUAGUCAAACCAUAGAACUCUUGAACUUACAGAAAAGGCCUUUCGAUUUCUUAGAAAUAGAUACAUGUAGAGUUUUGUUAUAUGUUUGUUUUUGUCAAAAGAGUAACAUGAGCAGCUUAGACAAGCAAUUAGAAUGAAAUACAACUGGGCUGAGAAGCUGAUCGAGUACAACUAGAAUUAUGUACAACCUCUUGCUAGGAUAACUGGGUUGGACUAGUAAUGAUAGAGUUCUCCGUUGGAGUUAGGUGGCCCAAAAAGAUUGUGCUGUUUGAAUAGCUGGUCCUCUAAUUUAGGAAGAGGCAACCGAAUUUGCACCGCUGGGUGGCUGGGCCCAUAGAAAAUAUUAUUGUCAGAAGAUUAUGAAAGUAUGUUCCUUAGUCCGCAUGCUUUGAGGCCUCUUUGAGUGGGCUUCUAGGGCUGGUUAGACAAUUGGGCCUUUCAAAGGAUUUCCUAGAGUUACAUUUUUUUUAGCCCAACAUGAAUUUUUAUAAAAUGCUAUAUUUAUACGCGAGUUUCAUAUUGAAGCUAAACAUACCCAUUUUGAUCGGAAAAAAAAAGGAAAGAAAAUGGGGCCUUUUUUCCACCCUUAAUCCUAUCACUAUUUUUAAUUUUAUUUUAUUAGUUAAUGGUAUGUAUUUCACAGAUUCUGAUUGGAGGAGGCACUGACACUACAUCUGGUACUUUAACAUGGGCAAUCUCACUUUUAUUGAACAAUCCACACAUAUUAAGAAAAGCUCAAGAAGAAUUGGAUGCACAUGUUGGUAAAGAAAGAAUAGUAAAUGAAAUGGAUAUAAGCAAGUUGGUCUACCUUCAAGCAAUUGUUAAAGAGACAUUGAGGUUAAAUCCAACAGCCCCACUUUCAGGACCGCGUCAAUUCAUCCAAGAUUCUAUUUUAGGCGGUUACUAUAUCUCAAAAGGCACUCGUCUUAUAUUGAACCUCACCAAGAUCCAAAGAGACCCGAGAGUAUGGUUGAACCCAAUGGAGUUCCAACCAGAUAGAUUCCUCACCACCCACAAAGAUGUUGAUGUUAGAGGUAAACAUUUUGAGUUGACACCAUUUGGUGGUGGAAGAAGAAUUUGCCCUGGAGCAAUUUUUGCCCUUCAAGUGCUACACUUAACAUUAGCCAACUUCCUACAUAGAUUUCAACUUUCAACUCCAUCAGAUGCACCGGUUGAUAUGAGCGAGAGUUUUGGAUUAACAAACAUCAAAUCCACUCCACUUGAAGUUCUUAUCUCCCCACGCUUGGCUUCUUAUGAUCUUUAUGAGUAGAACUUGAGGUCGCUAAGAGACUUAUUUCAAAAAACCUAGUGCUAUGAAAUGUGAAAUAAAAAUAAAUUUCAUACAUGUAGCAUAAGUUUAGUAUUAUUUUAAAGCAGUUACUAAUGUGUGUCCUUUAGUAUUGUCUUAGCUUGAAUUUAAUAAAAAAAUAUUUUCGACAACUAUUUUGUGUGGACAAGUAAUGACCCAAUUUCUUGUUAUGUUUCUUCAUUCUUCCAUGAAAGAGAAUUUAGAAGAAAAAGUGGCAUAUAGCAUUACAAUUGAAAAAUUAAUAAGCAUGUACUCCACCAUAUGCAUAUAUAUGCAUAGUAGACUUAAUGAAUUUCCAAGUUGAUUAAUUGGUAUCUCCUUUUGAUAGAUUUCAGCCACCUUUUUGUACAUGAUUAAAGUAGUAAUGGAGACUAAAAUUACAACUCCCAUUUCAUUGUAAAAAGUUGGGAUGUGCAAGGUGGGUCAGUUCAAUUUUGGGCAUUAAAAUCGAAUCGAAUCGAAUUGAACCCAAAAGAGGAAAAUGAUUAGUUUGACUUGAUUAACAAUAAUCUAAGUUGGUUUAUUUUGCUUCUAUUUAUAACAUCAAUUUUUUUUUUAAUUUGAACGAAAAUAAUAUUAUUGAAGCAAGUCAUCUUUGGACGGUUGAAAUGAUAUUAUUACAACUAAUUUCAAAUCAUAUUAUUAUAACUUAAUGACAUGAAUAGGUAUUAUUGUAACCCAUGUCAAUCAUAUCAAAUAGUCCAAGUCAUAGAUAAAAGUUAUAAAGGUGUGAUUGGGAGUUCCAUCCAAUGUGAAAAAUGUAUACCAAAUUAAUAAUGUAACCAAUUGUUAUACUGUAUAUUAUUAUUGUGUGUGUAUAGCUUUCAAUUCAAUUCAGUUUGGUUCAUUAAUUUUUUUUUAUAGGUAAUUGAAUUGGUAUAACUUAGGUUUAUAUUUUUAAAAAUAAAAUCUUUAAAAAUUAAUAGAUUUGGGUCAAUUCCAUUGAUUUUGUCAAUCGUACACCCUAAAAGAAGGGAUGUCCACUUAUCAUCCAUAACUUUGUGUACUCCUAAGUUAGAAUUUUGCCCCAUGUGAUUCACAUUUGUACUUAUUAUUCUCAAAUUUUCGUACAAAUGAUUUAUUGUUUUGUGGAAUUUUACUCCAUGAGAUUCACAUUUGUACUUAUUAUUAUCAACUUUGUCUGCUCUUAAGUUACAAUUUCUCCUAAUUAGAUUCACAUGCGUUAUUGCCAUAAUUGACUUUCCACAUUUAUGCAUGAAUUAUUAUGUCAAUAGAUGCAUUAUCAUUUUGUCAAGUUAAUUUGACUUAGGUUAAUCACCAAAGACAAGGUGAAUUAAUUGACUCAAUUUUAAUAAAUUUUAAUUUAAAUGAGUGCAAGUAAUAAUAAUAAAACAGUAAAAAAAUACAUAAUUAAAUAAAUAAAAAGAAGAGAUAACUGGUACAAACUCCAAUUUAUAUUUUGCUCAAUCCUAUACUCUCCUCAAGCCCUCAAAUGCAAAUUGAGGGUUCCACUAGCUUUUAAGACUUCAAUCAAACCUUAAUCCUUUACACCUGGAUUCUCAAUUUCAAUGAUCUUUUUACACUUUAAUUCAAGAAAUUCCUCACUCUUGAACAUACUCAAAGGUAACACUUGAACAACAUUGAUCUCACAAAGUUUUAUUUACAGAUAAUAUAAAUGAAAACUUAAAUGGUUUUUUUUGGUUAGGAUUUCUAAAUUAAUAAGGAUUUUUACAUUAAAAAGAAAGAGUUAAGAUCAACUGGGUUUUGUAAGAUUUUGAUAUAUAUCUUAGUUUGCGAGUUUUUUGGGAUUAUAUUGUAAUCUUAUUGUUUUAUCCUAAAAUUGUCAAAAAAAGAAAUUAGUAAUUUAGUAUGGAAAUUUUACUCCAAAGAUUAUUGAUUAAAAAUUAUUUUACUAAUACCAACGUGUAAGAGUUAAAGGCAUAAAAUUGAAAUUAAAGUAAGUUUAUUAUUUUGGAUUUUGUUAAGUAAUGACAAGAUUAAUAAUUGAAAUUAAUGUAAAAAGAAGUGUAAAAACUUUAAAACUUUAAAAUAUCAUUUCAUUAUUAGUUUCCACUUGCCAACAUAGACUUCUCAUUCUAUUCUAACAAGUUUUUUGUACUUUUAUAUAUAUAUAUUUCAUAAACUUAACAAAGGAUACAAACAGCAAAAGAAAAAAAAAAUUGAGCUACUAAACCUCAAUAUAAAUUUGGGGUGAAUUGUCAAGGUCUAUUAAGGAGCAUGGGGAAGUACUGUAUCACAGAUCAAUGUGAAGAUGUAUAUAUAUUUAUAGUAUAGAACCUAAGAGAACGUUUCUUUCUAAGUUAGGUAAACAUUUCUGUCAAAGUUGAUGAAAUUUUACUAUAAUUUAUAUACACAUGCUUUCAGUGUGCAUAUAAAUUAUACGUGGAGAUGAUUUUUAACUUAUAUCUUGCUUUUUAUAUGUGAUUUAAUAUUGUUUUGGAUUAUUGAUUAUGACUUAUGAAUUAUCAUGCAUGGAACUAAUCAAAAUGAUAUAAUUAAAUUAUAUUAAUGAAUUUGAGAUAGACAUGGCAAUUAUUAAUUUAAAAUAUCUUAUAUGAACAUAAAAUUUUAAAUAUAGACUCAUAAUUUAUAUUAAAAUAAUAAAAUUAAAAAAGUACGUUUAUCUCAGAUUUAUGCCUAGGGCCCAAAUUUUGCUGAGAGACGGCCGGAUGUCAUCACAUGCAAGAAAGCUAGGAAACAAAGCUAAAGUUUGCUUCUUGUGUGGGAAGAGGUACUUCCGUGCUUGACUGAAAGAAAGGAUUUUCUACAAGAAAAAUUGUCCCCUUGUUUGUAAAGCCUCAAGUUGCGACAGCAAUAACGACAAAAGUAGGCCAAAGAAUUUGUCAUUAUUAUGAGACUAGAGAGGUUUUACUGAGAAGUUUUCCGAGCGUGAUAUCAGCAUUCGCUGUAUCACAGUGAUACAACAAAUGGUUUGAACACAGUGAUCUAGAACCCAUUAGCUCAAAUUUCAUUGAUCUGAACACGAUGAUCCUCAUCCGCAGACCAUUUUAGGGAAUAAUUAAUUCUAGCGAUUUUUUAACUGCAUGUACGAAGAACUUCAUCAAAAUUCGAUUAAGUGUAUCUUAACCAAUCUUGAUCAGUAUGCGACUGAUGAUUCUAUUUGAUAAAAGUAAUGCGGUGGCCCAACUUUAUCUUAAUUUCUAUGUUGAAAGUAAUCAUUAUAUUAUUCUAUAAUUAUAAAUGUAGACUAUGGAAUCAAGAUAACUUUGAUAUGCUGAGAUCAAAAGAGGGCGGCCACUUUAGUAGUGGACUAUAUAUACUAAAUAAAGCUGAUCGAUUAUUACAUUGGAAAAUAACAUUGAACCUAUCAUGAAAGACAACCCUACUGGACCAUGCCCCGAGUACUAAAUGCUGAUAAAAAACAAGUACAUGUUCCAAAGGAAUUGAGUCCAUAUAUACACAUUAGUGCUCAAAGAGAAAAACUAUAUAUCCACCGCUUAACUACAGUGAUCCUUUGAGCAGAAGUUAGCCAUGUAUUUCCUUUUCCAAUACCUAAACAUCACCACGGUCGGAGUCUUUGCCACACUUUUCCUUUCCUACUGUCUAUUAUUAUGGAGGUCUAGAGCUGGUAACAAAAAAAUAGCACCUGAAGCUACUGCUGCAUUGUCACGACCCAAAUUCCGGGUGACCCAUAAUUUGGCCCGUGACCCCAGGUCAAAGGUUUGACCCUAAGGGUUACUCCUAUUCCACGUUGGCAGUCAACUAAAACACUCUGAAAUUUUUUUUUUUCUCACAUAUAAGUCUCACUAGGUUCUCACCAACUAACAAUAUUUCAACCCUUACUCAAACACAUUAAGAUUUAAUAAAUAUCAUUGCAUUCCAAAAUAAAAUUUCAUAAAAAUCCCCUUAAUCGAAUUAAGGUCUUAUUACAUUAUCCAUAAUUCACUUAUUACAAGAUCUCAAUACCACAAACAUAAUAAAAAAAUAAAACACAUUCCACUAAACCGCUCCAAGGGCAUCCUGAAGUCCUCCCUGUCCCACCUGUGGAUCCUCAGGAGUGAUAUCUGCAUCUAAAAAUAUAUAUAUAAAAAAAAAGGGUGAGCAUUUCCACAUUGCUCAGUAGGGUGCCUAACACCCAAAGGGUUAAUGGGGGAUUACUAUAUUUCAAUAACCCAAACACAACAGUUUACCAAUAUAAAUCAAGUCACACAAUUUAACAUAUAAUAUUAUACUCAAUCCCACAACAUCCAAUCAUUACAUAUUAAAUUACCACCUACAUCUAUAAGUUCUUCAUCUUUUUAUAAAGGAGCUAUAGAAAUGUUAAAAAGUCGAAAGAAGACAACAAAUAGUUCUCCAAACAACACAACUGAUUUAGAUAGAUAUCUUAAUAUUGAUUUAAUUUCAUUUGAAGAUGAUGAAGAUUUUGAUAUUUUAAUAUGGUGGAAAUCACAACAACACAAAUAUCUUGUGCUUUCUAUCAUUGCUCGUGAUGUACUAACAGUUCCUGUGAGUACAGUUGCAUCAGAAGUUGCUUUUAGUGCAGGUGGAAGAGUAGUUAGUGAUAAACGAUGCAGCUUAGCGCCGGAUUCUAUUGAAGCAAAUAUAUGUCUGAAAGACUGGGCAAUAGCAGAUAAAAGGAUAUUUGAUUCUAUUCAAGAAGAAAAUAUGCUUGUCGAUAUGGAAAAACUAAAAUCAUCAGAUCUUCAUGGAUUUGCGAUAGUUAGCCAUCACCGCUAAGAGAUAAUGAUUAAAAUAUUUUACUAAAUGUAUGUCAUAUUUUUAUUUUUAUUUUUGUGGUUGAAAAGUACAAAUGAUUGACAAAUAAGUAGGUGCCAACCUAGUUGAGAUGUAUUUAUUUUGUAGUGAUGUAAACUUUUUCCACAUUUUCAAAUGUAAUGUAUAUAUUCAAUGAAUAAAAUAGUUAGCAAUGAAUAUUUUUAUUAAUGUAGCAUUUUCUAUUUUUUGAAUAUAUUUUUAUAUAUAUAUAUAUAUAUUUUUAAGUGGCGGGCCUACGGGUGGGCCCACGGCCGGGCCGGGCUUAAAUUGGGGCCCAUCCAAAAAUGGGCUCGGGUCGGGCUUUAGCCUACUGGGCCGGGCCGCGAGCUUUUUGGAGACCCUUAAUUUUUAUAAAUUACAGAAAAGAAAGAAAGAAAAAAAAAAAGAGAAAUCUACAUAUAGCUGCAUUUGUGUUUGUCAUGGAAAAUGAAAAAUAUUGCUAGAGUUUAUAAUGUAAAACAAAAUGCAAAUGUGAAACGCAAAGCAUAUAAGCUAUUUUAGGGUAAAAUCCAUGAAUGACCAAAUGGCCCAAAAAAAAGAUCAAAUUGGAAAUACGAUCGGUCAACGGUUGAAUCGAUUGGUGCAAUCCAAUUUUCAAAACCAUGAAAAUUUUAAUAUAUGACUUAAGCAUGUAAGUUUGAUAUAACAACGAGUAAAAAAUAAAUUAUAGAAUCCCUUUAGAUGAAAAAAGAUUUUAAUAAUUAUAAAUUUUUAUGAGAUGGAUAUGAUUUAUUAAGAUAAUUUUAAAAAAUAAUAAAUAAAAUUUAAUAUUAAAUUUUAUUUAUAAGAAUAAAAUAUCUUAAGAUAAUUAUGAGGGUAGGUAGAGGAUGCUAUUUUUAUGAGAAGCAUAAUAUGAUGCGUUUUGCAUUAAAAAGUCAAAUUCAUCCACACAUGUCCAUGUCUAUGAAACACAUUACACCGAACAUUAUUUUCAAAUUCGGACAUUAUUUUCAAACCCAACCUACGUAAGGCAUGUUUUUUUUUUUUUUUUUCUUUUUAAUUAUUAAAUUAGUUGUAUUUUGGUUCAAAACUCACGUGGGAAGAAGACUAGAGGGGGAACAUUUUUGUUGCGAAGCUAUACGGAAUAAAAUUUAUUCAGAAGCCGGUCAAAACUCAAAUUUAUCUGCGGAACUUUUGUACUUAUCUUUUGACAAUUGGAAUGCUUCCCUACAAAUUAACUAAAUUAAUAGUCUCCUUGUUUUAUCAGAAGCGAAGGAAAAAGUAGGACUCAUGCAUCGUACAACACAAAUAGGCAGAUCUUUAGUCAUAGAUGGUGCAUGCCGUAAAGUAGCCGUCUUGAGCUUGGUAAGAAACCAAGCUAUUAAAACUUGACUUGAACUGUUCAUUCUCAAGGGGGUAAGUGCCAGCCAGGGUUCAAAUUUUAUGAUGCGGGCAUGCAAGACUUAUACCAAUCUGCCGUUCUAAUAAUAGAAUGUAGAAGACACCAAGCACCUCCUGCAUGCAUCUUGAGGCGGUGUAGACACGCAUCCCAAGGCGAAGUUGUUCUCUACGACCUAAGGAUCAAUUUAGUAAUUGUUUUAAAAAAUAGUUUUUUGAGGUCAAUUUUUGAAAAUUAUUUUUAAAAUUUUUAAAAUAAAAAUAUGUUAGAAAACCUAAAAUAUAACAUGUUUUUAAAUUUUUUAAAUAUAUUUUAAAAAUAAUUUUUAUAUAUUUUUAAUUCUUAUAUUUAUAUAAUUAUUUUUUAAAACAACGGUUAGAAAACAAGUAAAAACAAAUAAAUUUUUUUUAAAAAAAAACAUUCUAUUUUAUGUUAUUAAUAACUUUUAAUUAUCAAAAGUUUUAUUUUAUAUUUUUUGUUUUAAAGAACAAAAAGCCUGCUCAAAAAAACAGUUGCCAUAACUUUUUUCUGAUCUGUAGUGAUCCUAGGAAGGCUGUUUUCUAAAUAUAGUAAUAUAAUAAAAAAAUGUGGUCAUAGUAAGAAAAUACCGUUUGGACAUGUCCAUGGUAUUAUGCAUAUGCUUGAACAGGGAAGCUACCCACAGUUUAACCACAGUAAUCCAAUAGCAACAUCUAAGCUACCAUGGAUUUCCUUCUCCAAUGCCUAAACCCUGCCAUGGUUGGAGCAUUUGCAAUACUUGUCCUCUCCUACUACCUGUUAUUAUGGCGGUCUGGAGCUGGUAAGGGCAGAAUGGCACCUGAAGCUGCUGGUGCAUGGCCCAUAAUAGGUCACCUACACCUCCUAGGUGGGUCUAAGAAUUUGCCCCACUUACUUUUGGGAACCAUGGCCGACAAGUAUGGAGCAGUAUUCAGCGUUCGGCUGGGAUUGGAAAGAGCUGUGGUGGUGAGUAGUUGGCAGAUGGCCAAGGAAUGCUUCACCACCCAUGACCUGGCUCUGGCCUCCCGUCCUCAACUUGUAAUCUCCAAACAAUUGGGAUAUAACGAUGCCAUGUUUGCUUUCUCUCCUCACGGUGCAUACUGGCGGGAAGUGCGAAAGAUAGCCACUCUAGAGCUCCUCUCGAACCGCCGGCUAGAGUUGCUGAAGAACGUCCGAAUCUCAGAGGUGGAGACAUGCAUGAAGGAACUAUACAAGCUUUGGGCUGAGAAGAAAAACGAGGCAGGCGUUGUUUUGGUGGACAUGAAGCAAUGGUUUGGGGACUUGACUCUGAACGUGAUUCUUAUGAUGGUUGCUGGAAAACGAUAUUUCGGUUAUACAGCCGAAAGUCAAGAGAAAGAGACCCAGCGGUGCCAGAAAUCGAUUAGGGAAUUCUUUCGUUUGUUGGGUCUCUUUGUGGUGUCGGAUGCCCUUCCUUUUCUUGGCUGGCUUGACGUGGGUGGACAUCUGAAAGCCACGAAGAAGACUGCAAAAGAAAUGGAUGGUAUUGCUCAGGAAUGGUUAGAGGAACACCGACAGCGAAAAGAUUCGGGUGAAGCUAAUGGUAACCAGGACUUAAUGGACGUGAUGCUGUCCAUUCUGGCUGGCACGGACCCUACCGGCUAUGAUGCCGAUACAAUCAACAAAGCCACAUCCCUGGUAUGCACAUUAUUCCUCGAGCACCUUUAUAUGCUACUAAAAAAAAUGACAUUCUUCUCAAGACAUAAUUUCAUGCUUUAUCCUCUUUAGUCGGGACUCUCAGACUCUCGAGAGUACUCACACCUUCAAUGGAAUAACUUUCUGUUGCUGGUUGAAGCUAGUCAAAGUCAAUACUUUUUAAAAGAUAAUAUUAGAUUUAUAAAAGUUUUAUCAAUUAUGAAAGAAUUUUUUGCAUCAGCGCAAAUAGAAUUUUUUUACUUAAAAAUAAAACGUUUUUGAUUUCAUAUUGUGUUUUAUUAUACGUUGUUAUUUGUCAAAAGAGUAACAUGAGAAGCUUCGACAAGCAAUUAUAAUGAAAUACAACCCACCUGAGAAUCUGAGCGUAACUAGAAUUAUGACGAACCUCUGGCUUGGGUGUUUGGGCUGGGCUGGUAAUGAUCCAACUCUCCUCUGGGUGGCUGGCCCAUUCUUGUCAGAAGAUCAUGAAAGUGUGUUCAUUAUUCCUCAUGCUUUGAGGCCUCAUUGACUGGGCUUCUUGAUCUUGAGUUGGUUAGACAAUUACGCCUUUCAAAGACUCCUCGUCAUAAUAAAUACAGGGGCUUUCCCUCGUAAAUUUAAGGAUUUUUAUAUUUUAUAUUUUAUUUUAAUUUUGAAGGCCAACAUGAACUUUUAUAAAAUGCUAAAUUUAUGAGCGAGUUUCAAAUUCAAGCUACUUUUGAUCGACGGACACUAAACUCUAACUCUAGAAGCAGACUCCUAUUGGUUUCUAAGGGGCACUCACUCUUGAAAAUAAAUAAAUAAAUAAAUUGAAGCCUUUUCCUCCUUAAUCCUGUUAGUAGUUAUAAUUUUAUUAACAUUAGUUAAUGUUUUGUACUUGACAGAUUUUGAUUGCAGGAGGCAGUGACACUACAUCUGUUACUCUAACAUGGGCGAUCUCACUUUUAUUGAAUAAUCCAUGUAUGUUAAGAAAAGCCCAAGAAGAAUUGGACACUCAUGUUGGUAAAGGGAGAUUGGUAAAUGAAGUGGAUUUAAGCAAGUUGGUCUACCUCCAAGCAAUUGUUAAAGAGACAUUGAGGUUAUAUCCCGCAUUUCCACUUUCAGGACCACGCCAAUUUAACCAAGAUUCCAUUUUAGGUGGUUACCGUAUCCCAAAAGGCACUCGUCUUGUGUUGAACCUCACUAAGAUCCAAAGAGACCCAAGUAUAUGGUUGAACCCAACAGAGUUUCAACCAGAAAGAUUCCUCACUACUCACAAAGACAUUGAUAUGAGGGUCAAAAAUUUUGAGUUUACACCAUUUGGUGGUGGAAGAAGAAUUUGCCCUGGUGCAACUUUUGCCCUUCAAGUGCUACACUUAACAUUAGCCAAUUUCUUGCACAAAUUUCAACUUUCGACUCCAUCAGAUGCAACAGUUGAUAUGAGCGAGAGCCUUGGGAUAACAAACAUCAAAUCCACUCCACUUGAAGUUCUCAUCUCGCCACGUUUGUCUUCUUGUGAUCUUUAUGAGUAAAACCAAUGAAUGUUGAGAGAGACUAUUUCAAGAAACCUAGUAUUAUAUAUAGGAAAUAAAAAUACAAAUAAAAUUUGUACAUGUGGUACAAGUUUAAAAUAAUAACUAAUGAGUACUAUACUUUUUUAAUUUUAUCUUAGCUUGAAUUUUGGUGUUUUUUUUUUCUCCUUGUAGAAGAAAAAGUGGCAUAUAGCAUUUUUCUUUCGGUAUAGAUAGUGAAAAAUAAGUAUGCACUUGACCAUAUGCAUACGUGUGCAAUAGACUUAAUGAGUUGCAAGUUGAUAAUUGAUCUGUCUUUUGGUAGAUUUUAGUUGCCUUCUUGUACAUCAUUAAAGUAGAAGAUAAAGACGAAAAUUAUAACUUCACCCAUUCAAUUAAAAAUCAAUUUAAUUGAAUUUAAAGAAGAAAAUGGUUGGUUCGGUUUGACUAACAAUAAUUGAUUCGUCGGUUUAUUUUGUUUCAAUUUGUUUUGGUUUGUUGUAACAAUAAAAAUCAUUUUUUUUGGUUAAUUUGGACUAAAAAAAAAAAACCAUGAUUAGAUAAAAACUAUAAAUGUGCAUAUGAAGUUGUAUCGAAUGUGAAAGCUUUUCAUCAAAUUAAUAAUAUAACCAAUACUCAUAUUAUUGAUGUAAAUAUAGAACUUCUAGAUAAGUUCAAUUUGUUUUACUAUUGAUUUUUUAAAUAGGUAACCGAAUUGGUCUAAUUCAAUUUUAUAUUUUAAAACCCAAUAUUAUUAAAAGAAAAAUUGCUAAAAAUUAGUGGAUUAGGGUUAGUUCAUUGAUUCUGUCUACACCCCAAAAAGAAGAGUGUCCACUUCGUAUUGUCAACUUUGUGUGCUUAUAAGUUACAAUUUUGCACCAUGAGAUUCACAUUUGUACUUAUUAUUGCUAAUUUUGUGUGGUCAUAAGUUAUAAUUUUACCCCACUAGAUUCACAUUUGCUAGCAUCAUAAUUGACUUUCUACAUCCAUGCAUUCAUGAAUCAUUACAUUUCAAUACUGUAUUACCAUUUUGGUGCUAAACAAGAAGACUCGUCUUUAAAGUACUCAAGCAAACCCUCACCAAUUUUAAUCAUUUUUCAAUUUAGAUGAAUGGGAGCAACAACACUAGAACAAUGAAGUAGAUGAUGAAAUAAAAUAAAAAACAAAGAUAGUAUACAAACUCUAAUUUUAUUGGUUUGUCAUAGUCUUGACUUAUAUGCACUCUCCUCAAACUUUAAAAUUCUGCUAACUUCUAAUCCUUCAAGCCAAUCUUAAACUCUUACAUUUUGAUUCUUGAUUCCAAAAGACCUUCUUACACUUGCCUCAAUAGAUUCUUUACUUUUGAAUACACUAGUCACAAGUUGUUAACAAUUGAACAAAAUUAAUCUUUCUAAAUCUUAAUUAGUACAAGUUUAAACUUGAGAAAAUACAAGAGGAAAUUAGGAUGUUUUGUCUUAGAUAAGAUUUAUAAGUUAAUCAAGAAUUUUACAUUGAGAACAAAGAGUUAAGAUCAAUUCAGUUAAGUGAGAUUGUAGGAUCUAAUUAGUUUGAGAUCUUAAGCGGUCCUGUUAUAAUCUUAUUAUUUUAUUCCAAAAUUGCCUAAGAGGGAAGUAGUAAUUUAGGACAACAAUUCCCUCCCAAAGUUUAUUGGUUUGAAACUAAUACUUUAUUAUACCAGCAUGUUUGAGUUGAAAACACAAAAAUUGAAGCUAAGGCAAGUACUUUACAAUUCGGAUUGGGUUGCAUCGAGCUUUGGUGGUAACUACUUGGGAGAUGGCUAAAGAAUGCUUGACCGCCAAUGACCAGGUUUCAUCCUCGCGUCCCGAACUUUUAGCCGCAAAACAUUUGGGCUACAACUACGCCAUGUUUGGUUUCUCUCCAUACGGUUCUUACUGGCGUGAAGUGCGCAAGAUAAUCAGCCUAGAGUUACUCUCUAACCGCUGCCUAGAGCUGCUGAAGGACGUCUGUGCUUCAGAAGUGGUGACAUCCAUAAAAGAGCUAUACAAGCUCUAGGCAGAGAAAAAAAAUGAAUCGGGCCUUGUCUCGGUGGAAAUGAAGUAGUGGUUUGGAGAUUUGACUCUGAACGUAAUUCUUAGGAUGGUGGCAGGGAAGCGUUAUUUCAGUGCUUCAGAUGCAAGUGAAAAUAAACAGGCGCAGAGGUGCUGGAGAGUGUUCAGGGAAUUUUUUCAUUUGGUAGGGCUCUUUGCGGUGGCGGACGCUAUUCCUUUUCUUGGAUGGCUCAACUGGGGGAGACAUGAGAAUACCCUAAAGAAGACAACAAUAGAAAUGGACAAUAUUGCUCAAGAAUGGUUAGAGGAGCACCGUUGGAAAUCAUGAUAAUAGUACGCAAGACUUCAUGGAUGUGAUGCUGUUAGUUCUUGAUGGCAAAAAUCUUGGUGAGUACGAAAGCCACAUGCUUGUGUGGACCCGCAUUUUUCACGUGCACCUCCACUCAAUCGGCGAGACUCGUUUUUUUUUGGUGAAGAUGUUGUUUUUGGAAAAGUCGGAGUCGCCACUUAUUUUAUUUUAUUUUAAAGGGAAAAUAAAACAAGAAAUAAAACCCUAAAAAAUGACUCCAUAGUUUUUUGGAAAAGCAUGUCUUUGAAAAACCCGAGUCUAGGUCCGGGGAUCAGGUUACUUAUUGGGAAGGUACCUCCAGGAGAUAGCACCUCUCUAAGCCCUACAAAGGUCCCUACUGACUAUGUUGAAGGAAAUGUGGCAAUCAACUGAUUAAUUGAGGGUACCUAGGUAGGCUAAGGUGAUCUCAAAACUAGCAUGCUAAACAAGAAAAACCAAUCACGCCCAUAAAGGAAAGUUAGGAUGCGUACCUGGACCACUUCUUAAGCGCUAUCAUAAAACAUCAAUGGUUAGUUUAGAUAAUAUAUCACUCAGUAUGUGUUUUAUCAUGAAUGAUCAAACAAUGUAGCAAAUAUCAAGACAUCCCAAGCAUUCUCAAACAUAGGUAUAAAUCAUAAUGACGAUCAUAUUUACAAAAUUUGGAAGGUAGGUGACAGGAGACGUACCUGGAUAGCAUAGAUAACUUGUAACGUGCUUUCACAAGACAUGAGAGGUUAGAUAACAAACAAUAAAAUAAGAAGUCCUAGCAUGUUUGUUAUCUAAUUAGCAUAGAAAAAAAAAAUUAUCAUAGUAUAUGAAACCAUCAAUUAUCACUUAUAUCUUCUGUAUAAUUUCUAAAAAAUAAAUAGACAUGAUUUCCUUAAAUAGCAAAGGGGGCAACAAAGAUGAGUUUUGAAAAUUUUCCUUAUGUAGGGGCUUCACCAAUUCCCCGAUUGAUAUACACAAAUCUAGUUUAGAAUUAUCCCAUUUGUUUGGGACCACAAGCUUGGAUUCAUGUCUUACUCAAAACUGUAAUUUUAUUUGAAAUUUAAGAAAGAUGCAAACAGAUCAAAACAUGGUUGCACAUUAUUUGAGAAAAUGAGAUUUCGAUUCUAAGAACUCUAAAUGAAUUUUUGAAAUGGAUUCCUAAAGGGAAUGAGAUUUUGAUUCUAAGAACUUUAAAUGAAUUUUUGAAAUGGAUUUUUAAAGGGAUUUUUUUUAGAAUAGUGUUAUGUUUUAAAAAUAAAAGAAAUUAAUUUCAAAACAAUAAAACGUAUGAAUCAAAUACCAAGCAAAACAAAAGAGAACAAAAUCACAAAGUAGAAUUUUUGACAACCAAGAAAAUUGAAGUGGUGAGAAUGGAAGCCAAUCUUCACUAUUUUUCGAUGGUCUCCAAAAAGUAAAUUUUACUAGAGACUACCAAAGCAAUAAACUAUUCAAACUUGGAUCAAAUAAGCUAACGAAAUACCCACCAAGAAUUAAUGACGAAAAUUCAAGAAACACAUCUACUAAGAAUAACAAUCAAGAAUUAGCAUGAGAUCAAUUAAACACACAAACGCAUCUAGAUUAACUAAAAUGAACCAAAUUAAAUCAAAGCAAACAAUAAUUUUCAAACAUAGAAUUAACUUUAUUAAUGAACUAAUAUUAUAUAAAAUACCUAAAUCGAAUAGAUGUGCAAAACUAAAUCAAAGUAAACUAAAGGCAUGAAUUCUCAAAAAUAGAAUUGAUUUUAUUAAUGACCUAAAAUUAUACAAACUCCUAAAAUAAUUAAAAUGAAUCAAUUUAAACGAAAGGAAACUAAAACAAAAUAUGAAUUCAGGGAAUCUAAUUUCGAAAUAAACUUACAUUAUUAAAAUGAAAUCUAGGCUUAAAAACUAUUAAACACUAAUUAAAGCCAAUCUAAACUUAAAUUCUUAACACACAUGAUCAAUUAUUUUAACAAACUAACAUUUUACCUUAACCACAAAUUAAAUUAAAAAACUACUUGAGACUAAAUUUCUAACCUAUAAAAUUAAACUCAUAAUCAAAUGGAUAAGUUGAUGACACAGACAAAUAAAUAUGAAUAAAAUAAAAUAUGAAUGAAAUGAAAUACGAACACAAGGAAUUAAAUAAUUUUUUCUUUUUUUUAAUAAACUUAUGUUAGUAAAAUAAAUUUGAGCUUAACAAACAUUUUUAUCACUAAUUAAGGCAAGUUUAAAAUAUAAUACUUAACACAUAAAAAAUCAAUCAUUUCAACAAACUAUAAUUUUAACUAAACUUAAAGUCAAUUCAAACAACCUUCAAUAGAUUUUUUUAUUUUUAUUUUAAACUGAAUUUUUAACCCAUAGAUUCAAUCUCAUUGAUAAAUAAAUAAAUAAAUAAGUUACAAAGCAUUAGCUUAGUAGCAAAUAAAUAAAUAAACAACUAAUAAUUAAAUGAAUCACAACUAAACUAAAUAAAGAUCAAACUAUAUUAUUUUUUUUAUUUUUCAAAAGUAGAAUUACAUGAAUUUGUAUUUUUUGAAUUUAAUAUAAUAUACCAAACUAAACUUAAACACAAUUCUCAUUCUGCCAUAUUAAAACAAAAAAUGCAUGGAGUUAGUAAAUAAAGUCAAAUGACACAAUAUAAUAAUAAUUCCACUAAAAAACCAAUCAAACUAAUUAAAAUUCUAAAAAAUAUCAACUAAAACAAGAUCAAUCAAAAUUAGCGUGUAUAUAUAUAUAUAUAUAUAUAUAUAUAUAUAUAUAUAUAUAUAUAUAUAUAUAUAUAUCUUUAUUUUUAGUUAUUUAUUUAUUAAAACACGAAUACAUCAACACGAAACGAAAUAAACUAACCAACUUACAUUCUAAAACUAAAAGGAUAAAUCAUGAAUUAAAAUUAACAACCUUUGGAUAUGAAAAGAGUGGCAUGGAAUCAAUUGAAAUAAUAAACUAAAAUUUAAUAACAUCUAAACUAAAAGAUAAAUUAAAACUAAAUUAAAUGAAAUUAUGAACUUCCUAAUUGAGAAAAAAAAUAAUAAUAGUAAUAAAUCUAAUCAAAAUUCUAAAUUUUAAACCAUCAUCAUGAAUUGCCCAAACUCUUAAAAAAUCCUAACCUUUCCAUUAUCAACAAAAAUUGCCUAAACCAAUAUUUAAAAAAUCUAAUUUGUCAAACUAAGAAUAAUAAAUUGUAACUACAUUAAACAAAAAUCAUAAUCUUCAAGCUAGAAUAAUGAAUCAAUAAUAAUUAAUUUAUUUAGAUAAGAAAAAUUAAAAAAAUAAAUUAAAGAUUAACAUCUAAGCUAAACAUGAAUUUACAAUAAAAAUUUAAAAUACAAAGAUUGAAUGGGAAUAAUUUUAAAACUAAUAAAUUGUCAUCAGGAAAUAUAUUGAUAUUAGAAAUAAUUAAACUAUAUAGAUAAAACUCUAAAACGAUUAUGCAUUGAAUUGAAUAUUUCUUGAAUCAAAAUUGAAAUAGGAAGGAUAAAUUCACAUUUUCCGAAACGUGUAGGUCACUUUCCACUAGUAGGAUUUCUAUUUUUUAUUUUAUUUUAAAAGAAUCAUUGCCAAGGAUGCAUGGUGUGGUGGCUGCCCAUGCACUGUAGCUGAAGACUUCUUCUUGGUGGUCUUUGAAACCUAGGAGCAUGGCUGAAUGUUUCCUUUCUUCCAAUAGUGCAACUGCUCCGGAAGUCCUCUCAACGGUGCGGCUGAUUCAGAAAUCGUCAUCUCAAUGGUGCGGCUGUUUCGGAAAUCUUCCUCUCAAUGGUGCGGCUACACCCUCUCACAUUCCAGAAAAUAAUCUUACUCCUCCCACCUGGAUCCCCUUUAGUGCGGCUGUUGAUCUCCUUCCCGUUUGGUGUCACCCUCUCUUCUGAUGCAUGCUGAAAGCGUCCCAAGAAUGGUGCAGCUGGUCGUUCUUGCUUCUCCAAAGGCGUCAGACCCUCUUAUGCGUGCUGAAAGCGUCCUAAGUAUGGUGCGGCUGGUCGUUCACCCCUCUCCAAAAAAAACUCUCCCCCCUCUCACUUUCUAACCUUCCUCUCCAGUACUCUGCCAACAUGGGAAGACAACUCACCAGCCCGGAGAGCCUCAAUCAUCCACGUCAGUCUAGCAUCAUCAGGACUCUCCUUCCUGAACAUAGUCUUCAUUCCGUCCAAAUACCCAUUGAACAUUUCCUUUUUCCAUGCCAAAAGAACUUUGGUAAUUUUCUUUCUUCAUUCAUUUCCUUCCAUUAGAAGCACAAUCAACACAUGCAUGGGUGCAUACUUGCUUUCCUUCUUAGUUCAUUUUCUUCCAUACGUCCUGUCCUCUUCCAACCACCUUGAAUCCAUCCUUUAACCCGCUGAAUAUUUCCUUUCCAUAAUCACACAUGAAAAUUCCUCUUUUUAAUUUUUUUUUUUGACUGAAUAUCCUCUAUUUCCUGAAAGACUCACACAUGAAUAUCCUUGCCAAUACACGUUUUCAACCUUCCUUUUUCUCUCCAGUGAUGAUUCCUUUGGUGAGUUUCUCUACAAAAAUAUAAAGAAAAUUAGACUUAAUGAAUGAAUCCCAAGGUGUUUUAGAAAAUUAUAAAAUAAAUUAACAAAAUAAUUAAGUAAAUAAUGAUAAUAAUAAUAAUAAUAAUAAUAAUAAUAAUAGUAAAGUGUCAUGCAAUCUAUGCAACCAUGCAAUCAUGUGAGCAACUCAAGUCAUGCAAAGAAUGUCUAAUGGGCCUCGGGUGUAUCUAAUGGACCUAAAGGGUCUAAGUGGACCAAUGAUGGUGCCUAAUGGGCCUAAGUGGGCCUAGGGUGGUGCCUAAUGGACCUAAAGGGUCUAAGUGGGCUUAGGGUGGUGCCCAAGUGUAUCUAAGUGAACCUAAAGUGCUUAAGUGGAUCUAAGUGAACCUAAAGUGUUUAAGUGGAUCUAAGUGAACCUAAAGUGCCUAAAUGGGCCUAAGUCUAAAUUAGGGCUACUAAGAGUCACAAUAGGGUUAAAUGAAUCCCUCUACCAAAGUCUCCGAGGUGGCUCAAAAAAGGUAAGUAGUAUGAGUAGCUAUGGGCCACUAAGGAACUACUGUGGAGCACUGGAAGUGAACUUAAAGACAUGUGCUAAAGGAACAAAAUUGAGGGUCUACAACCUGGUAUGAGUAUUAAUGGAACACCCACGUAACAUUGAUAAAGACAAAUUGCAAGGAUAAGGCAAUGAUCGAACAAAUAACCUAUGAUUAAACAAGAUCAUUCAAAAUCAAUUUUGUAUAUUUUUGUAACCGUUAUUUGAUGUGUUGACUUGAACAAUUCUGUAACUGUUGUAUAGUUGUAGGCAAAUUGAUGUACAUUGCCGCAAAUAGUUUUUCUUAGCUAUGCAUAUAAGUAAACUCUUAUUACAUCAAUAAAAGUGUGAAAAUUUUCAUUGAAAACAACAAUGUUAUUUCUUCUAUACUAUUUAUAUUUGCAUAGGGCUAGCUUCUUUUCCAUAGUUUUUCUUUUGUUUAUAUGUUUUAAUUGAUGCAUAUUCACUUUCUUAUUCUCUUAAUUAAAUUGCAAUAAUUAAAACUCUAAUUUAAAUAAAUUUUAAAAUUUAUUUUUAACUAAAAACAACAAUAUACAUAUACAAAUAUAUACUGCUUAAGUAAUUAAUUUUUUUAAAAAAUAUCCUUUGAGAACAUCUCAGACAAACUAAGACAUGCUUCUAGGGAAAUCUAAAUAUAAUGUUUUUAAAAGCUACCUUGUAAUUUUAUUUUCGAGCAUGUUGCAUUAUAUAUACUUUCCUUGAAUUGAUUUUCCAAAUUUUAUUUUUGUCAACAAUAAGGGUUAUCUACGUUUUGGAAGAUAUCUUUAAUUUCCCCUCCAAAGAAUAAGUGAUCUUGAAACUUAUAAGUUAAUUAUGUUCACUUGAUCGAAUAAGAGAUUUGAACAAUCUUGUAAAAAGAUGUUAAGCAGAUGGUUGAUUUCGAAAUUAUCCUUUAAACUAUAAAGGGAAAUAGAAAAAAAUACUAUUAUUUUGGUACAAGACCAUAUUGUUUAGUAGUGUCUCUAGGGAGUUCCAUUAGAUGCUAUCAAACAAUUAAUUUGGUGUCUCACUAACGUAAUUUUGAGUUGUUGAAUUUUGGGUUUUGCAAACUCUAAUUGCUGGAGGUAGUGACACAACUGUUGUCUCUCUAACCUGGGUAUUCUCUCUUUUACUCAACAACCGCGACACCUAAAAAAAAGCUAAAAAAAAAAAAUAUUCAAGUUGGCAAGGAAAGAUUAGUGAAUGAACAAGAUAUAAGUAAGUUGGUCUAUCUUCAAGCCAUUCUUAAAGAAAUUGAGAAAAUAAAGGCUAAUCUUAAAAGAUAAAAACACCCAAGAGGGGGGUGAAUUGAGUUUUUAAAAAUUAUUUUUAAACACAACAAAUUUAAGCAUAAGAGAAUCAAAUAUAAAAAGAUAAGGUUAGAGAAAUCAAACUCAGAUUUUAUAAUGGUUCAACACUUCCUUACCUACAUCCACUCUCCUCAAGCUCUUAACCGAGUGAGGGUUCCACUAACAUGAAGUUUCAACCAAACUUCUAAUUACAUUUACACUUAGAUUCCGGCUCCAAUGGGCUCUUACACAAUCUCUUCAAGUUUCAACUCACUUAAAGACUUUAACACUAAGUUAACAAGUAUGAAUCUCUCAACUUAGCUCAACAAUGACUCAAAUACAACCCAAAGCUAGGAUGAAUCACAAAGGUGCACUAAAGGAUAUGUAAAUGGAGAUUUAAUGCACCAAGAAAAGAAAUGAGAGCUUUUAAGGCAAGAACAAAUAGGUAAGCAAAUAAAUGCAUGUGUUCUCUUACUCAUAAAUGAAGUGGAACUCUUUAUUUAUAGGUUUUUAACAUUAUAAGCCAAAAAACCAAAAAAACAGUCUCAAUCGGUUGAGCUGAGGGUCAAUCGGUUCACUAGCCAUUGCAGCAUUUAAUGCUUGUCAGGUGACAGUUACCCUCGACCGGGAAGACAAAUCCCUCGACUGGGAAGGAAAGGCUACUGAAAAAGAGAGAGUCUUUUUUGCACCUCUCGGUCGGACCUCAACAGGAAAGGGGGAGCCGGUCGACCGGUACCCUAGUCAAUUGAGCCUGUUUGGACAUAGCCUUGAUCGGUUCACAAUUUUUUACCCGAAAACCUAUCUUUUUCUAGUAUUUUUGCUUCAAACACAUAGGUAAGGUCUUCAGAUAAAAUAUAUGCCAAUUUUGAAACGUUUAGCUUAAGGUUCAUUUGAUAGAUCUCGGAUUUUGGUGAAAAUGUAACUUUAAAGCAUAAAUCGAGUUUUUCAAAGAUGCAUGAAAUAAUAUGUAAAUCCUAAGUGUAUCAAUGCAUUCAUCUUACAUAUGUUUCCUAUCAUUAAAGGUCUUUCCAAAAGUCUUGAUCUUGCAUCCAUUAGGUCAUUUGAUGAAUUUCCAAAUUAACACCUGAAAUUUUUUAUAAUUUAAACCAAUUAGUAACUUAACUAUGAUUUGUUAUCAUCAAAACAUGAUUAGGAGAACCCUUGGGCUAACAGAGACAUUACGGUUAUAUCCACCAAGACCACUUGGAGGACUAUGCCAAUUUAUUGAGGAUUGCACCUUGGGUGGAUACCAUGUCUUUAAAGACACUUGUUUAAUAAUGAACCUUUCGAAGAUCCAAAAUAUCCAAGAAUCUAGUUAGAUUCGAUAGAAUUCUAACCAGAGAGGUUUCUCAUCAACCAUAAGAAUGUUGAUCCUUAGGGAAAACAUUUUGAAUUUAUACCAUUUGGAGCUGGUCAAAGAGCAUGUCUAGGAAUAGCUUUUGGUCUUCAAAUAUUAUAUUUAGCAUUAGCUAGUUUCUUACAUGCAUUUGACUUUUCAACUCCAUCAAAUGAACAUGUUGAUAUGCGAGAGAGCUUUGGACUUACAAAUAUGAAAUCUAUCCCACUCGAAGUUUUCAUUUCUCAAAUCUACCCCACUUGAAAUCCUCAUUUCUCUACACUUAUCUUCUUGUAGUCUUUACAACUAAAACAUUGAAAUGAAGAGGUCAAAGUUGACCCAGCUAGUCUUGGUUUAAAGACAUAUAGAGUUAGGUUCAAUCAAUCUAUGAUAAGAUUUGAGAUUUGUAUUAAAAGUAGGUUGGACUAAGAAUGAUGUACAAUAAACUAAAGUACUAUCCAUGCAAAUAAAGUAUAACAUUAUAUAUUAUUUGGUUAGCAUUCUGAAAUGUAACAUCAUAAUUAUUUCUUUGUUUUGUCUAAUUUAUCGCCAUUUCACCCCCUCAUCUUCAUCAAAACAAAUAAUAUAUAGUCUUUCUAUUUUUAAAAAUCAAAUUCGAUUCCCAAUUAUAUAAGAAUUUUACUAUUACUUUAUAAUAAACUUUACUUUAGUCUUAAUAACUUUGACUUGUAAAUAUGUUCUCCAUCCUUAAUUAAAUAUACAGAUAAUUUCAUUCAUUUUUUCUAAGAUUGGAGUUAAAUUUACCCAUCCAUACUUAACUUGAAAUUUUCUUAAAUAUCUGUUUUUUUUUCAUUUUUUUUACACGUAUAUCUUUUAAUUUAAAAUAAAAAAUAUUUAAUAAAAUUUCAAAAUAAUAGUUGUCAGACAUAUUUAUGUGACAUUUUCGAAGAGGUGAAUGAAACUAAACUUUUCUUUAAAUAUAAAAUCAUAAAAAUUUAAUAUAUGCAAGCAUGAUCCGGUCUAAAUAUGAUAUAUAAUUUGUGUCAUUUCAAAAAAUCACAGAAGAUCCUUUUGGCAAAGUGGCCCCCCAUUUGAGUUGUAUUCCGUAAUUGGUCACCACAUGUUAUAUCAUUUCAAAGAUUAUGGAGGAUCAUGUUGCCAAUCAUUAUCAGAAGAAGUACAGCUUCCUCUAUAAAACUAAUCAAUACGAUAUUUAGCACAUGCAAACAAAUUUGGAAGGAUCUGAAAGUCAAGUCUACGGGCCACCCCUUUACGACUUGUUCGAAAAAGCACAAAUCAAUGGUGGUGCCACUUGCCAGCAGUCUGUUUCAAUAUCUAAAUGUUACCUCGGUAAGAUUGCUUGACAUACUUUUUGUCUCCUACUAUCUCAUGGAGAUCCAGAGUUGGUAAGAUAAGAAUAGCAUCCGAAGCUGCUGGUGCAUGGCCAAUAAUCGGUCACCUCCUCUUAGGUGGGUCACAACUUCCUGGGAUUUUUUAUAAAAUUACGGUAGAUUUAAAAUUAAUUUUUUUAAAAUGCAGCAUAUUAAUGCUUGACAGCUGACAGUUACCCUCGAUCGGAAAGACAAAUCCCUCGACUGGGAAGGAAAGGCUACUGAAAAAGAGAGAGUGUUUUUUGCACCUCUCGGUCGGACAUCAACAGGGAAGGGGGAACCGGUCGAUCGGUACCCUAGUCAGUUGAGCCUGUUUGGACAGAACCUUGACCGGUUCACAAUUUUUUACCCGAAAACCUUUUUUUUUUUUGGUCUUUUUGCUUCAAACACUUAGACAAUGUCUUCAGAUAAAAUUAUAUACCAAUUUUGAAACGUUUUGCCUAAGGUUCAUUUCAUAGAUCUCGGAUUUUGAUGAAAAUGUAACUUUAAAGCAUAAAUCGAGUUUUUCAAAGAUGCAUGAAAUAAUAUGUAAAUCCUAAGUGCAUCAAUGCAUUUAUCUUACAUAUGUUUCCUAUCAUUAAAGGUCUUUCCAAAAGUCUUGAUCUUGCAUCCAUUAGGUCAUUUGAUGAAUUUCCAAAUUAACACCUGAAAUUUUUUAUAAUUUAAACCAAUUAGUAACUUAACUAUGGUUUGUUAUCAUCAAAACAUGAUUAGGAGAACCCUUGGGCUAACAGAGACAUUACGGUUAUAUCCACCAGGACCACUUGGAGGACUAUGCCAAUUUAUUGAGGAUUGCACCUUGGGUGGAUACCAUGUCUCUAAAGGCACCCGUUUAAUAAUGAACCUUUCGAAGAUCCAAAAGGAUCCAAGAAUCUAGUUAGAUUCGAUAGAAUUCCAACCAGAGAGGUUUCUCAUCAACCAUAAGAAUGUUGAUCCUUAGGGAAAACAUUUUGAAUUUAUACCAUUUGGAGCUGGUCAAAGAGCAUGUCCAGGAAUAGCUUUUGCUCUUCAAAUAUUAUAUUUAACAUUAGCUAGUUUCUUACAUGCAUUUGACUUUUCAACUCCAUCAAAUGAACAGGUUGAUAUGCGAGAGAGCCUUGAACUUAUAAAUAUGAAAUCUAUCCCACUUGAAGUUUUCAUUUCUCAAAUCUACCCCACUUGAAAUCCUCAUUUCUCUACACUUAUCUUCUUGUAGUCUUUACAACUAAAGCAUUGAAAUGAAGAGGUCAAAGUUGACCUAGCUAAUCUUGGUUUAAAGACAUAUGGAGUUAGGUUCAAUCAAUCUAUAAUAAGAUUUGGGAUUUGUAUUAAAAGUAGGUUGGACUAAGAAUGAUGUACAAUAAACUAAAGUACUAUCCAUGCAAAUAAAGUAUAACAUUAUAUAUUAUUUGGUUAGCCUUUUGGAAUGUAACAUCAUAAUUAUUUCUUUGUUUUGUCUAAUUUAUCGCCAUUUUUUCCCUUUCUCUUAUUCCCUCAUCUUCAUCAAAACAAAUAAUAUGUAGUUUUUCUAUUUUUAAAAAUCAAAUUCGAUUCCCAAUUAUAUAAGAAUUUUACUAUUACUUUAUAAUAAACUUUACUUUAGUCUUAAUAACUUUGACCUGUAAAUAUGUUCUCCAUCCUUAAUUAAAUAUACGGAUAAUUUCAUUCAUUUUUUCUAAGAUUGAAGUUAAAUUUACCCAUCCAUACUUAACUUGAAAUUUUCUUAAAUAUCUAUUUUUUUUCCUUUUUUUUACACAUAUAUCUUUUAAUUUAAAAUAAAAAAUAUUUAAUAAAAUUUCAAAAUAAUAGUUGUCAGAUAUAUUUAUGUGAAAUUUUCGAUGAGGUGGAUGAAACUAAACUUUUCUUUAAAUAUAAAAUCAUAAAAAUUUAAUAUAUGCAAGCAUGAUCCGGUCUAAAUAUGAUAUAUAAUUUGUGUCAUUUCAAAAAAUCAUAGAAGAUCCUUUUGGCAAAGUGGCCCCACCUUUGAGUUGUAUUCUGUAAUUGGUCACCACAUAUUAUAUAAUUUCAACGAUUAUGGAGGAUCAUGUUGCCAAUCAUUAUCAGAAGAAGUGCAGCUUCCUCUAUAAAACUAAUCAUAUUUAGCACACGCAAACAAAUUUGGAAGGAUCUGAAAGUCAAGUCUACGGGCCACCCCUUUACGGCUUGUUCGAAAAAGCACAAAUCGAUGGUGGUGCCACUUGCCAGCAGUCUGUUUCAAUAUCUAAAUGUUACCUCGGUGAGACUGCUUGACAUACUUUUUGUCUCCUACUAUCUCAUGGAGAUCCAGAGCUGGUAAGAUAAGAAUAGCAUCCGAAGCUGCUGGUGCAUGGCCAAUAACCGGUCACCUCCUCUUAGGUGGGUCACAACUUCCUGGGAUUUUUUAUAAAAUUACGGUAGAUUUAAAUUUAAUUUUUUUAAAAUGCAGCAUAUUAAAAAAUAUCUUUGAAUAAUAAUAAUAAAAUGACAAAUAAUAAAAAGGAAAGAAAGUUGUCUUGUGGCUAUAAGAAAGAAUAAUAUAAAAGAGAGAGAAGAGGAGAGGCGGAUAGAGAGAAGAGUAGCAGGAAAAAAAAAAAAGAGAACAGGGAGGUGCAUGCUGCAAAUCUUUGGGUGUUCGUAUGACGAGCAAAACGAGUUAUGUUUUGCGUGAAAAUUAAGGUGAAAAUUUUCUUUGACAUGAGGAACAUUCUUUCAAAGUUUGAUUUUAAUUUCAAUGAUUGGAUUUUUUGAUUUGUGGUGAGGUAGUUUAAUCCUAUAACUUUUGUUUAAUAUUUUUUCUUAAAAAAAUAUUAUGGAUUUUAUUACUGGGAGAUAAAUAUGUGUUAUUUGUGUUUUCUUUAUGUUAUUUGAAAUAUGAUUAUUGUUAGGGUGGAUUAUUAUGAUUUUUUUUUUUUUUUAUGUUUGCAAUGAUUUAAUUGAAGAAAAAUUAUUGUGUUGAUUGUUGGAAAUUAUUCAAUAUAUUAAGAAUAAAUAAAAUUUAUAUGAUUAUGGUUUAGACUAUGUUUUGAUGAUAUAUAAAUUAUUGUGAUUUUUUUUGUGGUUAUUUAAUUGAAGAAAAAUUGUUGUGAUGUAAUUGGAAUUAUUGAUUAUGUUUGGAGUAAAUAAAAAUUAUGUCCUAUAAAAUUAUGGAUGAUAACAUGUAAGUUUAUUAUAUUUCAUAUAUGGUUAUAUGAAAAAAAAUGAUGAAAGAUUUUAUGAAAUGGAAAAAGGAAAAAAAAAGAAAAAAAAAAUGAUGAUGAAAAGUAAAAGCCCGUAAAAGACGAAUUAAGAAAGAAAUGAGAUUUCUAGUAUGAAAACUACAAAAAUUUAUCUUAUGAAAACUCUAAAUGGGGAGUGUAUUUGGUACAGAUGCAUAUCAUUAAGUGAAAACCCAAAAACAAUAGUUUGUUACUUUACUGAAUGUAAACAUUUGCAUCAUGUUUUUAUUUGGAAGAAUGACAUGUAUUAAUUACUUGAAUGACGUCAAUGGUAUGUUUGGAUAUAUUAUUAGAGAUUGAAAUGAUUUAUUUAUUUUGUAAAUUUAGAAUUGUUUGAUAUGUUAUUUAUAUAAUUGAAUAAGAAAUGUGAUAAUUUUGAUUAGUUUAAUUUUAUAUGGUUGAUUUUUUAUUUAAUGACUAUAAUGCAUUGUUUUGAAAAUUGGAUCGGACCAACCGGUUCAAUCGCCAACUGGUGAUCUUUCCGGUUCCAUCCUCUCCUUUAAACCGCUAGAUGGUUGAACCGACCACAAACCACUAUUGGCAGUUGGACCGAUGAACCGCUUGGACCAGGUGGUUUUUCAUGAACUGCAUGGCUCAAUUCCAGCCCAGUCUUCCCCCCAUUUUUUCUUUCAUCCAAAUAGUCCAACCUUCCCCUCCUCUUUUUCAUAGGGUCCAAGUGAAAGCCCAAUAAGCCCAGCCUUACAUCUUAAUGGUCUUUAGGCAAAACCUAAACCCAUUUAAACCCCUCAAUGGGUUGUACCUUUGAACCCAUUAGUUACACAAAUAGCUUGAAUGAACUGUGUUUUACGCGCAUAUUCACAUCCACAUCCAUGUGGGAUUGCUGCUAUUUUAAGUCUAAAGAAAAAGCAACGCCACUUAGCUACAACACAAUUUGAUGCAAGUCUAGAAAAUAAAAAAAUCAGCAUGUGUUUCAAAAAAGAUUAAUAAUAUUAAAUAAAAUAAUAUAAUAUUUUCUGAAAUUAUAAAAUUAGUUAAAGUUAAAUAAUUAAAUUUUUACAUAUUCCAUUUAAUAAAGUUCAAAAUAUUAAUAUAUUUAUAUUUAUAUUUUGAUAAUAUCAAAGAUAAAAAAUAAAUAUUUUUAAUUUUUUAAUUUAUAUAAUAUUAUAUUUUGACAUAUAAUUGUUUUCUAUUGACUUAAAUUUUUUAAUUCAUUUGGGUGUAAAACACCUUACAAAACAAUGUGAAAAUGUUCACCCCUUUAUUUUUAUAAAAUUUUUAGAUACAAAUAUAGUUUAUAAGGAACCAUAAGAAAAUCAAGAAGUGUUCCAAAAAGCCUUAACAAAUAAAAGAAAAAUAAUAAUAAUAAUUUUUAAUUUAUAUUACCUUUUUGACAUGUACUAAUUUGAGUUAUAUGAAUUUUUGUAACUUAAAUUAUAUUUUGUUAUUUUGUAAAAUAUUUUUGGAAAUAUUUUUUACUUAGAUUUAUGUAGAUAUUUGGGUUAAUUUGGGAUUAAAUAUUGAUCUAUUCACUGUCAAAUUGGAUAGGAAUAAACUUUAAGGUCAACCCUUUGACCUGAUAUCACUAGUCGGAUUCUGAGUUGCCUUGGGUGUGACUAUAAUGGAUUUUCUUCUCCAAUGCCUAAACCCUGUCAUGGUUGGAGCGUUUGCAAUACUCGUCCUCUCAUACCACCUGUUAUUAUGGAGGUCUGGAGCUGGUAAGAGCAGAAUGGCACCUGAAGCUUCUGGUGCAUGGCCCAUAAUAGGCCACCUGCACCUGUUAGGUGGAUCUAAGAAUUUGCCUCACUUACUUUUUGGAACCAUGGCCGACAAGUAUGGACCAGUAUUCAGCAUCCGGCUGGGAUUAAAAAGAGCUGUGGUUGUGAGUAGUUGGGAAAUGGCCAAAGAAUGCUUCACCACCCAUGACCUGGCUCUGGCCUCCCGUCCUGAGCUUGUGGCCGCCAAAUAUUUGGGAUAUAACUAUGCCAUGUUUGGUUUAUCUCCUCACGGUGCAUACUGGCGUGAAGUGCGUAAGAUAGCCACUCUAGAGCUACUCUCGAACCGCCGGCUAGAGUUGCUGAAGAAUGUCCGAAUCUCAGAGGUGGAGACAUGCAUGAAGGAACUAUACGAGCUUUGGGCAAAGAAGAAAAGCGAAGCAGGCGUUGUUUUGGUGGACAUGAAGCAAUGGUUUGGGCACUUGUCUCUGAACGUGAUUCUUAAGAUGGUUGUUGGAAAACGAUAUUUCGGUUAUGCAGCCGAAAGUAAAGAGAAAGAGGCCCAGCAGUUCCAGAAGGCGAUUAGGGAAUUCUUUCGUUUGAUGGGACUCUUUGUGGUGUCGGAUGCCAUUCCUUUUCUUGGAUGGCUUGACGUGGGUGGACAUGUGAAAGCCAUGAAGAAGACUGCAAAAGAAUUGGACGGUAUUACUCAGGAAUGGUUAGAGGAACACCGACGGCGAAAAGAUUCGGGUGAAGCUGAUGGUGACCAGGACUUCAUGGACGUGAUGCUGUCCAUUCUGGGUGGUAGAGACACUACUGAUUAUGAUGCUGAUACCAUCAACAAAGCUACAUCCCUGGUAUGCACAUUAUUCCUUUAGCAUCUUUAUAUGGUAGUAAAAAAUGAGACAUAAUUUCAUGCUUUAUCAUCUUUAGUCCAGACUCAAGAGUACUUGGGCCUGGGUUGGAAGAACUUCUUAUUUUUGCUUAGUUUCAAGUUGAAACUAAUCAAAAGCAGCGAUUUUUAAAAGGUAAUUAUAAUAGUGGUGUUAUUAAAGGUCAAACAUAAAUAACUUUUUGCAUAAAUCAAAAUAGAGUUUAUAUAUAUAUAUAUAUAUAAAAUAUUUUUCUGAUCUUCAUAUUAAUUUUUCUAAGUCAUAACUUUUUUGAACAAAAUUAGUCAAACCAUAGAACUCUUGAACUUACAGAAAAGGGCUUUCGAUUUCUUAGAAAUAGAUACAUGAAGAGUUUUGUUAUAUGUUUGUUUUUGUCAAAAGAGUAACAUGAGCAGCUUAGACAAGCAAUUAGAAUGAAAUACAACUGGGCUGAGAAGCUGAGUAGAACUAGAAUUAUGUACAACCUCUUGCUAGGAUAAUUGGGUUGGACUUGUAAUGAUAGAGUUCUCCGUUGGAGUUAGGUGGCCCAAAAAGAUUGUGCUGUUUGAAUAGCUGGUCCUCUAAUUUAGGAAGAGGCAGCCGAAUUUGCAACGCUGGGUGGCUGGGCCCAUAGAAAAUAUUCUUGUCAGAAGAUUGUGAAAGUAUGUUCCUUAGUCCGCAAGGUUUGAGGCCUCUUUGAGUGGGCUUCUAGAGUCGGUUAGACAAUUGGGCCUUUCAAAGGAUUUCCUAAAUUUACAAUUUUUUUAGCCCAACAUGAAUUUUUAUAAAAUGCUAUAUUUAUACGUGAGUUUCAUAUUCAAGCUAAACAUACCCAUUUUGAUUGGAAAAAAAGGGAAAGAACAUGGGGCCUUUUUUCCACCCUUAAUCUUAUCACUACUUUUAAUUUUAUUUUAUUAGUUAAUGGUUUGUAUUUCACAGGUUAUGAUUGGAGGAGGCGCUGACACUACAUCUGGUACUUUAACAUGGGCAGUCUCACUUUUAUUGAACAAUCCACACAUAUUAAGAAAAGCUCAAGAAGAAUUGGAUGCUCAUGUUGGUAAAGAAAGACUAGUAAAUGAAAUGGAUAUAAGCAAGUUGGUUUACCUUCAAGCAAUUGUUAAAGAGACAUUGAGGUUAAAUCCAAUAGCCCCACUUUCAGGACCGCGUCAAUUCAUCCAAGAUUCUAUUUUAGGUGGUUACCAUAUCUCAAAAGGCACUCGUCUUAUAUUGAACCUUACCAAGAUUCAAAGAGACCCGAGAGUAUGGUUGAACCCAAUGGAGUUCCAACCAGAUAGAUUCCUCACCACCCACAAAGAUGUUGAUGUUAGAGGUAAACAUUUUGAGUUGACACCAUUUGGUGGUGGAAGAAGAAUUUGCCCUGGAAUAGUUUUUGCCCUUCAAGUGCUACACUUAACAUUAGCCAACUUCCUGCAUAGAUUUCAACUUUCAACUCCAUCAGAUGCACCGGUUGAUAUGAGCGAGGGUUUUGGAUUAACAAACAUCAAAUCCACUCCACUUGAAGUUCUUAUCUCCCCACGCUUAGCUUCUUAUGAUCUUUAUGAGUAGAAUUUGAGGUCGCUAAGAGACUUAUUUCAAAAAACCUAGUACUAUGAAAUGUGAAAUAAAAAUAAAUUUCAUAGCAUAAGUUUAGUAUUAUUUUAAAAUAGUUACUAAUGUCUGUCCUUUAAUAUUGUCUUAGCUUGAAUUUAAUGAAAAAUAUUUUCGACACUUAUUUUGUGUGGACAAGUAAUGACCCAAUUUCUUGUUAUGUUUCUUCAUUCUUCCAUGAAAGAGAAUUUAGAAGAAAAAGUGGCAUAUAGCAUUACAAUUGAAAAAUUAAUAAGCAUGUACUCCAUAUGCAUAGUAGACUUAAUGAGUUUCCAAGUUGAUUAAUUGGUAUCUCCUUUUGAUAGAUUUCAGCCACCUUUUUGUACAUGAUUAAAGUAGUAAUGGAGACUAAAAUUACAACUCCCAUUUCAUUGUAAAAAGUUGGGAUGUGCAAGGUGGGUCAGUUCAAUUUUGGGCAUUAAAAUCAAAUCGAAUUGAACCCAAAAGAGGAAAAUGAUUAGUUUGACUUGAUUAACAAUAAUCUAAGUUGGUUUAUUUUGCUUCUAUUUAUAACAUCAAUUUUUUUUUUUAAUUUGAACGAAAAUAAUAUUAUUGAAGCAAGUCAUCUUUGGACGGUUGAAAUGAUAUUAUUACAACUAAUUUCAAAUCAUAUUAUUAUAACUUAAUGAUGUGAAUAGGUAUUAUUGUAACCCAUGUCAAUCAUAUCAAAUAGUCCAAGUCAUAGAUAAAAGUUAUAAAGGUGUGAUUGGGAGUUCCAUCCAAUGUGAAAAAUGUAUACCCAAUUAAUGAUGUAACCAAUUGUUAUACUGUAUAUUAUUACUGUGUGUAUAACUUUCAAUUCAAUUCAGUUUGGUUCAUUAAUUUUUUUAAUAGGUAAUUGAAUUGGUAUAACUUGGUUUUAUAUUUAAAAAACCAAAUUUAUUAAAAAAUAAAAUCUUAAAAAAUUAAUAGAUUUGGGUCAAUUUCAUUGAUUUUGCCAAUUGUACACCCUAAAAGAAGGGAUGUCCACUUAUCAUCCAUAAACUUUGUGUACUCCUAAGUUACAAUUUUGCCCCAUGUGAUUCACAUUUGUACUUAUUAUACUCAAUUUUCCGUACAAAUGAUUUAUUAUUUUGCAGAAUUUUACUCCAUGAGAUUCACAUUUGUACUUAUUAUUACCAACUUUGUCUGCUCUUAAGUUACAAUUUCUCCUAAUUAGAUUCACAUGCGUUACUGCCAUAAUUGACUUUCCACAUUUAUGCAUGAAUUAUUAUGUCAAUAGAUGCAUUAUCAUUUUGUCAAGUUAAUCUGACUUAGGUUAAUCACCAAAGGCAAGGUGAAUUAAUUGACUCAAUUUUAAUAAAUUUUAAUUUAACUAAGUGCAAGUAAUAAUAAUAAAACAGUUAAAAAAUACAUAAUUAAAUAACUAAAAAGAAGAGAUAACAGGUACAAACUCCGAUUUAUAUUUUGCUCAAUCCCAUACUCUCCUCAAGCUCUCAAAUGCAAAUUGAGGGUUCCACUAGCUUUUAAGACUUCAAUCAAAUCUUAAUCCUUUACACUUGGAUUCUCAAUUUCAAUGAUCUUUUUACACUUUAAUUCAAGAAAUUCCUCACUCUUGAACAUACUCAAAGGUAACACUUGAACAACAUUGAUCUCACAAAAUUUUAUUUACAAAUAAUAUAAAUGAAAACUUAAAUGGUUUUUCUUGGCUAGGAUUUCUAAGUUAAUAAGGAUUUUUGCAUUAAAAAGAAAUAGUUAAAAUCAAUUGGGUUUUGUAAGAUUUUGAUAUAUAUCUUAGUUUGCGAGUUUUUUGGGAUUCUAUUAUAAUCUUAUUGUUUUAUCCUAAAAUUGUCAAAAAAAGAAAUCAGUAAUUUAGUAUGGCAAUUUUACUCCAAAGAUUAUUGAUUAAAAAUUAUUUUACUAAUACCAACGUGUAAGAGUUAAAGGCAUAAAAUUGAAAUUAAAGUAAGUUUAUUAUUUUGGAUUUGGUUAAGUAAUGACAAGAUUAAUAAUUGAAAUUAAUGUAAAAAGAAGUGUAAAAACUUUAAAAGUUUAAAAUAUCAUUUCAUUAUUAAUUAGUUUCCACUUGCCAACAUAGACUUCUCAUUCUAUUCAAACAAGUUUUUUGUACUUUUAUAUAUAUAUAUAUAUAUAUUUCAUAAACUUAACAAAGGAUACAAACAACAAAAGAAAAAAAAAAUUGAGCUACUAAACCUCAAUAUAAAUUUGGGGUGAAUUAUCAAGGUCUAUUAAGGAGCAUGGGGAAGUGUUGUAUCACAUAUCGAUGUGAAGAAGGUGUAUAUAUAUUUAUAGUAUAGGACCUAAGAUGUGAACGUUUCUUUUAAAGUUAGGUAAACAUUUCUUUCAAAAUUAAUGGAAUCUCACUAUGAUUUAUAUACACAUGCUUUCAGUGUCCAUAGAGGUUGAAAUAAUACGAUGAUUUUUAACUUAUAUCUUGCUUUUUAUAUGUGAUUUAAUAUUGUUUUGGAUUAUUGAUUAUGACUCAUGAAUUAUCAUGCAUGGAACUAAUCAAAAUGAUAUAAUUAAAUUAUAUUAAUGAAUUUGAGAUAGACAUGACAAUUAUUAAUUUAAAAUAUCUUAUAUGAACAUAAAAUUUUAAAUAUAGACUCAUAAUUUAUAUAUAUUAAUAUAAUAAAGUUGAAAAACUACGUUUAUCUCAAAUUUAUGCCUAGGGCCCAAAUUUUGCUGAGAGCCAGCCGGAUGUCAUCACAUGCAAGAAAGCUAGGAAACAAAGCUAAAGUUUGCUUCUUGUGUGGGAAGAGGUACUUCCGUGCUUGACUGAAAGAAAGGAUUUUCUACAAGAAAAAUUGUCCCCUUGUUUGUAAAGCCUCAAGUUGCGACAGCAAUAACGACAAAAGUAGGCCAAAGAAUUUGUCAUUAUUAUGAGACUAGAGAGGUUUUACUGAGAAGUUUUCCGAGCGUGAUAUCAGCAUUCGCUGUAUCACAGUGAUACAACAAAUGGUUUGAACACAGUGAUCUAGAACCCAUUAGCUCAAAUUUCAUUGAUCUGAACACGAUGAUCCUCAUCCGCAGACCAUUUUAGGGAAUGAUUAAUUCGAGCGAUUUUUUAACUGCCUGUACGAAGAACUUUAUCAAAAUUGGAUUCAGUGUAUCUUAACCAAUCUUGAUCAGUAUGCGACUGAUGAUUCUAUUUGAUAAAAGUAAUGCGGUGGCCCAACUUUAUCUUAAUUUCUAUGUUGAAAGUAACCAUAUAUUAUUCUAUAAUUAUAAAUAUAUACUGUGGAAUCAAGAUAACUUUGAUAUGCUAAGGAUCAAAAGAGGGCAGCCACUUUAGUAGUGGAUUAUACUAAAUAAAGCUGAUCGAUUAUUACAUUGGAAAAUAACAUUGAACCUAUCAUGAAAGACAACCCUACUGGACCAUGCCCCGAGUACUAAAUGCUGAUAAAAAACAAGUACAUGUUCCAAAGGAAUUGAGUCCAUAUAUACACAUUAGUGCUCAAAGAGAAAAACUAUAUAUCCACCGCUUAACUACAGUGAUCCUUUGAGCAGAAGAAGCUAGCCAUGUAUUUCCUUCUCCAAUACCUAAACAUCACCACGGUCGGAGUCUUUGCCACACUUUUCCUUUCCUACUGUCUAUUAUUAUGGAGGUCUAGAGCUGGUAACAAAAAAAUAGCACCUGAAGCUGCUGCUGCAUGGCCCAUAAUCGGUCACCUACACCUGUUAGCUGGUGGUUCUCAUCAGCUUCCCCACAUAACCUUGGGAAACAUGGCCGACAAAUAUGGACCGGUCUUCACAAUUCGGAUUGGGUUGCAUCGAGCUUUGGUGGUAAGUUCUUGGGAGAUGGCUAAAGAAUGCUCGACCGCCAAUGACCAGGUUUCAUCCUCGCGUCCCGAACUUUUAGCCUCAAAACAUUUGGGCUACAACUACGCCAUGUUUGGUUUCUCUCCAUACGGUUCUUACUGGCGUGAAAUGCGCAAGAUAAUCAGCCUAGAGCUACUCUCUAACAGCCGCUUAGAGCUGCUGAAGGACGUCCGAGCUUCAGAAGUGGUGACAUCCAUAAAAGAGCUAUACAAGCUCUGGGCAGAGAAAAAAAAUGAAUCGGGCCUUGUCUCUGUGGAGAUGAAGCAGUGGUUUGGAGACUUGACUCUGAACGUAAUUCUUAGGAUGGUGGCAGGGAAGCGUUAUUUCAGUGCUUCAGAUGCAAGUGAAAAUAAACAGGCGCAGAGGUGCCGGAGAGUGUUCAGGGAAUUCUUUCAUUUGUCAGGGCUCUUUGCGGUGGCGGACGCUAUUCCAUUUCUUGGAUGGCUCGACUGGGGGAGACAUGAGAAAACCCUAAAGAAGACAGCAAUAGAAAUGGACAGUAUUGCUCAAGAAUGGUUAGAGGAGCACCGUCGGAGGAAAGACUCCGGUGAUGAUAAUAGUACGCAAGACUUCAUGGAUGUGAUGCAGUCAGUUCUUGAUGGCAAAAACCUUGGUGGUUACGACGCUGAUACCAUCAAUAAAGCCACAUGCAUGCCUGGUAUGAGUUAUUAAUGAAGCACCCACGUACCAUUUAUAUUUGCAUAUUAUCAGGGCUAGCUUCUUUUCCACAGACAGUUUUUCUUUUGUUUAUAUGUUUUAAUUGAUGCAUAUUCACUUUCUUCUUCUCUUAAUUAAAUUGCAAUAAUUAAACAUACAAUUUAAAUAAAUUUUAAAUUUUAUUUUUAACUAAAAACAAAAGUAUACAUAUACAAAUAUAUAUUGCUUAAGCAAUUAAUUUUUAAAAAUUAUUCUUUCAGAACACCUUAGACAAGUUGAGACAUGCUUCGAGGGAAAUCUAAAUAUAAUGAUUUUAAAAGCUACUUUGUAAUUUUAUUUUCGAGCAUGUUGCAUAAUAUAUGCUUUCCUUGAAUUGAUUUUCUAAAUUUUAUUUUUGUCAGCAAGAAAGGGUUAUCUACGUUUUGGAAGUUAUCUUUAAUUUCCCCUGCAAAGAAUAAGUGUGUGGACCCUGCAUUUCGGCUCAAUGCGUUUCCCACUCGAUGGCGAGCUCGAUUUUUAUUUGAAAAAUGAUUUUUAUUGAUUAUUUAGAAAAUGACUUGGAGUCGCCACUUAUUUUUGUUUUAUUUUUAAAGGGUAAACAAAAUAAGAAAGAAAAACCCUAAGUGUGACUCCUUAUUUUGGAAAAGGUGGUCUGUGAAAAACUGAAUCGGGUUCAGGGGUCAGGUUACUUAUUGGGAAGGUACGGUAUGGACCGUAGCACCCCUCUAAGUCCCUAAAGUCGGGUCUCUACUAAUGAGAUGAAGCUGACAUGGCAAUCAAUGAGAAAAUCAAUGAAUACUCGAAUCAAUCAUGCACAUAUGAGAGACAAAGCAUGUAUAAAGAAUGAGCAAAAUAUGAAUAGAUGCGUACCUGGGCGACAAUCACGAAUGCGCUAUCAUGAAACAUGGUUAGUGAACAAUAAACAUAUAUAAUUAAGCGCAUAUCAAGGAAUAGAGUAAAUCAAUCAUGCAUGACAAAUAAAUCAAUCAAUCAUGGAAUCUCAUAUGUAGGGCCCCCACCAAAACCCAAUUCAUUUUUGCAUGAAUCAAUUCCAUAAAUUCCAUCACUUGGAAUUACGGAAUUUAAUUCUUACUUAUUUUUAAAACAUUUUAAAAACCAAGAAAAUGCACAAGUGGCUUGCCGGAAGGAAAAUGGCAACCAAAUUUUAUUGAAAAUGGGAUUUAAGAAGAUUAUUUUCAAGAAAACAGGGGAUGAGAGAAUAGAAGGAAAUGGCACAUGGUCAAGAGCUGCAUGCCUAAGGUGGCCAUGCAAAAACACUUCCCUCUAAGCUCAGGGUGGAGGGACUGCACUAUAAGGAUCAGUGGUGCUGCAGAGCUUGUCAGAACAGCUGAUGGCAUCAUAGGUGUUGCUCCUGAUUGCCUGAAAGAAUUCAUCUCUAAUGGACGGAAUCGAUUGCUCUACAUGAUUAUUCCAGAAGGUAAUGGUUGAGUCCUUAGCUUCACGAACCCAAUUUUUUAUGUCAUUACUUCCCAUCAAACUACCAUGACAUAGGAGCCACACUGAGCAAACUGAUGAGCCCGCUGCCCCACAUGUAUAGGGAAUCCAGUACAAAGUUAAUUUCCGCGGUUUACGAUGUUCGGAAACAAGGAUACUUAGGUAAGAAUCCAGCUUAUACAUGAUAAAUCACGNNNNNNNNNNNNNNNNNNNNNNNNNNNNNNNNNNNNNNNNNNNNNNNNNNNNNNNNNNNNNNNNNNNNNNNNNNNNNNNNNNNNNNNNNNNNNNNNNNNNGUGGAUGCCGCCUAUGAUACUAGCCUCAGAAAUCAUGCCAUUGACAUCGUUGUGCUUGUUACUAUUGCCAUCUCUAUCUCACAUGUGAGAGCCCUUGAUGGAAUCAAUUAAAAUAAUCCUUGAUAGAAACGUGGACUUCAUGUCUCAAAUCUGGCCUUUCAUAUCUCCUCAUUUGUCCAUGUCAACUAUUGUCACCAAGCCAUAAGCCUCUUGAUCCCAUGAUAACCCCAUUAUUCAACCCAAUACUUCAAUGAUGAUUCUCUUUCAUUUGCAUUCCUGACCUUCUCUUAUCUCCAUUACUGAUCCCAUGGAUGUUUACAGGAUUGAGUAUUUGGACGAGAGCAAACUUUGAUUAGAACCCUGUAUCAUGUUGAGUCUCUGCCAGCCUGGAAGGAUAAAAAUCACGUUGCCCCAUAUGGUGAGUUUUACUUUGAUUUACUCUUCCUCCUUGAUUCGUAUAAUGCAAGAAGGACAGGAGUUAAAAUGUCACGGAUAGCAUGAUGGCAAUGCCCAAAAGUAGCGUCAGUGUACAUUUGAGUCAAACGCGACUCCAUAUCAAACAUUGGCGGCCAGCGUCCAAGUCAAAGGGACGUAGUGCCCAUAAUUCACUGUUGAUAUUCUUCUUUCUGGGGAUGGAACAGAUCCAACUUCAAGGAUUGGGUGAGUCUCCUAAGAACUUUUCAUAAGGAUGGAUGACUGCCCAACAAUGCACUCAGGUUCCAUCAUUGCAAAGCCUCAACAGACUGCAUGCACCAUUCGUCGCGUACCUCACGACAAAUGUGAGUCUGGUUAAUCCCGUAGGAGGACUCCAAGCAGCAUGCAUAACGUACCUCUUCGGAAUAUCACAACGAGACCCACUGGUGCCCUCGUCUGAAUACCCCUCCGCCUCUCAUUCAAGUAAUGGGUGUUGGACCCAUGUAUGCAUGCAAAGAUGGAGGAGUGAAGUGGUGAGAGAAAGGAUGUAUGGAUUUAGCUGCGAGUAAGGUCACGGGUAUGGGAGGAUGGAUGCGGUGAAGACCUUUGAGGGUGAUGAAAAAUGGUGCAUGGAGUAAGAUAGGCUAAAGUGGAAAUGCGUGGUAGAAUGGGCAUAGGAGUAUCAUGAGAGAAGUGUGCAGGGACUACAUGCAUGUGGGUGGCUAGGGAAGUAAAAGAUGGGUUCAACAGUGAAACGUAUGGGAAUGAUGAGAGGGAAAGCGGAUUAGCAGAUGGGGUUAAUGAGUGAUAUGAAGAAUGGGGUAUGAGACCUGGGUAUAAGGUGAAAUGAAUAUGACAUGGUUAUGCAUGGCCAUGCCAUGGCCAUGCAAGAACAUGAUGGAAAGGGAGUGACGGAUGUAUGAAUAAUGGAGAGCAUGAGGAGGUAUGGGAUAGAUGAACAGGGCUGGAUGGUGGAUGAUGAAUAAGUAAUGGUGAAAUGGGUAUGAAAGAGUUUGAAGAGAGAGAAAAGGUGGUAAUGUGGAAUGGGUUUGAUAGGUGGGAGUACAAAGUGGGUAUGAAGAUGGGUAUGAAUGGUUUAGUAGGUACGAGACAAAUGGGUUAGAUGGAGGGUAUAAUGGGUGAUGUAAUGAUGGAAACCCGGGCGUUUAUUCAUCUUUGGAGGCACGAUACCCGGGUCAUGAACAGAUGGAUCACACUUCUUGGCCAGCUGCAUUCAGGCCAUAGUCAAUACAACCGACUUCGCUACCUCCAUUUCCAGGCACAGUGAUUGACACAAAGGAAGGUAACUUCCCAAUAAUCAAGCUUCUUUCGAUACAAGGUCUGCAUGGCUUAGCCGAGUUCAGUUUAGUUGGGUGUCGAAUCCCAUUGGUCAGUAGACCCAUUUGGAGCGAAACUGAACCCUUUAAUCCAAAUGGACCGUUACAGAGAGCACAAAGCAGCAGUAGGAUUAGCAAGACCCAGAGCAUAAGAGCGGGCUGUGACCAUGGCAGAGAUUCCAAAUUAGAAAGCAAGCACAAAACCAUCCAUGGAAGAGGUUAUCCAAGGUUUUGGAUGCUUAUGAAGUUUUCCCGCAAGUUGAACGAAUCUGUAACAGAGUGCCUUCUGAUCUAACCUGCAUAGUUUCAACAUGUACCACACCAUCCCCAUUCACGGUACCUCCAAUCACUAUGUCACCCUUCUUUCUUCGCCAUAGGCCUAGCAUCCUCUGUGAGCAUGUUCUUGAACCCACAAUCUCCCGCUUUACCUCAUGGAAACAUGUCAACCAAAAUAGCCCACCCAUCAAGUGACUGAUUCAACUCUGAUACCCGACAUCUCAGAUGCACCAACAACAGAAGCACAAAAGGGUAGGAAAUGGGGCCAAAACAGAAAAGAACGAAGGAAGGAUAAACGAGGAAUAAAGUAAAACAUAAGUGUAUAGAGCCUCAUUUCAGGUGACAUCCAUGGGCUUAUACAAGUGAGGAGAUCUCAAGUUAGAGUUACAGAAUAUAUGAGGAACCGAGUUCUAUUAACUCCAAGCCAAACCACAAGAACAGCAGUAAAAUCAACAACAAUAGAGUAUAAAAACGAUCCAGAAAUCAACAAAAUUCAGUACGUAUGACCCAACUCAAAUUGAUGAGCAAUGCAGAGCAAACCAAAAUGAGAAAAGGGUGAGAAAAAUAUGAAUCAAAGUAAGCAAGAAACUCACCUCAAACUCACCUGCAGACGCUCCUCUCUCUAUUCCUUCAUUCUCUAAGCUUCAGCUAGCCAAAAACAACGCCCAGAAUCUCCGUCACACAGCCACCCAAAACCUCCUCCUCUGCAGCCUCGAACCUCUCUGCCAACAAACAGCAACCAAAAGCACCUCCCCCUCUCGGAAACUUCUUUCUCCCUAAAAAAAAACUCUCAGACCAGCCUCUCUAAAGCUCCCCCUCUCUCAAGUUCACCGUCCAAAAUUACUCCUCUCAUGGAAAAACUCCCUGGAAUCCCCUCAGCAGCCCCGGUACCUCCAGCUAAAAGAAAAUCACCCCCCCCGGUUCUCAUGUCUCUCUCACCUUUUUUUCUCUCUAGCCAAAACCAGCUUUCUUUUCCUCCCUUUGGAAAUAUCUCCCUAACGGCCAGACGACACCCACCUGCCUUGCAGCUGCAAGCCUCCACUCCCCCCUAUGCAGCUGGCAGCCUCCCAAAAUCAACCCAACAAAAGCUCUUCCCCUAAAGAUUUCUGCCACCUUCCUCUUCUAGGCAAUAUCUCUUUUCUGUCCCGGAUUUGCCCCUCCAACAAUCCCUGUAGCCACCUCCAGCACCACUACACUCUGCAUGCAACUGGCAACACCUCCUAACGGAAAGCACGCUCCCUUCUUCUAGAAUGUUCUUCACUUUCCAGGUGUCUUCCUCUUAUUAGUCCAUCAAUUCCACCAUAGUGAUUCCACUAGUAGCCAACCCGAGAGUGACACGUGGCCAUGCGAGAUGGUGACACUUGUCCAGCAUCAGCUGCAAGAAUGACUCCCAAAAUGGGGGUCUACAACUAUGCCCAUUUUCGGUAGAGUUCACAAGUGUAAGGAAAAUGAACACUGGAAUGAAAGGUAGGUGUGAAUAGUGAGUGGAAUGAAGUGAACUCUACCGAAGAACCAAGGAGACCCCCAUAGGGACACUAGCAAAACACGAAUUCGCUCAGGCUGACAGACUGACACAAAGGCUCUGAUCCUAAAACAAAAUGAUGUCUCAAAAUGCCUCUGAGGCCAUACUAAGGAUCCAAGCUCCCUUUAACAUGCCUCCAAAAGUGACCCGAAGAUCGAUGUCAAAAGUGAGUAACGGUCGAACCACCCUGGAGUACGAACAAGAAUGCGUCUAAAGGAGACUGCCCUAUGUGGACUAUGAGAUGAAUAGGUGAUAAGCACAGGGUAACGAGGUGAGAAGAGUGAGAAUAAGUGCAAAUCCAUGAAGGUGAGAUGCGCAAUGCCAGUGAAUAUGAACGCUAGGGGCUGCGACUCUGAAUGACGAGACUGACCCUAAACGCUAAACUGAGAAAAACAAUGGCUCUGGAAGCCAGACCAAAAACUAACUCUAAAAACUAAACUAGAAUAACAGCUCUGGAAGUCAACCAAAAACUAACUCUAAAAGCUAAACUAGAAAACAACAGCUCUGGAAGCCAACCAAAAACUAACUCUAAAAACUAAACUAGAAAAUAACAGCUCUGGAAGCCAACCAAAAACUAACCCUAAAAGCUAAACUAGAAAACAAACAGCUCUGGAAGCCAACCAAAAACUAACUCUAAACUAGAAAAUAAUAGCUCUGGAAGCCAAACUGAAAACUAACUCUAAAAGCUAAACUAGAAAACAACAGCUCUGGAAGCCAAACCAAAAACUAACUCUAAAAACUAAACUAGAAAAUAACAGCUCUGGAAGCCAACCAAAAACUAACCCUAAAAGCUAAACUAGAAAGUAACAAACAGCUCUGGAAGCCAACCAAAAAACUAACUCUAAAAACUAAACUAGAAAAUAACAGCUCUGGAAGCCUAAACAAGUCGACAGUAACGACUCUGGAAGCCUAAACAAGAUGAUAGUAAUGGCUUUGGAAGCCUAAACAAGAUGACGGUAACGACUCUGGAAGCCUAAACAAGAUGAUAGUAAUGGCUCUGGAAGCCUAAAUAAGAUGACGGUAAUGGCUCGGAAGCCUAAACAAGAUGACAGUAACGACUCUGGAAGCCUAAACAAGAUGAUAGUAAUGGCUCUGGAAGCAUAAACAAGAUGACAGUAAUGACUCUGGAAGCAUAAACAAGAUGACAGUAAUGGCUCUGGAAGCAUAAACAAGAUGACAGUAACGACUCUGGAAGCCUAAACAAGAUGAUAGUAAUGGCUCUAGAAGCCUAAACAAGAUGAUAGUAAUGACUCUAGAAGCCUAAACAAGAUGAUAGUAACGACUCUGGACGUCGAAACUAAAAAGUGAUGAUGAUGACUCUGAACGUCAAACUGAGAAGUGAUAACGACUCUGAACGCCAAAACCGAGGAUGCGACUCUGAAUGUCGAUCUGAAAACCGAUGAUGGCUCUGAACGCCUAAACUGAGAAAUGAUGAUGAUGACUCUGAACGUCAAACUGAGAAGUGAUAACGACUCUGAACGCCGAAACCGAGGAUGCGACUCUGAAUGUCGAUCUGAAAACCGAUGAUGGCUCUGAACGCCGAAACUGAGAAGUGAUGAUGAUGACUCUGAACGUCAAACUGAGAAGUGAUAACGACUCUGAACGCCGAAACUGAGGACGCGACUCUGAAUGUCGAUCUGAAAACCGAUGAUGGCUCUGCACGCCGUAACUGAGAAGUGAUGAUGAUGACUCUGAACGUCAAACUGAGAAGCAAUGAUGAUGACUCUGAACGUCAAACUGAGAAAGUGAUAACGACUCUGAACGCCGAAACCGAGGAUGCGACUCUGAAUGUCGAUCUGAAAACCGAUGAUGGCUCUGCACGCCGUAACUAAGAAGUGAUGAUGAUGACUCUGAACGUCAAACUGAGAAGCAAUGAUGAUGACUCUGAACGUCAAACUGAGAAAGUGAUAACGACUCUGAACGCCGAAAUCGAGGAUGCGACUCUGAAUGUCGAUCUGAAAACCGAUGAUAGCUCUGAAUGCCGAAACUGAGAAGUGAUGAUGAUGACUCUGAACGUCAAACUGAGAAGUGGCUCUGAACGCCGAACUGAAAAAUGUGACAUGAUGACUCUGAAUGUCGUAAACCGUGAAUGAACGGCGACUCUGAACGCCAGACUGCAAGGAAACAAUGUGGGGGAAAUAUGCCCCAGUGUGACAUGCCGCUGCAAAUCUCAAACUGCUAGAAAUGGCUAAAAGGGACUCUACGAGUCUCGAAAGACGCACCACUAAGAGCUCAUGUCAAUGAAGAGCUCAGGAACAACGGUCAGUGAGGCGAAUACAAUAUAUCUCGGCCGAGUGAUGGAAACCGCGACGGACAUGUGAGAGAACGAUCGCCUCCAUGGCUAAAUGAGGGAAAUACGCCCCAGUAUGGCAUCAGAUGUACCCGAUCUGCCCUGAUGACCCGAGAAUAACACCAUGGGGAUGCAUAAAAGACCUGAUGUGUACCGCACUGAAAUGAUGACAUGGGGAUCCAAGCACUCGACAUAACCCCAUCCAGGAAUCACGACUAUAUCAAAGAGUAUGAAUCUGGCUGAACGAGUCAAGAGAGGCUCCUCGGAGUAUCAGGACAAAAUGAAAUCAAUCAUCAACCUGGCGUGUAUCUCAUAACUGUGGAUGAUCAUGUAAACCAGUGGGGAUCUAUAAAUCUCGAUCAAGAUGGGGAAUAUGCCCCAGUGUGGCAUCGGAAAUGUAACAUGUCGAAAAAUCAGCUGAGCUCAAAUCAUCUAUGCCUGCAACUAGCUAGAUGGCUCUCGAUAGGCUCCACUAAGGAAUCAUCGCGAGGAUAGCGAAUAUAUCAUCAUCCCUGUAUACAUCUCGCAAAUAAGGAUAAGCACGCAACUUCCUCAUGAUCUGUAAAUCUCAUCCGAACGGAAAUAUGCCCCUGUAUGGCAUCGAAAUGUAGGAUAGGUCGGAGAUCAGAUAGCAUGGAAUCAUCUAUCUUAGAACAUGUGACCUCUGCGAAAAUCCAUAAAGAUCCUCCGAAACGGAAUAUGCCCCAGUAUGGCAUCUGACGUGCGACAAACCAGGAAAAACAGGUGACAUCGAAUCAUCCCUCAUCAAACACGUGAUCCUGGUAAUCCAAACACGGUCGAAACGGAUCUAAACAUCUGAGAAGUGUUUCUCAGAAGAAGAUGCAUGGCAAAUAUCUGGAUGUCAACUGAAUCUCAAACACCUGUCCACAUAGAAGCCGUAGAAGACGAUAUCUGAUCCCAUGGCCUCAGGGUGGUCUUAAGACACAGGACGUAAUGUAGGCUAGGGUGAUAGGGUGAUAGAAACGAAGGGAAACUAAGCUCAAAUACCCAAUGAUCAAAACCCAUGCCCUCGUGUGUGAAAUGCAACAUGUACAGAAAAUCCUGUGAGCCCUGGACCUGAGGGUGUCUAAUGUGAAUAUGAUGUCAAUGAGGAAACAAGUGAAGCAAAUCAAACUGAUAAUGAGAUAUGUAAUGGUGAUACGAAGGGAAUAUCAAACCCGAGAUGGGUCUGGUAAGAAAAGAAUGAGAAGUGAAGUGAGAAUGACGAAUCAGAAGCGAAAACGAGGACGAUGAUAAUGAAGCGAAUAACAUCAAAAGGAGUGAUGAUCAACUCAGAUCAGACAUGGAGUGAUGUCACAUCAACUACGAACAUAAUGAUGGAACGUACAAUAACGCAGAGCUCCUAAGAGAAAGUCACUCAUCUCGCUCACAAAAUAUGCAACAAAAUGAAUACAAAGCCUGAGGGAUCCAGGGAAGCUCACAUACGAACUCCCGUCAACAAACAUACUCGAUCAAGUGACCCUCGAAUAUCAAUACAUACACUCAGUGAUGGAUAACAAAACACACUUGAUUUUUAUUUCUUUUUCCAUUUUUUUUUUUUCAUUUUUUUCAUUCAUUUUUUUUUUUUUUUACAACAUAUAAAUGAACUGUACAUGAUCUGAAUGCAUACAAAGAAGACCCAAAGACGGGAUCAAAAAUGAAUAAACAUGCCCUCAAAUAUCAAUAUAUCACAAACUCAAUCUAAUGAGAUGAGGUGACCUUCUCAAACUGAGGAUCCCUGGAUCAGUGUCCGUGGGAUAGAUAGUGGAAAUGGCGUGACUACCCUCCAUGUGAUGAAAUGAGGAGGAUCACCCCUCGGGGUGAAAGAAGAUGACAUGAAACGAAUAGUAGAUAAGAUAAAGAAAAUAUGAUGAAUAACACGAACAGUGAGAUGAGAUGAAAUGCAAUGAUGCAGUGGUGAGCACAGAUAAUGAGAAGAACGUGCCCCUAGGUCCAAGGCUCAUGAAACUCUCAAACAAUGCAUGCAUACACUAAAGGGCCCCAAUCCCGGUGUGAAAAUGUGAGCAAGGCUAUAGAAAAUGAAGGCUAUGAUGCGCGUGUGAGGCUCAAAUGGGCUAGCAAUGGACUAUAUAUAUCAGAAACGGGAUAAAGGGAUAUAGCUAACCGAAAUGAUGGCCACCCAUCCUGCGACCAUGGACUCAAACGUAGUACCUCUUUAGCUGAUCCACAUUGGUCGGCUCUGAGAACUGGUUUCCAUCUAAAUCCAUCAGCCAUGCAGCGCCCUCUGGAGUCAACUUCCUGAUGAAAUAAGGUCCGCUCCAACUAGGUCUGAACUUCCCUCUAGGAUCUCUGAUCAAUCCUCUGAUGACUCUCAAAACUAAGUCACCUACAUGCAGUGGUCUAGGCUUGACCUGCUUUUUGAAAGCGCGGGCCAUCUUCCUCUGAUAUGCACGAACGUGGUCUGCUGCUCUCAAUCUCCUCUCAUCUAGGAGAUUGAGCUGAUCAAAUCGAGCCUGAGCCCAAUCCGUCUGGGGAAUCUGCUGCUCUAGUGCUACUCUCAAUGAUCCCAUCUCAAUCUCAACAGGUAGCACUGCCUCCAUGCCGUACACCAAUGAAUAGGGUGUGGCUCCUGUAAAGGUGCGAAAAGAAGUCCGAUAUGCCCACAAUGCGAAAGGGAGCUUCUCUGACCAAUCCCGAGAAGUCUCAACCAUCUUUCGCAAUAUCCUCUUAAUAUUCUUAUUCGCGGCCUCUACUGCCCCAUUCGUCUGCGGCCUGUACGCAGACGAUCUAUGAUGCCGGAUGCCGUAUCUCUGCACCAAGGUGUCAACCUCUGCUCUGAAAUGCACCCCUCUGUCUGAAAUAAGCUCGUGAGGGACUCCAUAGCGACAAAUGAUGUGCGAUCUAAUGAAACUGACAACUCCAGAUGACGUCAAUCUCGCAUACGAGGCGACCUCCACCCACUUGGUGAAGUAAUCAAUAGCAACAAGGAUAAACUCAUGACCACUGGAAGAUUUCGGUGAAAUCUUCUCGAUGAUAUCGAUACCCCAUACUGAAAACGGCCAUGGUGAAGUCAAUGCAUGCAACUCCGAGGGCGGCACGUGAAUGAGAUCUCCAUGUAUCUGACACUCGGGACAUCUCUGAACGAACUGGCAACAAUCUGUCUCCAUGGUCAACCAAAAGUAUCCUGUCCUCAUGAUCUUACGGGCCAACAUAUGCCCCCCAUAUGUGGUUCGCAGACUCCCGCAUGAACCUCUCGCAUAACUCUAUCGGCAGAAGCGCGAUCCAAACAUAAUAGCAGUAUCCCAUCAAAUGAUCGUCUAUAUAGCGUCUCGCCACAAAUCACGAAUCGGGUGGCCAACUGUCUCAAUGCCCUCCUAUCCUUGGCCGUGGCGGCCUCAGGAUAUAUGCCGAGUCUCAAAAAGUGAUAUAUGUCAUGAUACCAGGGCAAACCAUCGUCUAUCUCCAUAUCAUCAAUCAAACAACAAUACGCAGGAGCAGAUCUCGACUCAAUCAACAAAGGGCGAACAGUGGCAUCAGCGGGAAUGUCGAUCAUGGAAGCUAGAGUAGCUAAAGCAUCAGCAAACUGGUUUUGCGCUCUAGGCAGAUGUGUAUAUCUCAAAUCCUCAAAUCUCGCGACCAGUAGCUCCAAAUACGCGUGGUAAGGCCUAAGCUUCACAUCUCUAGUCUUCCACUCGCCUUGAAUCUGUCUCAAUACCAGAUUGGAGUCACUAAACACCUCCAUCUGUCUAAUCCCAAGCUCGAGGGCUGUCUCUAACCCCAAGAUACAUGUCUCAUACUCAACAAUGUUGUUCGUGGCUGGAUGUCGAUCCGAGAAUGCCAAACGAACAGAUCUGGGAAUGUGAUCACCAUGAGGGGAUAUCAACAAAACGCCUAUCCCGUAUCCAGAAUGGUUGGCUGCACCAUCAAAGUACAUGCGCCAACCCGACAGACUAGUCGCAGCUGCGACGUCCUCGUCUGGAAAAUCAUCGUCAAUAGCUCUGGCAUCAGAAACUGGUAAUGAGGCUAAGUGAUCUGCGACAAUGCUCCCUCUGAUGGACUUCUGAGUGACAUAAUGAAUGUCAAACUCAGUCAGAAGUACCAGCCAUCUCAUAAGGCGACCAACUAGAGCGGGCCUGUCAAACAAAUAUCUCAAAGGAUCAAGACGAGAUAUCAAAUGCACUGAAUACUCGGUCAUGUAAUGUCUCAAUCGGCGAGUGGCCCAAACCAAUGCCAAGCAGUAGCGCUCAAUCGUGACGUAUCUCGUCUCGUAAUCUAGCAUCCUCUUGCUCAGAUAAUAAAUGGCUCGAUCUUUGCCCGAAUCAUCGAGCUGAGCUAACAUGCAACCUAAAGCCACAUCCGAAACUGAUAGGUAUAGGAGUAGAGGAUGGUCUGGUGUAGGCGGAGCCAAAACUGGAGGCGACAACAAGUACUCUCGGAUCCUCUCAAAUGCGCGCUGACACUGAUCAUCCCAAACAGUAGGUUGACUCUUCCUCAAGAGUCGGAAAAUGGGCUCACAAAUGUCUGUCAAUCUGGCUAUGAAUCUACUGAUGUACUGAAGUCUGCCCAGGAAGCCUCUGACCUCUCUCUCUGUCCUCGGUGCAGGCAUGUCAAGGAUGGCUCUAAUCUUGUCCGGAUCUACCUCUAUGCCUCGCUCACUGACCAUGUACCCCAAGAGUUUCCCAGAAGUCACUCCAAAAGUGCACUUCUUGGGAUUCAGCCUCAAUCUAAAUUGUCUGAUCCUCUCAAAGAACCUCUCAAGAGCUGCCAAGUGAUCUGAUCUAUCUCGGGAUUUCACUAUCAUGUCGUCUACAUAAACCUCGACAUCCCGAUGCAUCAUGUCAUGGAAGAGUGUGGUCGCUGCUCUCUGAUAGGUGGCUCCUGCGUUCUUCAAUCCGAAUGGCAUGACUCUAUAGCAAUAAGUACCCCACUCGGUAAUGAAGGACGUCUUCUCCAUGUCCUCUGGAGCCAUCAAGAUCUGACUAUACCCGGAAAAUCCGUCCAUAAAGGACAACAUCGAGUGACCUGCUGUACUGUCAACUAACAUGUCGAUGUGUGGGAGAGGAAAAUCAUCUUUAGGACUGGCCUUGUUGAGAUCUCGGAAAUCAACACAGACUCUCACCUUGCCGUCUUUUUUGGGAACAGGGACGACAUUGGCCAGCCACUCUGGGUACUCGACUACUGAUAGAAAUCCUACACUGAGCUGCUUCUGAAUCUCCUUUUUCACCUGCAAGCUCCAACGAGGGUGCAAUCGUCUCAACCUCUGCUUAACCGGUCUGGCAUGGGGCAGAAGUGGCAAACGAUGCUGGACGAUGGAUGGAUCAAGGCCCGGCAUGUCCUCAUAGGACCAUGCGAAAACGUCCAAGUAGGAUCUGAGCAGCUGGAUGAGACUAUCUCUCUCAUCUGAGGAUAAAUCUGACCCGAUCCUCAACUCCCUAGGCUGAUCUGCGGUGCCGAAAUCAACAAUCUAUGUGUCUCCUACAGCAGGUGAAACCCUCUGAUCAACGGGAUCCGAAUCGGAAACAGAAGAUGAGUCAUCAUCUGAGUCGUGCUGUGCAAUCUCAUCAUCAAUAUCAAAAAUCUGUGAUGUGGGUGAAGAUGGUGCAGAUAAAUCAAUAUCACAAGAGACAGGCAGGUACUAAAAAAUGCUCAAAUCCAUAGAUGAAACAUCGGAAACAAUGUCAGAACGGGAGACAAACCCCGACUGAACGUCAAAUGAAAGAGGUGGGUCCACAAAGUCGGACGCUUCCUCAACAAUGCCAACAUGGCUAUCAAUCAAAUCAUAAAAAACUAUAGCAUCCUUAGUAAUCUCCAGAGCAGGGGCUGUCUGGAUCUCCUCAACGAUCUCGAUGAAAGACACCCCGAAAAGAUCGAAUGGUGAAGUGAGCCCAGGAUGAACUCUCUCCUCGAUCGGGCCCAGGCUCAGGGCGAGCAUCUCGUCGAUGUACUCGUCGUGUGGGACGGCUCCGUCCACUAUGUCUCCGACCCCAGCAAAGGUCUCAUGCUCAUCGGUCUCGUCCGGGAAGCAAAGCGUUAUAAGGCUCGUGCGAUCUGGAGACGAAGGAGCAAUCAACACAGAAGUCGAAGAGCCAGGAGCUCCAUCUCUCAAUCGUAACUGAUGGACAAGGCGCUGAAGCUCGACCUCCUGAGUGGUGCUAAGUCCUCCAAUGAUCACGUCCGCACGGGUCAAUGGCUCUGAUGCCCUCACAAAAUAAUCAGAUAAGCUCCUGGUGUAUGGGCGAAGAGGAUAGUAGAAAGGUGUGUGGGUCAGUCACUCUCUCCUUGCGCAAACGCGCCAUGUAGAGAUAAUCGGCCUCAAUGGGGAUGAACCCGAGUCCGAACGGUACGUCGUGAUCAGGGAUGGCUAUGAACUCGCUCGGUCCAUGCUGACAUCGACCCAACCCCAUGCCGGGUAGAUAGGACAUGCUUCGCAUAAUAUCGAGCACCACUGUGCUCCCAUGCCGGUCAAAGGACAUGGCCACAAAAUCCCGGCAGAAAUCCUCUAUCUCCACAGUCUGCACCUCAUCGAAGGUGAAUUCAGUCAGAAAAAGAUCGUCAUCAGUGUGACUAAUCUCGAGCACAGGCUCGGCAACAAUGAACAUGUCUCCCACAGACUGUACCACGACGACCUGACCAUCGUGAAUAAACUUCACCUUCUGAUGAAGGGAAGAAGGAAUGGCCCCGGCUCUAUGGAUCCAUGGUCGGCCCAGAAGCAGGUUAAAGGAUGUAGGAAUCCUCAAAACCUGGAAUACAGCGACAAAAGUGGCCGGACCGAUCAGCAACUCGAUCUCCAAUGUACCCAUGACCUCUCUACGGGUGCUAUCAUAAGCUCGGACGGUCUGAGUGGAGGGACCGAAAUCAGAAGGAGCGUAUCCAAGGGCGAUGGCAGUGGCAAGAGGACAUACGUUCAGGGCCGAGCCAUUGUCCAAAAGGACAGAUGGGACUCGGCGGCCUGAACAGCCAACAGAUAUGUAGAGCGGACGAGUGUGGUCCGAGCCCUCCGGUGGCAAGUCAUCAUCGGAAAAGACGAUACAAGUGGCUCUGCCAGCCGUCAUCAUAUGAAGGAGUCCCUCGGGAGUGGUCGUGGUAUCAACUCUGAUCUGGCUCAGAGCUCGAGUCAGUGCGUCCCGAUGGGUACUGGAAGACGCUAAAAGGCUCCAGAUAGAAAUACGAGCCUGAGUGCUCUGCAACUGCCUCAAAAUCUCGUCAUCCUCUGCUCUCACCUCCUCCUGGGAUGACGUACCCCCUAAGGGUCUAGCGGGAGCGGCUGGAGGUGGCUGUCUCACUACUCUCCCUCCCCGGAGGAUAUACUAAACGUCCGGAGUCUGAGGAUCAUCACUAUGUGGAGCCUGAACCUCCUCAACAUCUGGGAUCAGAAUGUACGGCGCCUGAACGCUAUAGCGUGUGAAUGUCAGAGGCUCGGAAGUGGCCGCCUGUACAGAUGCUGCCUCAGGAACUAAUCGGAAUGGAGCAGGCAUCUGUGGCUCUAGAGUCACCCCACUCGUCUCGUAAAUCACAGCUGGCAUGAUAGGCUCUGGGUCUGGAUCAUCCCAACUCAACAUAUGGACAUGAUCAUCAGUCUCAUCGAAGUCCAAGAAAUGAAUACCACAAGCUGGUGGAGGAACUGCAUGUGUGGUGUGGGUCGGCAACGGGUUUGUGGUCACACUCGGCUGACCCAAGUGUACCAAACCCUGGUCUAUCAGAUCCUGAAUAGCGUGCCUCAGAGCGGUGCAUCGAUCGGUCUCAUGUCUAGGCCCCUGAUGAUAAGCACAGUGUAAAUCCAUCCUGAACUGAGCUGGAAUAGGCUGAGGUAGUGGCCGAGGGGUGAGAGCAGUCAAUAAACCAGCCUCCGUAAGCUUCCGAAGAGCCUGGCUCAACGGCAUGCCUAUCUGCGAGAACUGCCUCUGCGUCCUCAAAGUAAACGGAGCAGAAGUCUGCUGGGCUCCAGGUCGGGGAUAAGGCGCCGCAGGUCUCGCGGUGAACUGAGCAGCGUAGCAUGGCUGCCCUGUGGCUGUGUAGGAGACCGCGGGUCUCUCAAUGCCCUGAGUGGCAUAAGAAGGUAAAACCAAUGUCUGUGGCAUGUGUGUCUGAUCGUAAGCCGGACGAGGUGCCCGUGGCCUGUACUGAUGAGAUGCAUAGGAAGAAUGAGGCUCGAAAAACUGUGGGAUCGGCUGAUGGCGUCUAAGAGGCCUCUGACUGGAUGAACUGAUAGCACCAACCUCUGUCGGUCUCGGUCCUACGAAUAGUUUCUUCCCCUUAACAUCACUAGGGGAAGAAUCUGCCCAUAAACCUCUCGUGAUGCCGUCCUCGACAUCAUACAAAGCCAUAACCAGAGACCCAAAAUCUGUGAACGGGACCCCGACCACAUGUCUGGCGAUCCCCGGCUGUAGGCUCCUCAAAACCAUCUGAAUCUAGUCUCUCUCUGAUGGUCUAUCCACUAUCUCAGCUAUCUUCCCGCGCCAGCGGGAAAUGAAAGAAGAAACGGACUCCUCUGUCCUCUGCCUUAGAGCCUCGAGCUCUCUCCUCGAUACAUCUACAACAGUGUUAAACGAAAACUGUCGUAGGAACUCCUGGGCCAAGUCAUCCCAUGUACGGCGUCUCGAGGACUCCAGAGACGCAAACCAGCGCUGAGCUGCCCCACUCAGAGAUAGGGGGAAAAGAGUGAUCAUUUGAGGCUCGUCCAGUCCAUGAGCCCUCAUCACGGUGCUAUAAAGUCUGAGGUGGAGGCGCGGACAACCAAUACCAGUGUACCUCUCAAUAUCUGGCAUCCUGAACUUAGUUGGCAAGCUGGCUACCGGCAUACCCCCAAAAUCAUCCCAAACAACUGAUCCAUCUGACACUCUCAUCUGCCUCAUACACUGCUCGAUGCGGUCCAUGCGGGCAUGCGUGUCAUCAGCGACAACGGCCUGGGCGACUACGGGUGGAGUGAUCUCAGAAUGCCCGUGUAAUACAUAUGGUGAUGCCUGAUGCACUGAAGGAACGAGUGGGGGUGGUGGAGGUGGGUGUGAGUCAUAUGGCGUCUCAUCCUGGACUGCUGGUGGUCUACCCUACUGACCACCGAUCUCCUGCCUGAGGCUAGCCAAAGCCUCCUGGAUAGAAGCCAUGGCAGCCGUGAACUGAUCGACCGUGACAACCUGCUGAUCCAUAUCUGGUGUAUCUGAAACCCGAACUAAUCUGCCCUCUACUCUGAUCCACGAAACUAUACCCAGACUGAGAGUAAAAAUCCUGAUCCUGAAAGUACUCCUCUUCUGCUCUGAUCCACAAAGGUAUAUCAAGACAAGGAACAAAUGUCCUAUCCUACAAAGCACGAAGAACGUAAUAAGGAUAUGGCCCGGGGAACGUAUAGAAGAAAAGAUAAUCUGAACAGGAACAAGCAAAGCAUCCAAGUGAAGAUGAGCGAUCCGACCGUACUCAAACUCGUCCUGAUCUCAGUGCACUCUCAACUGGAGACUAAACAGAGGGAAAAUCGGAUCCAAAACUGCGGCUACAGAGGCACGGAAAGCCCUCAGAUGCACCCACGUGUAGGGAGGGAAUCCUAAUCGAAGGAUCUACGGCUCAACCUACAAGGUCAAGGUGGCUCUAAAUGGAUAAGGGUGGACUUUAAAAUAUCCCUAGCAGAAGCGAUUAUACCCUCCGACGGUACGCAACCCUCUGCACGUCUCCGAAGAGACGGGGCGCUUCCAUGCAAGGUGGUCAUCACCUCCACACAUGCACUACCUCGCAUCCCAGGGGGUUUCCUAUGGUGAAACCUCUCAAACUCUCAACACUCAAUAGUCGACUAGAGUGCACAGUGAAUGGUGUGGGUGCAUCCGAAACCCUAAAAAGCUAAAGCAGGAUAUGAAACACACUGGCCACACAAAUAUCCAUGAAACCUAGCUUCGGGCUAUACAGGUCUUCAAUGAUCGGACUCCAAUCGACAUCAAAGUGUCGCUCUCCUCCAAAAUGCUCCCGUGCAUCGAUAUAGCCCAUCGCUAGACCCUACUCCUAAUCUCCGGCUCGGUCAAAGAGCAAGCACACAGAAGGUCUCACACUUGCAAUAGUGAGAACCGAAAUGAAAGGAAUGACCGAAACCAAGAGAGUUGGAGGUAGGGGGAUAGAAGUGAGACCCACAUAGACAGGCAACAUGCAAUCAUACAGAGGGAGGGCAGUCAUGCAUCAUACGGUCAAGCAGAGUAUAGGAUAUAUCACUCAUGUCCACACAAAAAAAAAAGCUACAACUAUCAGGAUGAAUAGUGAUAUGAACAUCAUGCUCAAAAGAUGAUCUAGAUAAUAUGCAGGUCAGAGAAAACAACACAGCAAGUCAAACGAUGUACAAUAGUGAGUCUAUGCAUGUGAAGUGAGCAGAAUAAUCAGGAAGAAACAGAAUCGCUUUACCAAGCAAAACAAGGUGAGCAACCUAUGAUAAUCGGCAUGUCAAUGUACCAAACUAAUAUAGCAAUGAAGUACAAAAAAAACGACAUCCGAAGCCCCAAAUCAAGAUGAUCAAUCAUAUCAAUGUCACAACAUAAUAUCCAAGCAUACAUAAAAAAAACUCUCAAUGUGCAAUCAAGAGACAGGUACUCGCUGAUCGACUCAUCAAAUGCCCUGUUUGCUUCAUCUUAAGUUCAAGCUUGACCCUCUAACUCAUCCCCAGCGGAGUCGCCAUUUUGUGGACCCCGCAUUUCGGCUCAAUGCGUUCCCCACUCAAUGGUGCAUGCAGUCUGUUGAGGCUUUGCAAUGAUGGAACCUGAGUGCAUUGUUGGGCAGUCAUCCAUCCUUAUGAAAAGUUCUUAGGAGACUCACCCAAUCCUUGAAGUUGGAUCUGUUCCAUCCCCAGAAAGAAGAAUAUCAACAGUGAAUUAUGGGCACUACGUCCCUUUGACUUGGACGUUGGCCGCCAAUGUUUGAUAUGGAGUCGCGUUUGACUCAAAUGUACACUGACGCUACUUUUGGGCAUUGCCAUCAUGCUAUCCGUGACAUUUUAACUCCUGUCCUUCUUGCAUUAUACGAAUCAAGGAGGAAGAGUAAAUCAAAGUAAAACUCAUCAUAUGGGGCAACGUGAUUUUUAUCCUUCCAGGCUGGCAGAGACUCAACAUGAUACAGGGUUCUAAUCAAAGUUUGCUCUCGUCCAAAUACUCAAUCCUGUAAACAUCCAUGGGAUCAGUAAUGGAGAUAAGAGAAGGUCAGGAAUGCAAAUGAAAGAGAAUCAUCAUUGAAGUAUUGGGUUGAAUAAUGGGGUUAUCAUGGGAUCAAGAGGCUUAUGGCUUGGUGACAAUAGUUGACAUGGACAAAUGAGGAGAUAUGAAAGGCCAGAUUUGAGAGAUGAAGUCCACGUUUCUAUCAAGGAUUAUUUUAAUUGAUUCCAUCAAGGGCUCUCACAUGUGAGAUAGAGAUGGCAAUAGUAACAAGCACAACGAUGUCAAUGGCAUGAUUUCUGAGGCUAGUAUCAUAGGCGGCAUCCACCAGGCCAUUUUGAUCCAUAAGAAAGGUAGCAAAGUGCAUCGGGGCUUCCUCUUCGUUUUGGGUGGAAUGGUGAUCUUUGUGUUCCUCAACGACAUCCAUGGAGUGGAGUAGAUUGUUUAUUUGACAGUAGCAAUUGCAAAUGGGUCAUUAAUGGACUUGGUUUUGAUUACCAGGGCUUGAGAGGUUUCUUACCGAAUGAUAUAUCCCAAUCGCGCCAUCUACAUGCAACACGUCAGAAUGAUUCUUCUGUGGAUGGGAGCUAUUCAUGUCCUCUGGUGUUUGAGAAACUGCCAGACGUAAACCAGGAAGGGUCCCAGUGGACAGAUUGUGAAAUUCGAGAGACCAUCAACGUGAUUUAUCAUGUAUAAACUGGAUUCUUACCUAAGUAUCCUUGUUUCCGAACAUCGUAAACCGCGGAAAUUAACUUUGUACUGGAUUCCCUAUACAUGUGGGGCAGCGGGCUCAUCAGUUUGCUCAGUAUGGCUCCUAUGUCAUGGUAGUUUGAUGGGAAGUAAUGACAUAAAAAAUUGGGUUCGUGAAGCUAAGGACUCAACCAUUACCUUCUGGAAUAAUCAUGUAGAGCAAUCGAUUCCGUCCAUUAGAGAUGAAUUCUUUCAGGCAAUCAGGAGCAACACCUAUGAUGCCAUCAGCUGUUCUAACAAGCUCUGCAGCACCACUGAUCCUUAUAGUGCAGUCCCUCCACCCUGAGCUUAGAGGGAAGUGUUUUUGCAUGGCCACCUUGGGCAUGCAGCUCUUGACCAUGUGCCAUUUCCUUCUAUUCUCUCAUCCCCUGUUUUCUUGAAAAUAAUCUUCUUAAAUCCCAUUUUCAAUAAAAUUUGGUUGCCAUUUUCCUUCCGGCAAGCCACUUGUGCAUUUUCUUUGUUUUUAAAAUGUUUUAAAAAUAAGUAAGAAUUAAAUUCCGUAAUUCCAAGUGAUGGAAUUUAUGGAAUUGAUUCAUGCAAAAAUGAAUUGGGUCUUGGUGGGGGCCCUACAUAUGAGAUUCCAUGAUUGAUUGAUUUAUUUGUCAUGCAUGAUUGAUUUACUCUAUUCCUUGAUAUGCGCUUAAUUAUAUAUGUUCAUUGUUCACUAACCAUGUUUCAUGAUAGCGCAUUCGUGAUUGCCGCCCAGGUACGCAUCUAUUCAUAUUUUGCUCAUUCUUUAUACAUGCUUUGUCUCUCAUAUGUGCAUGAUUGAUUCGAGUAUUCAUUGAUUUUCUCAUUGAUUGUCAUGUCAGCUUCAUCUCAUUAGUAGAGACCCGACUUUAGGGACUUAGAGGGGUGCUACGGUCCAUACCGUACCUUCCCAAUAAGUAACCUGACCCCUGAACCCGAUCCGAUUUUUCACAGACCACCUUUUCCAAAAUAAGGAGUCACACUUAGGGUUUUUCUUUCUUAUUUUGUUUACCCUUUAAAAAUAAAACAAAAAUAAGUGGCGACUCCAAGUCAUUUUCAAAUAAUCAAUAAAAAUCAUUUUUCAAAUAAAAAUCGAGCUCGUCAUCGAGUGGGAAACGCAUUGAGCCGAAAUGCGGGGUCCACAAAGUGAUCUUGAAAAUUAUAAGUUAAUUAUGUUUACUUGAAUAAGAGAUUUGAAUAAUCUUGUAAAAAGAUGAUGUUUGUCGUUUAAGUGGAAGGUUGAUUUAGAAAUUAUCAUACAGGGAAAUGGAAAAAAAUACUAUUAUUUUGGUACAAGACCAUAUUAUUCAGUGGUGUCUCUAGAAAGUUCCAUUAGAUGCUAUUAAACAAUUAAUUUGGUGUCUCACUUGCAUAAUUUUGAGUUAUUGGAUUUUGGGUUUUGCAGACUCUAAUCUCCGGAGGUAACGACACAACUGUUGUCUCUCUGACAUGGGCACUCUCUCUUGUACUAAACAACCAUGACACCUUAAAAAAAGCUCAACAAGAAUUAGACAUCCAAGUUGGGAAGGAAAGAUUAGUGAAUGAACAAGAUAUAGGUAAGUUGGUCUAUCUCCAAGCCAUUGUUAAAGAGACAUUACGGUUAUAUCCAUCAGGACCACUUGGAGGACUACGCCAAUUUACCGAGGAUUGCACCUUAGGUGGAUACCAUGUCUCUAAAGGCACCCGUUUAAUAAUGAACCUUUCGAAGAUCCAAAAGGAUCCAAGAAUUUGGUCAAAUCCAACAGAAUUCCAACCAGAGAGGUUUCUCACCACCCAUAAAGAUGUUGAUCCUUGGGGAAAACAUUUUGAAUUUAUACCAUUUGGAGCUAGUCGAAGAGUAUGUCCAGGAAUAACUUUUGGUCUUCAAAUAUUACAUUUAACAUUAGCUAGUUUCUUACAUGCGUUUGAAUUUUCAACUCCAUCAAAUGAAUAGGUCGAUAUGCGCGAGAGCCUUGGACUUACAAACAUGAAAUCUACCCCACUUGAAGUUCUCAUUUCUCCACGCUUAUCUUCUUGUAGUCUUUACAAUUAAAACAUUGAAACGAAUAGGUCAAGUCGGUCUUGCUAGUCUUGGUUUAAAGACAUAUGGAGUUAGGUUCAAUCAAUCUAUGACAAGAUUUGGGAUUGUAUUAAAAGUAGGUUGGACUAAGAAUGAUGUAUAAUAAACUAAAGUACUAUUUAUGUCAAUAAAGUAUAGCUUUAUAUAUUAUUUGGUUAUCCUUGCUCUCCGUCUAGGCUCUCAUGGGUGCAAGGCCUACCCAUGAGGCCCUUUUCUCCAAAUUUGAGUCAAGUGGCUAAGGGGCUUACAACUAGCUUCUUUGCCAUAGACAAAUUUUCUUUUGUUUAUAUGUUUUAAUUGAUGCAUAUUCACUUUCUUCUUUUCUUAAUUAAAUUGCAAUAAUUAAACAUACAAUUUAAAUAAAUUUUAAAUUUUAUUUUUAACUAAAAACAAAAGUAUACAGAUACAAAUAUAUACUGCUUAAGUAAUUAAUUUUUAAAAAUUAUCCUUUGAGAACAUCUCAGACAAACUGAGACAUGCUUCCAGAGAAAUCUAAAUGUAAUGUUUUUAAAAGCUACUUUGUAAUUUUAUUUUCGAGCAUGUUGCAUAAUAUAUACUUUCCUUGAAUUGAUUUUCCAAACUAUAUUUUUAUUAGCAAUAAGGGUUAUCUACGUUUUGGAAAUUAUAAGUUAAUUAUGUUCACUUGAAUAAGAGAUUUGAACAAUCUUGUAAAAAGAUGAUAUAUAUAUAUAUAUAUAUAUAUAUAUAUAUAUAUAUAUAUAUAUAUAUAUAUAUAUAUAUAUAUAUAUAUAUAUAUAUAUAUCGUAUGGCUGAUUUGGAAAUUAUCCAAAAUGGAAAAAAAUACUAUUAUUUUGGUACAAGACCAUAUUGUUCAAUAGUGUCUCUAGAGAGUUCCAUUAGAUGCUAUCAAACAAAUAAUUUGGUGUCUCACUUGCAUAAUUUUGAAUUGUUCGAUUUUGGGUUUUGCAGGCUCUAAUUGUCGGAGGUAACAAUACAACUGUUGUCUCUUUAACAUGGGCACUCUCUCUUUUACUAAACGUACAACCACGACAUCUUAAAAAAGGCUCAAGAAGAAUUAGAUAUCCAAGUUAGCAGGGAAAGAUUAAUGAAUGAACAAGAUAUAAGUAAGUUGGUCUAUUUUCAAGCCAUUGUUAAAGAGACAUUACGGUUAUAUCCACCAAGACUACUUGGUGGACUAUGCCAAUUUACUAAGGAUUGCACCUUGGGUGGAUACCAUGUCUCUAAAGGCACCCGUUUAAUAAUGAACCUUUCAAAGAUCUAAAAGGAUCCAAGAAUUUGGUCAGAUCCAAUAGAAUUCCAACCAGAGAGGUUUCUCAUCACCCAUAAGAAUGUUGAUGAUUGGGGAAAACAUUUUGAAUUUAUUUCAUUUGGAGCUGGUCGAAGAGCAUGUUUAGGAAUUGCUUUUGGUCUUCAAAUAUUAUAUUUAACAUUAGCUAGUUUCUUACAUGCAUUUGACUUUUCAACUCCAUCAAAUGAACAUGUUGACAUGCAAGAGGCCUUAGACUUACAAAUAUGAAAUCUACCUCACUUGAAGUUCUCAUUUCUCCGGACUUAUUUUCUUGUAGUCUUUACAACUAAAACAUUGAAAUGAAGAGGUCAAAGUCGACCUAGCUAGUCUUGGUUUAAAGACAUAUAGAGUUAGAUUCAAUCAAUCUAUGAUAAGAUUUGGGACUGUAUUAAACAUAGGUUGGACUAAAAAUGAUGUACAAUAAACUAAUUAAAGUAUUGUCCAUGCCAAUAAAGUAUAACAUUAUAUAUUAUUUGGUUAGCCUUAAGGAAUGUAGCAUCAUAAUUAUUUCUUUGUUUUGUCUAAUUUAUCACCAUUUUUUCCCCUUCUCUUCUUCCCUUCUCUUCAUUAGAACAAAUAAUAUAUAGUCUUUUUAUUUUUAAAAAUCAAAUUCGAUUCCCAGUUAUAUAAGAAUUUUACUUUUACUUUAUAAUAAACUUUACUUUAAUCUUAAUAACUUUGACCAUGAUCUCCAUCAUUGAUUAAAUAUAGGGAUAAUUUCAAUCAUUUUUUCUAAGAUUGGAGUUAAAUUUACCCAUCCAUUAUUAAUUUGAAAUUUUAUUAAAUAUUUUUUUUUUCCUUUUUUUUUACAUGUAUAUCUUUUAAUUUAAAAUAAUAGUUGUCCGAUAUAUUUAUAUGAAAUUAUUUUCGAAGAGGUGAAUGAAACUAAACUUUUUUUUAAAUAUAAAAUCAUAAAAAUUUAAUAUACGCCAGCACGAUCCGGUCUAAAUAUUAUAUAUAAUUUGUGUCAUUUCAAAAAAUCAUAGAAGAUCCUUUUGGCAAGGUGGCCCCUUUGAGUAGGAAUUCUCUAAUUGGUCACUACAUAUUACAUAAUUUCAAAGAUUAUGGAGGAUCAUUUACCAAUCAUUAUCAGAAGAAGUGCUGAUUCCUGUAUAAAACUAACCAAUACGAUAUUUAGCACAUGCAAACAGAUUUGGAAGGAUCUGAAAGUCAAGCCUACGGGCCAUCCCUUUACGGCUUGUUCGAAAAAGCACAAAUUGAUGGGGUGCCACUUGCCAGCAGUCUGUUUCAAUAUCUAAAUGUUACCCAGUGGGAUUGCUUGAUAUACUUUUUGUCUCCUAGCUACCAUCUAUUAUUAUGGAGCUCCAGAGCUGGUAAGAUAAGAAUACACCCAAAAGCUGCUGGUGCAUGGCCAAUAAUCGGUCACCUCCUCUUAGGGUCACAACUUCCUGGGAUUUUUUUUUAUAAAAUUACGGUAAAUUUAAAAUUAAUUUUUUAAAAUGCGGCAUAUUGAAAAUAUGCUUGAAUAAUAAUAAUAAAAUGACAAAUAAUAAAAAGGAAAGAAAGUUGUCUUGUGGCUAUAAGAAAGAAUAAUAUAAAAGAGAGAGAUGAGGAGAGGCGGAUAGAGAGAAGAGUAGGCCGAAAAAAAAAAAAAAAAAGAGGAGAACGGGGAGGUGCUGCAAAUCUUUGGGCGUUCGAUCGUAUGACGAGCAAAACGACUUAUGUUUUGCAUGAAAGUUAAGGAGAAAAUUUUCUUUGAGGCGAGGAACAUUCCUUCAAAGUUCGAUUUUAGUUUCAAUGAUUGGAUUUUUUUAUUUGUGGUAAGAUAGUUUAAUCCUACAACUUUUGUUUAAUAUUUUGUUCUUGAAAAAAUAUUAUGAAUUUUUUUAGUGGAAGAUAAAUAUGUGUUAUUUGUGUUUUCUUUAUGUUAUUUGAAGUAUGAUUAUUCUUAAGGUUAUUAUUAUUAUUAUUGUUUUAUGAUUUACAUAUUAUUAUGAUUUUAUUUUUAAAAUUUUUAUGUUUGCAAUGAUUUAAUUGAAGAAAAACUGUUGUGUUGAUUGUUGAAAAUUAUUUAGUAUGUUGGGAAUAAAUAAAAUUUAUAUGAUUAGGGUUGAGACUAUGUUUUGAUGAUAUGUAAAUUAUUGUGAAUAUAUAUAUAUUUUAUAUUUGUAGUGAUUUAAUUGAAGAAAAAUUGUUGUGUUGUAAUUGGAAUUAUUGAUCAUGUUUGGAGUAAAUAAAAAUUAUGUCCUAGAAAAUUAUGCAUAAUAACAUGCAAGUUUAUUAUAUUUCAUAUGCAUCAUGGUUAUGUGAAAAAAAAAAUUGAUGAAAGAUUUUAUAAAAUGAAAAAGGAAAAAGAAAAUAAUGAUGAAAAGUAAAAACCUGUGAAAGAUAAAUCAAGAAGGAAAUGAGAUUUCUAGUGUAAAAAAUACAAAAAUUUAUCCCGUGAGUGUAUUUGAUAUAGAUGCAUAUCAUUAAGUGAAAACCCAAAAACAAUAGUUGAAUGUAAGCAUUUGCACCAUGUUUUCAUUUGGAAGAAGGACAUGUAUUAAAUACUUGAAUGACAUCAAUGGUAUGUUUAAAUAUAUUAUUAGAGAUUGAAAUAAUUUAUUUAUUUUGUAAGUUUAGAAUUAUUGGAUAAACCGCUAUUGACGAUUGGACCGAUGAAUGGGGCGGUUUUUCAUGAACUGCAUGGCUAAAUUCCAGCUCCAGUCUUCCUCCCAUUUUUCCUUUCAUCCAAAUAGUCCAACCUCCCCCUCCUCUUUUUCAUAGGGUCCAAGUGAAAGCCCAAUAAGCCCAGCCUUACAUUUUAAUGGCUUUUUGGCAAAACCUAAACCCAUUUAAACCCAUGGGUGGUACCUUUUUGGCAUGUACUAAUUUGAGUUAUAUGAAUUUUUGUAAUUUAAAUUAUAAUUUGUUAUUUUGUAAAAUAUUUUUUACUUAGAUUUAUGUAGAUAUUUGGGUUAAUUUGGGAUUAUAUAUUGAUCUAUUCAACUGAAAUCAUUGACCGUCAAAUUGGAUAGGAAUAACAUUUAAGGUCAACCCUUUGACCUGAUAUCACUAAUCGGAUUCUGAGUUGCCUUGAAUAGGGUGUGACUAUAAUGGAUUUUCUUCUCCAAUGCCUAAACCCUGUCAUGGUUGGAGCGUUUGCAAUACUCGUCCUCUCAUACCACCUGUUAUUAUGGAGGACUGGAGCUGGUAAGAGCAGAAUGGCACCUGAAGCUUCUGGUGCAUGGCCCAUAAUAGGUCACCUGCACCUGUUAGGUGGAUCUAAGAAUUUGCCUCACUUACUUUUUGGAACCAUGGCCGACAAGUAUGGACCAGUAUUCAGCAUCCGGCUGGGAUUAAAAAGAGCUGUGGUGGUGAAUAGUUGGGAGAUGGCCAAGGAAUGCUUCACCACCCAUGACCUGGCUCUGGCCUCCCGUCCUGAGGUUGAGGCCGCCAAAUAUUUGGGAUAUAACUAUGCCAUGUUUGCUUUCUCUCCUCACGGUGCAUACUGGCGUGAAGUGCGUAAGAUAGCUACUCUAGAGCUACUCUCGAAUCGCCGGCUAGAAUUGCUGAAGAAUGUCCGAAUCUCAGAGGUGGAGACAUGCAUGAAGGAACUAUACAAGCUUUGGGCAGAGAAGAAAAACGAAGCGGGCGUUGUUUUGGUGGACAUGAAGGAAUGGUUUGGGCACUUGACUCUGAACGUGAUUCUUAUGAUGGUUGCUGGAAAACGAUAUUUCGGUUAUACAGGCGAAAGUAAAGAGAAAGAGGCCCAGCAGUGCCGGAAAGCGAUUAGGGAAUUCUUUCGUUUGUGGGGACUCUUUGUGGUGUCAGAUGCCAUUCCUUUUUUUGGAUGGCUUGACGUGGGUGGACAUCUGAAAGCCAUGAAGAAGACUGCAAAAGAACUGGACGGUAUUGCUCAGGAAUGGUUAGAGGAACACCGGCAGCGAAAAGAUUCUGGUGAAGCUGAUGGUAACCAGGACUUCAUGGACGUGACGCUGUCCAUUCUGGGUGGUAGAGACAUUACUGAUUAUGAUGCUGAUACCAUCAACAAAGCUACAGCCCUGGUAUGCACAUUAUUCCUUUAGCAUCUUUAUAUGGUAGUAAAAAAUGAGACAUAAUUUCAUGCUUUAUCAUCUUUAGUCCAGACUCAAGAGUACUUGGGCCUGGGUUGGAAGAACUUAUUUUUGCUUUGUUUCAAGUCGAAACUAAUCAAAAGCAGCGAUUUUUAAAAGGUAAUUAUAAUAAUGGUAUUAUAAAAGUUCAAACAUAAAAUAACUUUUUGCAUAAAUCAAAAUAGAAUUUUUAUAUAUACAUAUAAAAUGUUUUUCUGAUCUUCAUAUUAAUUUUUUUAAGUCAUAACUUUUUUGAACAAAAUUAGUCAAACCAUAGAACUCUUGAACUUACAAAAAAGGGCUUUCGAUUUCUUAGAAGUAGAUACAUGUAGAUUAUGAAAGUAUGUUCCUUAGUCCGCAUGGUUUGAGGCCUCUUUGAGUGGGCUUCUAGAGUCGGUUAGACAAUUGGGCCUUUCAAAGGAUUUCCUAAAUUUACAUUUUUUUUAGCCCAACUUGAAUUUUUAUAAAAUGCUAUAUUUAUACGCGAGUUUCAUAUUCAAGCUAAACAUACCCAUUUUGAUUGGAAAAAAAAGGAAAGAAAAUGGGGCCUUUUUUCCACCCUUAAUCCUAUCACUACUUUUAAUUUUAUUUUAUUAGUUAAUGGUUUGUAUUUCACAGAUUCUGAUUGGAGGAGGCACUGACACUACAUCUGCUACUUUAACAUGGGUCAUCUCACUUUUAUUAAACAAUCCAGAUGUAUUAAGAAAAGCCCAAGAAGAAUUGGAUGCUCAUGUUGGUAAAGAAAGACUAGUAAAUGAAAUGGAUAUAAGCAAGUUGGUCUACCUUCAAGCAAUUGUUAAAGAGACAUUGAGGAUAAAUCCAACAGCUCCACUUUCAGGACCGCGUCAAUUCAUCCAAGAUUCUAUUUUAGGGGGUUACCAUAUCUCAAAAGGCACUCGUCUUAUAUUGAACCUUACCAAGAUCCAAAGAGACCCAAGAGUAUGGUUGAAUCCAAUGGAGUUCCAACCAGAUAGAUUCCUCACCACCCAUAAAGAUGUUGAUGUUAGAGGUAAACAAUUUGAGUUGACACCAUUUGGAGGUGGAAGAAGAAUUUGCCCUGGAGCAGUUUUUGCCCUUCAAGUGCUACACUUAACAUUAGCCAACUUCCUGCAUAGAUUUCAACUUUCAACUCCAUCAGAUGCACCGGUUGAUAUGAGCGAGAGUUUUGGAUUAACAAACAUCAAAUCCACUCCACUUGAAGUUCUUAUCUCCCCACGCUUGGCUUCUUAUGAUCUUUAUGAGUAGAACUUGAGGUCGCUAAGAGACUUAUUUCAAAAAACCUAGUGCUAUGAAAUGUGAAAUAAAAAUAAAUUUCACACAUGUAGCAUAAGUUUAGUAUUAUUUUCAAGCAGUUACUCAUGUGUGUCCUUUAAUAUUGUCUUAGCUUGAAUUUAAUGAAAAAUAUUUUCGACACCUUUUUCGUGUGGACAAGUAAUGACCCAAUUUCUUGUUAUGUUUCUUCAUUCUUUCAUGAAAGAGAAUUUAGAAGAACAAGUGACAUAUAGCAUUACAAUUGAAAAAUUAAUAAGUAUGUGCUCCACCAUAUGCAUAUAUAUAUGCAUAGUAGACUUGAUGAGUUUCCAAGUUGAUUAAUUGGUAUCUCCUUUUGAUAGAUUUCAGCCACCUUUUUGUACAUGAUUAAAGUAGUAAUGGAAACUAAAAUUACAACUCCCAUUUCAUUGUAAAAAGUUGGGAUGUGCAAGGUGGGUCAGUUCAAUUUUGGGCAUUAAAAUCAAAUCGAAUUGAACCCAAAAGAGGAAAAUGAUUAGUUUGACUUGAUUAACAAUAAUCUAAGUUGGUUCAUUUUGCUUCUAUUUAUAACAUCAAUUUUUUUUUAUAAUUUGAACAAAAAUAAUAUUAUUGAAGCAAGUCAUCUUUGGACGGUUGAAAUGAUAUUAUUACCACUAAUUUCAAAUCAUAUUAUUAUAACUUAAUGACGUGAAUAGGUAUUAUUGUAACCCAUGUCAAUCAUAUCAAAUAGUCCAAGUCAGAUAAAAGUUAUAAAGGUGUGAUUGGGAGUUCCAUCCAAUGUGAAAAAUGUAUACCAAAUUAAUGAUGUAACCAAUUGUUAUACUGUAUAUUAUUACUGUGUGUAUAACUUUCAAUUCAAUUCAGUUUGGUUCAUUAAUUUUUUUAAUAGGUAAUUGAAUUGGUAUAACUGAGUUAUAUAUUUUAAAAACCAAAUUUAUUAAAAAAAUAAAAUCUUAAAAAAUUAAUAGAUUUGGGUCAAUUCCAUUGAUUUUGCCAAUUGUACACCCUAAAAGAAGGGAUGUCCACUUAUCAUUCAUAAACUUUGUGUACUCCUAAGUUACAAUUUUGUCCCAUGUGAUUCACAUUUGUACUUAUUAUUCUCAAUUUUUUGUACAAAUGAUUUAUUAUUUUACAGAAUUUUACUCCAUGAGAUUCACAUUUGUACUUAUUAUUAUCAACUUUGUCUGCUCUUAAGUUACAAUUUCUCCUAAUUAGAUUCACAUGCGUUAUUGCCAUAAUUGAAUUUCCACAUUUAUGCAUGAAUUAUUAUGUUAAUAGAUACAUUAUCAUUUUGUCAAGUUAAUCUGACUCAGGUUAAUCACCAAAGACAAGGUGAAUUAAUUGACUCAAUUUUAAUAAAUUUUAAUUUAAAUGAGUGCAAGUAAUAAUAAUACAAAAAAAAUUAAAUAAAAAGAAGAGAUAACAGGUACAAACUCCAAUUUAUAUAUUUUGCUCAAUCCUAUACUCUCCUCAAGCUCUCAAAUGCAAAUUGAGGGUUCCACUAGCUUUUAAGACUUCAAUCAAACCUUAAUCCUUUACACUUGGAUUCUCAAUUUCAAUGACCUUUUUACACUUUAAUUCAAGAAAUUCCUCACUCUUGAACAUACUCAAAGGUAACACUUAAACAACAUUGAUCUCACAAAAUUUAUUUACAGAUAAUAUAAAUGAAAACUUAAAUGGUUUUUCUUGGCUAGGAUUUCUAAGUUAAUAAGGAUUUUUACAUUAAAAAGAAAGAGUUAAGAUCAACUGGGUUUUGUAAGAUUUUGAUAUAUAUCUUAGUUUGUGAGUUUUUUGGGAUUCUAUUGUAAUCUUAUUGUUUUAUCCUAAAAUUGUCAAAAAAAGAAAUCAGUAAUUUAGUAUGGCAAUUUUACUCCAAAGAUUAUUGAUUAAAAAUUAUUUUACUAAUACCAACGUGUAAGAGUUAAAGGCAUAAAAUUGAAAUUAAAGUAAGUUUAUUAUUUUGGAUUUGGUUAAGUAAUGACAAGAUUAAUAAUUGAACUUAAUGUAAAAAGAAGUGUAAAAACUUUAAAAGUUUAAAAUAUCAUUUCAUUAUUAGUUUCCACUUGCCAACAUAGAUUUCUCAUUCUAUUCUAACAAGUUUUUUGUACUUUUAUAUAUAUAUUUCAUAAACUUAACAAAGGAUACAAACAGCAAAAGAAAAAAAAAUAAUUGAGCUACUAAACCUCAAUAUAAAUUUGGGGUGAAUUGUCAAGGAGCAGGGGGAAGUACUGUAUCACAGAUCAAUGUGAAGAUGUAUAUAUAUUUAUAGUAUAGAACCUAAGAGGUGAACGUUUCUUUCUAAGUUAGGUAAACAUUUCUGUCAAAGUUGAUGAAAUUUUACUAUAAUUUAUAUACACAUGCUUUCAGUGUGCAUAUAGGUUGAAAUAAUAUGUGGAGAUGAUUUUUAUAUGUGAUUUAAUAUUGUUUUGGAUUAUUGAUUAUGACUAUAAAUUAUCAUGCAUGGAACUAAUCAAAAUGAUAUAAUUAAAUUAUAUUAAUGAAUUUGAGAUAGACAUGGCAAUUAUUAAUUUGAAAUAUCUUAUAUGAACAUAAAAUUUUAAAUAUAGACUCAUAAUUUAUAUUAAAAUAAUAAAAUUAAAAAAGUACGUUUAUCUCAAAUUUAUGCCUAGGGCCCAAAUUUUGCUGAGAGCCAGCCGGAUGUCAUCACAUGCAAGAAAGCUAGGAAACAAAGCUGAAGUUUGCUUCUUGUGUGGGAAGAGGUACUUCCGUGCUUGACUGAAAGAAAGGAUUUUCUACAAGAAAAAUUGUCCCCUUGUUUGUAAAGCCUCAAGUUGCGACAGCAAUAACGACAAAAGUAGGCCAAAGAAUUUGUCAUUAUUAUGAGACUAGAGAGGUUUUACUGAGAAGUUUUCCGAGCGUGAUAUCAGCAUUCGCUGUAUCACAGUGAUACAACAAAUGGUUUGAACACAGUGAUCUAGAACCCAUUAGCUCAAAUUUCAUUGAUCUGAACACGAUGAUCCUCAUCCGCAGACCAUUUUAGGGAAUGAUUAAUUCUAGCGAUUUUUUAACUGCCUGUACGAAGAACUUUAUCAAAAUUGGAUUCAGUGUAUCUUAACCAAUCUUGAUCAGUAUGCGACUGAUGAUUCUAUUUGAUAAAAGUAAUGCGGUGGCCCAACUUUAUCUUAAUUUCCAUGUUGAAACUAACCAUUAUAUUAUUCUAUAAUUAUAAAUAUAUACUAUGGAAUUAAGAUAACUUUGACAUGCUAAGGAUCAAAAGAGGGCAGCCACUUUAGUUGUGGAUUAUACUAAAUAAAGCUGAUCGAUUAUUACAUUGGAAAAUAACAUUGAACCUAUCAUGAAAGACAACCCUACUGGACCAUGCCCUGAGUACUAAAUGCUGAUAAAAAACAAGUACAUGUUCCAAAGGAAUUGAGUCCAUAUAUACUCAUUAGUGCUCAAAGAGAAAAACUAUAUAUCCACCGCUUAACUACAGUGAUCCUUUGAGCAGAAGAAACUAGCCAUGUAUUUCCUUCUCCAAUACCUAAACAUCACCACGGUCGGAGUCUUUGCCACACUUUUCCUUUCCUACUGUCUAUUAUUAUGGAGGUCUAGAGCUGGUAACAAAAAAAUAGCACCUGAAGCUGCUGCUGCAUGGCCCAUAAUCGGUCACCUACACCUGUUAGCUGGUGGUUCUCAUCAGCUUCCCCACAUAACCUUGGGAAACAUGGCCGACAAAUAUGGACCGGUCUUCACAAUUCGGAUUGGGUUGCAUCGAGCUGUGGUGGUAAGUUCUUGGGAGAUGGCUAAAGAAUGCUCGACCGCCAAUGACCAGGUUUCAUCCUCGCGUCCCGAACUUUUAGCCUCAAAACUUUUGGGCUACAACUACGCCAUGUUUGGUUUCUCUCCAUACGGUUCUUACUGGCGUGAAAUGCGCAAGAUAAUCAGCCUAGAGCUACUCUCUAACAGCCGCUUAGAGCUGCUGAAGGACGUCCGAGCUUCAGAAGUGGUGACAUCCAUAAAAGAGCUAUACAAGCUCUGGGCAGAGAAAAAAAAUGAAUCGGGCCUUGUCUCGGUGGAGAUGAAGCAGUGGUUUGGAGACUUGACUCUGAACGUAAUUCUUAGGAUGGUGGCAGGGAAGCGUUAUUUCAGUGCUUCAGAUGCAAGUGAAAAUAAACAGGCGCAGAGGUGCCGGAGAGUGUUCAGGGAAUUCUUUCAUUUGUCAGGGCUCUUUGUGGUGGCGGACGCUAUUCCAUUUCUUGGAUGGCUCGACUGGGGGAGACAUGAGAAAACCCUAAAGAAGACAGCAAUAGAAAUGGACAGUAUUGCUCAAGAAUGGUUAGAGGAGCACCGUCGGAGGAAAGACUCCGGUGAUGAUAAUAGUACGCAAGACUUCAUGGAUGUGAUGCAGUCAGUUCUUGAUGGCAAAAACCUUGGUGGUUACGACGCUGAUACCAUCAAUAAAGCCACAUGCCUGGUAUGAGUUAUUAAUGAAACACCCACGUACCAUUUAUUUGCAUAUUAUCAGGGCUAGCUUCUUUUGCACAGACAGUUUUUCUUUUGUUUAUAUGUUUUAAUUGAUGCAUAUUCACUUUCUUCUUCUCUUAAUUAAAUUGUAAUAAUUAAACAUAAAAUUAAAUAAAUUUUAAAUUUUAUUUUUAACUAAAAAUAGAAGUAUACAUAUACAAAUAUAUACUGCUUAAGCAAUUAAUUUUUUAAAAUUAUUCUUUCAGAACACUUCAGACAAGCUGAGACAUGCUUCGAGGGAAAUUUAAAUAUAAUGAUUUUAAAAGCUACUUUGUAAUUUUAUUUUCGAGCAUGUUGCAUAAUAUAUGCUUUCCUUGAAUUGAUUUUCCAAAUUUUAUUUUUGUUAGCAAGAAAGGGUUAUCUACGUUUUGGAAGUUAUCUUUAAUUUCCCCUGUAAAGAAUAAGUGAUCUUGAAAAUUAUAAGCUAAUUAUGUUCAUUUGAAUAAGAGAUUUGAAUAAUCUUGUAAAAGAUGAUGUAUAUCGUUUAAGUGGAUGGUUGAUUUAGAAAUUAUCAUAAAGGGAAAUGGAAAAAAAUACUAUUAUUUUGGAACAAGACCAUAUUGUUCAUUGGUGUCUCUAGAAAGUUCCAUUAGAUGCUAUCAAACAAUUAAUUUGGUGUCUCAUUUGCAUAAUUUUGAGUUAUUGGAUUUUGGGUUUUGCAGACUCUAAUCUCCGGAGGUAGCGACACAACUGUUGUCUCUCUAACAUGGGCACUCUCUCUUGUACUAAACAACCGUGACACCUUAAAAAAAGCUCAAGAAGAAUUAGACAUCCAAGUUGGUAAGGAAAGAUUAGUGAAUGAACAAGAUAUAAGUAAGUUGGUCUAUCUCCAAGCCAUUGUUAAAGAGACAUUACGGUUAUAUCCACCAGGACCACUUGGAGGACUACGCCAAUUUACCGAGGAUUGCACCUUGGGUGGAUACCAUGUCUCUAAAGGCACCCGUUUAAUAAUGAACCUUUCGAAGAUCCAAAAGGAUCCAAGAAUUUGGUCAGAUCCGACAGAAUUCCAACCAGAGAGGUUUCUCACCACCCAUAAAGAUGUUGAUCCUCGGGGAAAACAUUUUGAGUUUAUACCAUUUGGAGCUGGUCGAAGAGCAUGUCCAGGAAUAACUUUUGGUCUUCAAGUAUUACAUUUAACAUUGGCUAGUUUCUUACAUGCGUUUGAAUUUUCAACUCCAUCAAAUGAACAGGUCAAUAUGCGCGAGAGCCUUGGACUUACAAAUAUGAAAUCUACCCCACUUGAAGUUCUCAUUUCUCCACGCUUAUCUUCUUGUAGUCUUUACAAUUAAAACAUUGAAACGAAGCGGUCAAGUCGGUCUUGCUAGUCUUGGUUUAAAGACAUAUAGAGUUAAGUUCAAUCAAUCUAUGACAAGAUUUGGGAUUGUAUUAAAAGUAGGUUGGACUAAGAAUGAUGUAUAAUAAACUAAAGUACUAUUUAUGUCAAUAAAGUAUAACUUUAUAUAUUAUUUGGUUACCCUUAUGGAAUGCAACAUCAUAAUUAUUUAUUUGUUUUGUCUAAUUCAUUCUACAUUUUUUUCCCCUCAUUUUCACCACAACAAAUAAUAUAUAGCAUUUUAUUUUUUGAAAUCAAAGUUAGUUCCGAGUUAUAUAAGAAUUUUACUAUUACUUUAUAAUAAACUUUAAUCUCAAUAAUUUUAACAUGUAAAUAUGAUCUUCAUCCUUAAUCAAAUAUAGGGAUAAUUUCAUUCAUCUUUUAGAAGAUUAGAGUUAAAUUUACCUAUCCAUCAUUAACUUGAAAUUUCACUAAAUAUAUUUUUUUUUCUUUUUCCUUUACUAUUUUUACUCAUCAUAUCUUUUAAUUUAAAAUAAAAAAUAUGUUUAAUAAAAUUUGGGAAUAAUGGUUAUUAGACAUAUUUACGUGAAAUUUUCGAUGAGGUGAAUGAAACUAAAGUUUUCUUUAAAUGUAAAAUCAUAAAAAUUUAGUAUCUGCCAGCAUGAUCCGGUCUAAAUAUUAUAUAUAAUUUGUGUCAUUUCAAAAAAUCAUAGAAGAUCCUUUUGGCAAAGUGGCUCCUUUGAGUUGGUAUUCUCUAAUUGUCACUACAUAUUAUAUAAUUUCAAAGAUCAUGGAGGAUCAUGUCGGCAAUCAUGAUCAGAAGAAGUUGCAGCUUCCUCUAUAAAAUACUAUAUAUACAUAAAAUUAAUCAAUGCAAUAUUUAGCAUAUGCAAGCAAAAUUGGACGGAUCAUGAAAGUAAACCUACGGGCCACCCCUUUACGACUUGUUCGAAAAAGCACUAACCCAGGGUGGUGCCACUUUCCAGCUGUCUUUUUCAAUAGCUAAAUGUUACCACGGUCGGAAUGCUUGGCAUACUCUCUCUCCCCACUAUCUAUUAUUAUGGAGAUCCAGAGCUGGUAAGAGAAGAAUAGAACCCGAAGCUGCUGGUGCAUGGUCAAUAAUCGGUCACCUCCUUUGGGUCACAACUUACUGAAAAACCGUCUGUCUAGUAGGUAAGAUUCAGAGGUGAAUACAUGUAUUUAAAAAGAUUAUAACAAAAAAAUUGAAUUGUUUUAACCUAAUGAAGAUAUAAAAGAUAAAUAAAAUAAUCAAAAUCAAACAAAUAAGUAAAGGACACAAAUUUUUAUAUGGAAAAUUUUCACAUUUACUAUAAAGAUAAAAAAACUACAAGAUAUAACAUCUUUAAUCUACUAUCUAUUGUUUGAAAUCAAAGUACGCAAAUUUACUUGCUCACGAUGCAACACCUUUCUCUUAGUCUCGUUGAAGAGAUGCAAGUCAAUACUAUGAAUUUUUUCUCAAGAAAUUGGAAAUGAUAGGGUAAGUUGUUGAUUCUCUUGUAGUGUCAAUAUAAAACAUAUUUAGGUAUGAUAUGUAAAAAAUAUUUACAUAAUCACAUAGAUUAAUGAUACAUGAUUAAAAGAUACUAACAAUAGGAAAUCACUAUAAAGAACAUACCUGUUUGAGUCAUGAUAAAAAAAACGUGAUUGAUUGUUGUAGUCAAGUCUUCCUCUCUAUGAUCUUGAUAAUAGAUAUGGUGGCUAUAUGGGAAAACAGAUAAACCCUAUUUAUCUACAUUAGAGAGGGGACCUAGCAUAACUCAAAUUGGAUUCUCAUUGGGCCCUCCCAUAAUGGGCUUCAAUGAGACCCAUAGCCUACACUUGCCACUCAACUGAGCUUCUACUCAAAAGAUGCAAAACCCAAUCUAAAAUGUGAUCACUAAUUAAUUGGGCUCAUUAUAGAAUAGACUAUCUAUUAACCCGUUUUUGCAAAUACAAAUUAUUCAAUUAAUGUUAGCCCAUAUAAAAAUUUUCCAACAUGAUAUAUAUAAGAGAAGAUCUACUAGAAUUGGUAUCAAUUAAAAAAUUAUAUUUUACUAAAAAUAAUUUAGAAACUUAAACUUUUAAAAAGAUUUGGAAUAGUUUUCUUUUUAAAAUUAUUAAUUUUAUAUUAUUUCCCAAUUUAUUUUUAUUAUUUGGAAAUGAAUUUUUAAAUUGAGAAUUUAAAAAAUCUUUUUAUUAUUUGGAAAGAUCUUUUAAAUUCUCAAUUUAAAAAUUCAUUUCCAAAUUAUUUUUAUUAUUUGAAUUUUUUUUUAAAUUCUUAAUUUAAAGUUCUUUUNNNNNNNNNNNNNNNNNNNNNNNNNNNNNNNNNNNNNNNNNNNNNNNNNNNNNNNNNNNNNNNNNNNNNNNNNNNNNNNNNNNNNNNNNNNNNNNNNNNNGUAAGUCAUCGUCUAAAAAGAUUUUUAAGUCAAAAUGAAAUUAAACAAAAUUGUUAACUAACAAAUUACAAGACUUACUAUCCCAACAUCCCCCAUAUAUACUUGGGAACCAUGGCAGACAUAUACAGACCGAUCUUCACGAUCCUGGUCGGGAAUGCAUCGAGCAUUGGUGGUGAGCAAUAAGGAGGUGGCCAAAGAAUGCCUCGCCAUCAAUGACUCAGCAGUGUCCGGCCAUCCCAAAUUGGUAGCCCCAAAACAUCUGGGUUACAACUAUGCCAUGUUGGCUUUAUAUAUAUAUAUAUAUAUAUAUAUAUAUCAAUAGAAAUACUUAAACAAAAUAAAUAUUUACAUGUGAGGAAAAAAUAUUUACUUAAAUUUCAGAGAAUUAAUAAUAAGGUUAUAUUUGGUUUCUAAAAAGUAUUAAAGAAAAAAAAUAUAAAAGAAAAUGAUUUUUUUAUGUUUGGUUUUAUUAUAAUUUUUUUAAUGAAAAUUAAAUAUAAUUAGAAAUUUAUACAUUUUAAAAUUAUUUAAUCUUUAUAUAAUUGAGGAAAUUAAGUGAAAUGAAUUUGAGGAAACAUAUAAAAAUAAUUUAUUAAUUUUGAAUAUAUAUAUAUAUAUAUAUAUAUUAUUUUUUUUCUUUUUUUUUGUUCCACUUUUCAUCUCUAUUUUCUUUUCCUCAAAAUUUUCAAGAAUCAAGCCAAAGUAUUUCUAUUUAAUUGUAAUAAAUACAUGAUAGUUUUUUUUUUUUUCACGAAUUGUAGAUACCAUUUAUGUGCACUUGUCAUAAAUUACUUUUACGAUAAUUUUAAUUAUCUAAAUUAUUAUAUCGUAAUGUAAUAAAAUAGUUCCUUUAUUUUUUAUAAAAAAUUUUUAUAUUUUAAUUUUAUAAUAAACAUACUCUUUCCUGCAUUUCUUGAAAUUUUUUUAUAUAUAAAUUAUGAAAACGUAAAUUAUGGUUGCUUUUUUUUUUUUUUUUUUGGUUUUAGAAAAAAUAAUGAAAAUGCAUUUCAUAGCUGUGGAUUUUGAUAAAUUGGAAAAAAAAAAAAAAAAAAAGAGAAAGGUGGAAAGAAUUUAAAAUGUGUAUUUUUAAAAUUUAUUAAGAAAUUUAACCUUCUUUUUUCGUGGAUAUGGGCGAUUAGGCCAAACCAUAUAAAUAUUUUGUCUUCUUUUUCAUUUAUUUUAUUUUUGUUGUUGCAUUUGAUAUUGCAAUUUCCCUCCUCCCCCCAACAAGUGGAAUUAAACUUGUGGUGGGAAGAUCAUGGGAAAAUUGAAAAGGAUGUCAAGCAUAAAAUAUGAUAUUAAAUCAUUUGAUGGAAAUAAUAAUAAUAAUAAUUUUAGCAUAUGGCAGAUGUUUUGGUAUAACAAAGACUUCUUAAAGUGUUAAAAAGGUAAGAAAGCAAAGAACAUGAUAGAAGAUGAUUUAUGGGAGAAGUUAUACACAAUUUAUAUGUCAACAUCCCAAGAAGAUGGAUGAAGGAUUAGAUGUUGAGGUCAUAUAAAUAAAUUUAUUAAGUAUAUACCCAGGUAUUAAGUGUAGAUAUUAAGAUGGAUAGAAAGAUCAAAUCAUUCUUUCAUUGGCUUUCUACCAAAAUCGUACGAGAUAGUAGUAACUGCACUUUUAGUUGGAAAGACAACUAUUACACACCCUAAAUACUAAAAUUAUGAUUUAAUUAUAAUAUCAAAUGAUUAAUUUAUAAUUUUAAAAUUUUAUAUAUAAAUUUAUGAAUAAAAUACAAUGUUUGAAAUAAAAAACUAAUUAUUUAAUUAUUUUCAAAUUCAUGAAUUUUAAUUCUAAUGUACAUAAUAACCGUAAUUUUUUUUAUAAAGUUGUUACUAAAUAUAUAUUUCCAAAUAGUAACAUAAUAACAUUUUAUUUUACAAUUUCUAAAUUUAAAAUUUUAUUUCUUUUAAAAGUUGAAAUAAUAUGGUCUAAUGAAUUGAGAGUUUUUAUAUAUGUCUUGUAUGUUGUUUAAGUUAUGUAAUUUCACCAUGUAAAAUAGACUAUUUUUAAAAGUUUUAAAAUUUAAGAUAAGAAAUAAUAGAUUUUGUUACUUUUCAUGUUGGUGAUACUCAAUUUUUUAGAUUUUUUAUUUUUGAUAAUUUUAUUUAGGUGAACUUUUUAAAAAAAAAAAAAAAGAAAAAAAAAAGAAAUUUAACUAAAGUUGUCAAUUUAUAAUUAAAAUUGGAAAAUCAAAUUUUGAUUUACCUAUAAUUAAAUUCUAAAAUAUUUUUAUUAGAUUCAAGGAGGGUAUUCCAUUAUUUAUAUUACAAACUUAAAGUUAAGCAGACAUUUACUUCAAUGUGCUAUACAAUAAAUAAAAUGAUGCAAAAUGGUGCACCACACCCAACUUGCGCACUUUAUGCACACCAUUCAAAUCGUGCAUCUCCAACAUACGACCUAAAUUGUGCACCUCUAAUGCAUCACUUGAAUUGUGUACUACUUAAAUUAUGCAUGUCUCCGGUUUAAAACACUUUGUGCAUCCCCAAUUAUGCACCUCCUUCUCUUUUAACACCUACUUAGAUUUGCAUAUUAUCAGGGCUAGCUUCUUUUCCAUAGACAGUUAUUCUUUUGUUUAUAUGUUUUAAUUGAUGCAUAUUCACUUUCUUCUUCUCUUAAUUAAAUUGCAAUAAUUAAACAUACAAUUUAAAUAAAUUUUAAAUUUUAUUUUUAACUAAAAACAAAAGUAUAUGUAUACAAAUAUAUACUGCUUAAACAAUUAAUUUUAAAAAAUUAUUCUUUGAAAACACCUCAGACAAACUAAGACAUGGUUCCAGAGAAAACUAAAUAUGAUGCUUUUAAUAGUUGCUUUGUAAUUUUAUUUUCAAGCAUGUUGCAUGAUAUAUACUUUCCUUGAAUUGAUCUUCCAAAUUUUAUUUUUGUCAACAAUAUACCUAUGUAAGAGAUGGUUAGUUUAGAAUUUUUCUCUUAAACCAUAGGGAAAAAUGGAAAAAGAAUACCAUUAUUUUCGUACAAGGUCAUAUAGUUUAACAAUGUUUGAAGAGGGUUUCAUUAUAUACUAUCAAACAAUUAAUUUGGUGUGGUCACUUACGUAUUUUUAAGUUGUUGUCUUCUUCAUUUUGUAGGCUCUAAUUGCAGGAGGUAGCGACACAAUAGUUGUCACUCUAACUUGGGUGCUCUCUCUCUUCUAUUAAACAACCAUGACACCUUAAAAAAAGCACAAGAAGAAUUGGAUACACAAGUUGGCAAGGAAUGAUUAGUGAAUGAACAAGAUAUCAGUAAAUUGUUCUAUCUCCAAGCCAUUGUUAAAGAGAUAUUAUAGUUAUAUCCACCACGACCACUUGCAGGGCCACGCCAAUUCACUGAGGACUGCACCUUGGAUGGUUACCAUGUCUCUAAAGGCACCCGAUUAAUAUUGAACAUUUCCAAAAUCCAAAAGGAUCCAAGAAUUUGGUCAAAUCCAAUAGAAUUCCAAUAAGAGAGGUUUCUCACCACCCAUACGGACCUUGAUCCUCGGGGAAAAUAUUUUGAAUUUAUACCCCCAUUUGGCGCCAAUAGAAAAGCAUGUCCUAGAAUGACUUUUGGUCUUCAAAUGCUACAUUUAACGUUGGCCAAUUUUUUACAAGUGUUUGACUUUUCAACUGCGUCAAAUGCACAUAUUGAUAUGCAUGAGAGUCUUGGACUUACAAACAUGAAAUCUACCCCACUUGAAGUACUCAUUUCCCUACACUUGUCUUCUUGUAAUCUUUACAACUAAAACAUUGAAACAAAAAGGUCAAAGUCGGCAUAGCUAGCUAGUCUUAGUUUGAAGACGUUAGCUUCAGUCAAUCUACAAUAAGAUUUAGAAGUGUAUUAAAAGUAGGUUGGACUUGAUACUUUUAAGGAAUGCGAUGCUAAUUCUAUUUGAAUGGGUAAUGAUUCAGACUCUAAAAUCAUUAGGAUUUAAAUCAUAAAGGUGAGGAUAUUUUAUGGUAUUAUAAGGAUGUUGAGUAAUGUUAAGCAUGUUCCCAAGUCGAGGAGGAGUUUAAAUUUCUUUAAGGGCUUUGGACACUUUGGGUUGUGAUUUUUUUGUGAAGCAUAGUAUUAUGGGUAUCAAUAAAGUGCUUUGACAACUAUGAAAAGGAAAAAAGUGAAAAAUUUAUACACCUUAAUCAAUAAGACAACUUAUAGGUGGAGUUCUAAAGGAGUCAUGUUAACAGAAAGAAGGAAUGACACGUAUUUAUUCUUCAUAAUUAUGUAUAAUUAAGAGAUUUGAGUCAAUGCAUGUGGAGAUUAUUGGUAUUUGAAUCUAAUUAUUUAUUUUUUAUUUUUGAAAAAGUCAAUAUUUAUAAAGUCUAUGUUUUACUAAAUUACCCUUUUGAAUUUGACUAAGAUCAGGAAACUAUUGAUUUAGGGUUAAUUCACAUGAUUUUACAAAUAUGUGGUUUUAAAUAAGAUUUAUACUAAAAAGGAAAAAAAAAAUAAGAAAAGAGGAAAACUUAAAUAGGUAAAUAGUCUAUUGAGUUUUGGAUGGAGAAAUGUUGAGAGAAUUUGAAGAUUUUCUUUGUGAAGCAUAUUAAUAAAUUUUAUCUUCCUUUCCCAGGUCUUUUCUAUUUAUUUUAUUUUUCCUGCUCAAUUUGAGUGUUUCAAUUUUUCCAGAACAUGGACAGUACAAAUGGCCAGAUGUUUCAUAUACGGUGCAUGUCAUAAAGUCGCCGCCUUCAGCUUGGCAAGAAAUCAAGCGAAACUGGACUUGAACUUGUCAUUCUUAAGGAAAUAAGCGCCAGCUAGGGUUCAAAUUUUAUGAUGUGAGCAUGCAACACUUAUCCCAAUCCACUGUUCUACUAAUAGGAUGUAGAAGACAACAAGCAAUUGUAGGAGCUUAUCUUUUUUUAUUUUUAUCAAGGUAGUUUCUGAAAGGAUGUGGAUCAACAUCGAUCUGUAGUGAUCCCUAGAAGGCUCCACUGUUCUAAUAAUAGGAUGUAGAAGACAGCAAGCAAUUGUAAGAGCUUAUCUUUUUUUCUUUUUUUUUUAUCAAGGCAGUUUCUGAAAGGAUGUGGAUCAACAUCGAUCUGUAGUGAUCCCUAGAAGGCUCCACUGUUCUAAUAAUAGGAUGUAGAAGACAGCAAGCAAUUGUAGGAGCUUAUCUUUUUUUUUUUUUUUUUUAUCAAGGCAGUUUCUGAAAAGAUGUGGAUCAACAUCGAUCUGUAGUGAUCCCUAGAAAGGCUGUUUUCUAAAUAUAGUAUUAUAAUAAAAAUAACGUUUGCCGAAAUUAAUAACGUUUGGAUAUGUUACAUGAGAGAAACAAACACGAGUACUCCUUGUAGUACAUGAGAAACCAUAUAUAUAUAUAUAUAUGCUUGAACGGGGGAGCUACCCACAGUUUAACCACAGUGAUCCAAUAACGACAUUCUGAGCUACAAUGGAUUUCCUUCUCCAAUGCCUAAACCCUGUCAUGGUUGGAGCGUUUGCAAUACUCGUCCUCUCAUACCACCUGUUAUUAUGGAGGUCUGGAGCUGGUAAGAGCAGAAUGGCACCUGAAGCUUCUGGUGCAUGGCCCAUAAUAGGUCACCUGCACCUGUUAGGUGGAUCUAAGAAUUUGCCUCACUUACUUUUUGGAACCAUGGCCGACAAGUAUGGACCAGUAUUCAGCAUCCGGCUGGGAUUAAAAAGAGCUGUGGUUGUGAGUAGUUGGGAAAUGGCCAAAGAAUGCUUCACCACCCAUGACCUGGCUCUGGCCUCCCGUCCUGAGCUUGUGGCCGCCAAAUAUUUGGGAUAUAACUAUGCCAUGUUUGCUUUCUCUCCUCACGGUGCAUACUG
rnacentral:lncRNA from 1 species